rnacentral:lncRNA from 1 species
GGUGGCUUCUCUCCCUUAGGUGGUUUGCCAACUGGGGUUGGUGGCUUGUGUUCUGGGAGUGGCUUCUCCCCCUUGGGAGGUUUUUCCAAUGGGGUUGGUUUGUGUUCAGGAGGUGGCUUCUCCACUGGAGGCUUGUGUUCAGGAGGUGGCUUCUCCACCGGAGGCUUGUGUUCAGGAGGUGGCUUCUCCACCGGAGGCUUAUGCUCUGGUGGUGGCUUCUCCACCGGAGGCUUAUGCUCUGGUGGUGGCUUCUCGAAUGGGGGAUGCUUAGGGUAAUCAGCAAGUGAGGGGGCGGUGAGAACCACCAGGCCAAGCAAGACCACUAGCAAGUAUGUAGGAGACAUCUUUGGGUUUAGACUCAGAUGGUGCAAAACUAGGAGAAUUGUCUUUUAUAGCGGAUCGCACCCAAUAAUGAAAUGACACGUGUCUUUAUGACCCAUGUGUAAUGGGGUCGAUUUGGGUCCUACAGUGUUGAAAACUUCGACAUCCACUUUUGGCCUUUUGCUUUCUCUACAGCCGCCUUGCUUUUUCCCUCUUUCCUUUUGUUUUCCUCCUGCCCCAUUCUAUCAACUAAACACAAUUAUGUAGUUGUUUAAUUCUUAAAUGAGAUAUUAUCCGUCAAUCGUAUCAUAUUUUAUCAACAGAGAACGGAGUGCAAUGUGGCAAUCCAAAGAAAGAAGAUCCAUAAUGCAGCUGUAAUUUUAUCGUUUACUUUUAUCUCUUGGACCACUGCAUUUUUGUUAAGAGGUGCAAUAAUACACGUCUUUAUCUGCCAUUCAAUGUUUACAGUAAAGAGAGGGCACAAAACUCUUCACUGCUCUGCAUGUGUCCCAAAAAUGCAAUUGGACAAAUUAUGAUUUGCAUGCUAAAAAGAGGCAAAUGAGGUUAAUUCGCACCAUAAUUAUUUUGUUUUCUGGACCCCGGGGCCCUUUGGUUGGUUUGGGGGUCAGAAAAUGAACAUCAUAGGGGGUUUUUCCCUUAUGUGCAUUUGUAUCUGAUGGCUUUAACUCGCCUUGUUACUACAAAGAAAUUGUCACAUAUAGGAACUUAUUCCAGGCUGAGUAUCUCCGCAUAGACCCUAUAAAAGAAGACAAGUCAUAAUGAACAUCUAACCUUUGUUCAAUUUGAUUCAAUGCCCCAUUGUGUCCACCUCACAAAUCUGAAUUAUUAUAUCCAUUGAAUACAUAAAUUAAUGAAGAAAAUAUGAAACCCAAGAUACAUCUCUGCACAACCUCAACCCUGGUUGCUAUGUUUCCCUUCUAUUCACAUGAGGAUAUUGAUUACGGAAUAGGGAAACCUAGCAAGGGUUUACUCGGCUCUGGUUUGAUGCUAAUUGCCAAACUUGCAACAAGCCCUGAGUUUGAAGCUCACAGAAGAUGUUAUACAGGCAGGGAAAAACCUUCAGAGUUCGCUGCCAAAGAUAAUUAUUAAGGAGAUAUCACCAAGAGAAUUCCAAGGAGUCUGAAUCAAAGACAAAUUGGUCGUUCGUGGAGGUUCUUACUUUCUUUUGGGUAUAACUCACUGAGGGCACUGUCUUUUUUAUUUUCAUUUCACAUUUAGAGUUCUGUUCUGGAAACAUAUAAAAGGAGCAUCAGUUUGUUCUUGGGUAACCCAUAGUCGUGAGUGGGUCCAUUUGCAUGCUACUUAGUUGAAAAGUUGGACCAUUUGCUCCGACGCCUACCUCCUGGAUUCCAUGCUCGGAUAAAACAAGAAUAAAAAAAUAUUUAUAAUUUACAAAUGGGGGAAAGAAAAAAAUGUCAACAACAAACUAGGAAAAAAGAGUAGUAAAAUUCAUGUCACAUGCUAGUGAGAGAAGGGGUUGUUACACUCACUCGAAGUUCUUUUCAAAAUAUCGCAUGGUAUUUUAUUUUAUGUGUGAGCGCAGUUGUGAAUGGAACGUGCAAAAGUCCAAAUUGGUGACCUUUAAUAAAUAUUUAAAACAAAAAACGAAAAAAAGGAGGGAAAAGGGAUCAGAAAAGAUAAAACAAUGUGUACAAAAGCUCAAUUAGUUUGCAAAUUACUGUUUGGAUUUUGAUAGUAUUUUAUUUGAUGUAAAAGAGAAUUUAAGAUAUUUCCGAAACAAAAGCAUUAGUUUGCUCCAUGUCAAUUUCGGCAUUUCUCAUAUGUUUCACACAUACACAGAAGAGCAUCGUUUUUUAAAGCAUGCAUUUAUGUUGGAUUAAUUUGGAUUUUGUGGGAACUGGGGCAAGGAUCACAUGGAAGAGAGGUUGACUUUUUUCAGUACUUCAAUGGUUGAGACAGGUGAAGGCCUGAUUGAUACUGAAGCCUGAAAUUGCGACUCCGUCAUUUGUCAAAACAUAUGACAGCUUCCAUGCUCUCGUUUGGUUGCAUUGUUCUGUGGUCAUGCAUACAUGCCACUUAGUGAUCAGUCUGUAACUGUCAAUCAUUGGGCUUUGACUGAACAACAUCAGCCAUGUAUAAAUACUUGCAAAUCAAACGGUCUUCUUCCUCCCAUAAGGAAUUUCGGUUUAAUUAUGAAGCAUGCAUUUGGCUGACCAUCAUAAACCACUUCUUUAAAUUGAUGAAUGAUAGUUUUUCAUUCAUUCUUUCAUUCGUUCAUAUACAGAGUAUAUAUAGAGGGUAAUCAUCAUUCUAAGAAUGGGAAAGAAUGAUACAAGGAAAUAAUGAUAUAAAGAAAUAACAACUAAUAUUCUAAUAUCUCAACUUUCCUAAUAUCUAAACAUUCCUAAUAUCUCAACACUAAAUGAUAUAAAGAAAGAAUGAUAUAAGGAAAGCAUUCCUAAUAUCUCAACACUCCUCCUCAAGUUGGUGCAUAGAUGUCAAACAUGUCCAACUUGUCUAAAAAUUUUGAGAACAGUUGACUUGAGACAUCUUUGGUGAGGAUAUCGGUCAAUUGAUCUUCUGAUCGAAUCUUAGGCAAUUCCACAAUCUUAUCAUCCAACUUUUCCUUAAUGAAAAAUCUAUCCAUCUCGACAUGCUUUGUACGAUCAUGUUGUACUAGAUUAUGAGCAAUGUCACAUGCUGCUUUAUUGUCACAAAACAAUCGGAUUGGUUGCCUAGAUAGGUAACCUAAAUCCUAUAAGAGGAGUCUUAGCCAUAAUGCCUCACAAAGUCCUAAAGUCAUACCUCUAAAUUCCGCUUCUGCACUUGAACGAGCGACGACAUUUUGCUUCUUACUUUUCCAUGUCACAAGAUUACCACCUACAAAGGUAAAGUAACCAGAUGUAGAUCGCCUAUCAUCCACUGCACCGACCCAAACAGCAUUAUACUUCUAUACUCUGAUGAUCAACAUUUUUAGCGAACAAAAUUCCCUUCCUAGGAGCAUUCUUCAAAUACCUCAAAAUACGCAUGACUACAUUCAUAUGUUGCUCUCCAGGAUUAUGCAUGUAUUGACUCACUACACUCAAUGUAUAAGCAAGAUCUAGUCUUGUAUGAGCUAAGUACAUUAAUCUCCCCACAAGUCUCUGGUAUCUUCCCUUAUCGAUUGAUACUUGAUUAGGCUCAACACACAAUUUCAGACCUUCUUCUAUUGGUGUAUUAAUAGGUUGACAUCCCGACAUUCCAGUUUCCUGUAGAAGAUCUAAGGCAUACUUUCUUUGAGACAGAAAAAUUCCUUCACUUGAUCGAGAAACUUCAAUCCCAAGAAAGUAUUUCAGACGACCAAGAUCUUUCAUUUCAAAUUCUCUAGAUAGAUACUUUUGCAAAGCUUUUCUUUCUUCAGGAUCAUUUCCUGUAACUACAUGUCAUCCACAUAUAUCAUAAGUGUCGUAAUCUUACCAUGUUGCUUUUUCAAGAACAAAGUGUGAUUUGAAUUACUUUGAUGAUAGCCAAAAGCUCUCAUUGAUUUUGUGAACCUUCCAAACCAUGCUCUCGGGGAUUGCUUCAACCCAUACAAUGACUUCUUCAAUUCGCACACCUUCUGACAUUGCUUUUCUGACACCAUGCAUCCUGGUGGAAGAUCCAUAUAUACUUCUUCAGAUAAAUCGCCAUGCAGAAAGACAUUUUUUACAUCGAACUAUUGUAAUGGCCAAUCUAGGUUUGCAGCUAAAGACAAUAAUACUCGAACUGUGUUGAUCUUAGCUACAGGUGCAAAUGUCUCUGUGUAGUCAAUUCCAUAAGUUUGAAUGUACCCACUAGUCUUGCUUUAAAUCGUUCAAUACUACCAUCUGCCUUGUACUUCACAGUAUAGAUCCAACGACACCCAACUAGCUUCUUUCCUGGUGGACAUUCUACGAGUUCCCAUGUUUCAUUUUUCUGCAAUGAUUUCAUCUCUUCAUUCAUGGUUGCUUUCCACUUUGGAUCAGCUAAAGCUUCCUGCACACUAUUAGGAAUAGCUACAGUAGAUAAUUGAUUUACAAAUGACUUAUUUGAUUCAGACAAACCAUGGUGUGGACCCGCAUUUUUCACGUGCGCCUCUACUCGAUCGGCGAGACUCGCUUUCUAUUUGUGAAAAAUUAAUUUUAGAAAAGUUGGAGUCGCCACCUAUUUUAUUUUUAUUUUGAAGGGAAAAUAAAACAAGAAAGAAAAACCCUAAAAAGUGACUCCAUAGUUUUGGAAAAAGCAUGUCUUUGGGAAACCUGAGUCUAGGUCCGGGGAUCAUGUUACUUAUUGGGAAGGUACCUCUAGGAGGUAGCACCCCUCUAAGCCUUAUGAAGGUCUCUACUAACUAAAUUAAGGGAAGUGUGGCAAUAAAUCGAUUGAUCAUAGAUACCUAAGUAGACUAGGUGAUUUUAAAGUGUGGCAUGUCAAACACAAUCAAAUUGCAAUAAAGGAGAGUUAGGGCGCGUACCUGAACCGCUUCUCAAGCGCUAUCAUAAAACAUCAAUGGUUAAUUUAAAUAAUAUAUCAUCCAGCAUGUAUUUUAUUAGAAAUAAUCAAACAAUGAAACAUGUAUAUCAGAACACUCAAGCAUUAUUAGACAUAAGCAUUAUUUCACUAUUCACAGAAUUCAGAAAGUAGGUGAUAGAGGACAUACCUGGAUAGCAUAGAUAAUUUGUAAUGUGCUUCCUCAAGUUGUAAGGGGUUAGAUAACAAAUAAUAAAAUAUAGAAAUCCUAGCAUGCUCGUUAUCUAAUUAGCAUAGCAAAAGUGAUCACAGUAUACAGAAUCAUCAAUUAUCACAUACAUCUUGUAUAUAAUUCCUAAAAAAAAUAGAUAGACAUGAUUUCAACAAGUGUCAAAUGUGGCAACAAAAAUAAAUUUUGAAAAGAUUUUCUUAUGUAGGGGUUUCACCAAUUCCCCAAAUUAAUAUACACGAAUUUAGCUUAGAAUUAUCCCAUUUAUUUGGGACUACAAGCUUUGAUUCGUGUUUUUGUUCAAAACCAAAAAUUUUUGUUGAAAAUCAAGAAGGAUGCGAACCGAACAAGAUAUGGUUGCAUAUUAUUUUUAAAUAAAUAAAUAAAUAAAUAAAGGAGAUUUUGAUCCUGAGGACUUUAAUGAGUUUUUUUUUUUAAAAUAGAUUUUUAAAAUGAUUUUUUUGAGAAAAGUAUUUUAUUUUAAAAUAAAAGGGAUUAAUUUGGGAAAAAAAUAAAAUAUAAGAAAUAAAAUACCAAACAAAACAAAAAUGAAACCUCAAAGUAAAAUUUUUUUAGUAAUUAACAAAAAUGAUAAUGGUGAUGGUAGAGGGCAAUCUUCAUGAUUUUCCAAUGGCCUCAGAAAGAAAAUCAAAUUAAAUGAAGGAUCACUAACAGGCAAGACAUUCUAAAUUAGACAAACUAACAAAGUAUCAAUUCAUGAACUAACCGCUAGGAUUUUGAAAGCAUAUAAGCUAAGAUAAGGGUGAUCAGGAACUAAUAUUAAUGAUUUUGAAAUAAAAACUAAAAAAAAGGAUCAAUUCGGGUAAGGAACUAAAAUUAUAAAAGUACCUAAACUAAUUAUGACGAGUUUGACUAAAUUAAACUAAAAACAUGAACUUUCAAACAUAGAAUUAAUUUUACUAAUGAACCAAAGCAAACUAAAAAUAUGUACUUUCAAGCAUAGAAUUAAUUUUAUUGAUGAACUAAACUAUAACAAAUAUCUAAACUAAAUAUAAUGAAUCAAAUUAAAUUAAAGCAACUUAAAAACGCAAACUUUCAAACAUAGAAUCAAUUUUAUCAAUGAAUUAAAACUAUAAAUGUAUUUGAACUAAAUAGAUGAAUCAAACUAAAUCAGAGCAAAAUUAAAAAAAAAAAAGAACUUUCUAACAUGAAAUCAAUUUUAUCAACAAAUAAAUGAAUGAAUAACAAGUAAUUAAAAGAAUAGCUACUACAUGAAUAACUGAAUGAAUAAAAUUCAAAUGUUUUCAAUCUGAAGCAAUCAAUCAAAAUUAAAUAGGGAUCAAAUCAAAAUAAUCGAAAUCGGAAAAACAAUAUGCAAUCUUUCUAAAGGUUUAACCAGACAAUUGAAUUAAAAUUAUGAAUAGAAUAAAUUAAUAAACCAAAUCGAAACCUAAAUUGUACCUAAAAAGAUUAAUUAAUUAAACUAAGAAAUCAAAAUCAAUAACAAAACUAAACUAAGGAGUAAAUUAAGACAAGACUAAUUAAAUUAAACUCACAAACACGUUUUAACUAUCAUAUGGAUUAAAACAAAAUUAGCAUGGACUUAUGAAUUACGAACAAAAAUAAUCAAAACUAUUUUAAAAAACUCACCUCUAUUAUAAGAAAAAAUCUGCCUUUGAUGCGUUGAGGUGGCUCCCCUCUCUGUGUGGAUCUCUCUGCUCCCCAGAAAAAAAAUGUCUCUUCCUCCGUUCUCUUUUGUUUCAGCAAAAUAAUAUAUCCCCUGCUGUGGAUCUCUCUACUCCCAGAAAAUAAUAUAUUCUCUCCGUGUCCUAAAGUGGACCUAGGGUGCCUAAGUGGACCUAGGGUGCCUAAAUGGGCCUAGGGUGCCUAAAUGGGCCAAGUGUAUCUAAAUAGGCUUAGGGUGCCUAAGUGGGCCUAAGUCUAAGUGAGCCUAAGUCUAAAUCAAGACUACCAAGGAUCAUAAUAAGGGGUUAGGCAAUCCCUUAACCAAAGUCUCCAAGGUGGCUAAAAAAAAGUAAGUAGUAUGAGUAGCUAUGGGUCACCAAGGAACUACUGUGGAGCAUUGAAAACGAAUUUAAAGACAUGUGCCAAAGGGACAAAAUUGAGGGUCUACAGAUGGUUAGACACAUAGUUGCUCAUGGGAUAUUUGACUUUGGUAAACAAUUCAGAUUCAUAUGUGGGUUUAGGAAUACCUUUAUUAUGACGGUGUGGUAAUCGUUUCAUGAAUGGAUCAGGUUGCAAAUUAAGAACACCCUCAGCAAACAACGAUUGGUUUGGUAUUUCAGUGAAGACAUCUUCGAACCCAAAUUGUUGACCACUCAUAUCCAACUCACCCGCUUCCUGGUUCACUAGUUCAGAUUGUCCAAAUUCAUCAUUCUCAUAGAUAUGAUAAUCAUAAUCGAGAGUCUGAAUUUCCUUAUGGUACUCCCCCUGAAGUUCAGACUUAGAUGAAAAAUACAUCGAAUAUUCAUGAAACAGCNNNNNNNNNNNNNNNNNNNNNNNNNNNNNNNNNNNNNNNNNNNNNNNNNNNNNNNNNNNNNNNNNNNNNNNNNNNNNNNNNNNNNNNNNNNNNNNNNNNNNNNNNNNNNNNNNNNNNNNNNNNNNNNNNNNNNNNNNNNNNNNNNNNNNNNNNNNNNNNNNNNNNNNNNNNNNNNNNNNNNNNNNNNNNNNNNNNNNNNNNNNNNNNNNNNNNNNNNNNNNNNNNNNNNNNNNNNNNNNNNNNNNNNNNNNNNNNNNNNNNNNNNNNNNNNNNNNNNNNNNNNNNNNNNNNNNNNNNNNNNNNNNNNNNNNNNNNNNNNNNNNNNNNNNNNNNNNNNNNNNNNNNNNNNNNNNNNNNNNNNNNNNNNNNNNNNNNNNNNNNNNNNNNNNNNNNNNNNNNNNNNNNNNNNNNNNNNNNNNNNNNNNNNNNNNNNNNNNNNNNNNNNNNNNNNNNNNNNNNNNNNNNNNNNNNNNNNNNNNNNNNNNNNNNNNNNNNNNNNNNNNNNNNNNNNNNNNNNNNNNNNNNNNNNNNNNNNNNNNNNNNNNNNNNNNNNNNNNNNNNNNNNNNNNNNNNNNNNNNNNNNNNNNNNNNNNNNNNNNNNNNNNNNNNNNNNNNNNNNNNNNNNNNNNNNNNNNNNNNNNNNNNNNNNNNNNNNNNNNNNNNNNNNNNNNNNNNNNNNNNNNNNNNNNNNNNNNNNNNNNNNNNNNNNNNNNNNNNNNNNNNNNNNNNNNNNNNNNNNNNNNNNNNNNNNNNNNNNNNNNNNNNNNNNNNNNNNNNNNNNNNNNNNNNNNNNNNNNNNNNNNNNNNNNNNNNNNNNNNNNNNNNNNNNNNNNNNNNNNNNNNNNNNNNNNNNNNNNNNNNNNNNNNNNNNNNNNNNNNNNNNNNNNNNNNNNNNNNNNNNNNNNNNNNNNNNNNNNNNNNNNNNNNNNNNNNNNNNNNNNNNNNNNNNNNNNNNNNNNNNNNNNNNNNNNNNNNNNNNNNNNNNNNNNNNNNNNNNNNNNNNNNNNNNNNNNNNNNNNNNNNNNNNNNNNNNNNNNNNNNNNNNNNNNNNNNNNNNNNNNNNNNNNNNNNNNNNNNNNNNNNNNNNNNNNNNNNNNNNNNNNNNNNNNNNNNNNNNNNNNNNNNNNNNNNNNNNNNNNNNNNNNNNNNNNNNNNNNNNNNNNNNNNNNNNNNNNNNNNNNNNNNNNNNNNNNNNNNNNNNNNNNNNNNNNNNNNNNNNNNNNNNNNNNNNNNNNNNNNNNNNNNNNNNNNNNNNNNNNNNNNNNNNNNNNNNNNNNNNNNNNNNNNNNNNNNNNNNNNNNNNNNNNNNNNNNNNNNNNNNNNNNNNNNNNNNNNNNNNNNNNNNNNNNNNNNNNNNNNNNNNNNNNNNNNNNNNNNNNNNNNNNNNNNNNNNNNNNNNNNNNNNNNNNNNNNNNNNNNNNNNNNNNNNNNNNNNNNNNNNNNNNNNNNNNNNNNNNNNNNNNNNNNNNNNNNNNNNNNNNNNNNNNNNNNNNNNNNNNNNNNNNNNNNNNNNNNNNAACCAAAGGAAGCAUGUUCCAGACGUCGAUGCCACAACCAAAUUUCAGACUUUUUCUUCUCCUCCUUAGAUCCAUCUGCCAUCAAGGCUUGUUGCAACUUAUUUGAAUCCUUUGAUUGCAAGUCCAAGUAUAGAGUUUCCCCCGCUUAAUACGACAACCAAUCGUCUGUCUUGUUUGAAUGUCCUUAAUCACACAAAAUUCAGGCCAAAAAAUGACAAUACAAGAUAAGGCUGCAGUGAUUUGAGAAACUAACAAAAGAUUGUAAUCUAAAGAUGGAACAACUAAAACAGAAUCCAAAUUCAAAGUAUCAGUAAGAGUUAAGGAUCCUUCCCCAAUGACUGGGGUUGUGUUACCAUUGGCUGUGGAAACAAUUUUUUGUGAGGAAGGUCUAAGGGGUGAAACCUGUCUAGAAUCAAAAGUCAUAUGAUCUGUAGCACCAGAAUCAAUUAUCCAUGCACUAUUAAUAACAGGUGUAAAAGUAUUUAAAAACUUACCACAAUGAUCUGUAGCGGCUACUAAUGCAGAGACUUUCUCAACAACAUUAGUCUUUGUUUUUAUUUCGGUAACAGUUGCAAUCAAGGUUUUCUUGGAAUUCUUCUUCCGUUGAUCACGAUUAUUAUCAUUAAUAACAAAGUGUUGAUAGCCUAAACAUGAUCUAAAGGUCCAUGGUGCAAACCCUCGGUUCCUCAUUGUUUUCCUGGUCAUACCAAGAGUUGUUGCUUUGAAAUUGUGGGAUAUCCAGACUGGUGGGAUCAGUUUUAUUGCAGUGAGUGCAUUUGAAUGUUGACUUAUCAAUAUUAGGGCUUGUCUUCGGAUGGUUGAUUGCUGUUGGACUACCAUAGCGACAAAAUAUCCAGGAUUUCAAUUCCAGGGCUCUGAUACCAUCUUCAAAUUGAUGAAUGAUAGUUUUUCAUUCAUUCUUUCAUGUACAGAGUAUAUAUAGAGGGUAAUCACCAUUCUAAGAAUGGGAAAGAAUGAUACGAGGAAAUAAUGAUAUAAGGAAAUAAUAACUAAUAUCCUAAUAUCUCAACUUUCCUAAUAUCUCAAUAUUCCUAAUAUCUCAACUUUCCUAAUAUCUAAACAUUCAUAAUAUCUCAACACUAAAUGAUACAAGGAAAGAAUGAUAUAAGGAAAACAUUCCUAAUAUCUCAACACCACUUCAUGAUAUAUAUAGUUUCUUACCCUUAAUCAAUGGUUUCUAAGUGAAUUUAUAUAGAAAGAAAUCCAAACUGUAGACAGCAGUAUUGGUAACACUCAAUAUUCUGUAUAUAAUAGAAUAAAUAGCGUCACAGUGAUCGUCGCCUACAAGCAAGGUACAAAUACCACAAAGAGUGACCCACAUAGACAUUCCCCAACAAGAUGUAGUAGUGACUGACACAUAGCCACAAUUAACACGUAGAAAAGGAUAAGACCGGUGCACAGUAGCUCUUAUUUUACAUACUACUUAUGCCAACCAAAGUCACUCAGUUGGGAUGGGAGGGAGAUGGAGGUUUGUGCGGUGGCUUGUGGGGCGGAGUUGAUGGCUUCUUUCCAGGAGCUUCUGGCUUUUUCAUCGGAGCUGAAGGAGGCUCAAUCUUAUGAGGCGGCUUGUACGAGUCUUCUUUGCUCUCGAAAGGAGGGUGGCCAGGGUUGUGACCAUAAUGUGGUGGUUUCUCUCCCUUGGGAGGUUUACCAAUUGGGGUUGGUGGCUUGUGUUCUGGGAGUGGUUUCUCUCCCUUGGGAGGUUUAGUGGGUGACUUGUGUUCUGGAGGUGGCUUCUCCACCGAAGGCUUGUGCUCCGGUGGUGGCUUUUUGGUUGGAGGGGGCUUGGGGUAAUCAGCAAGAGAUGGGGUGGUGAGAACCACCAGUCCAAGGAACAACACUAGCAAGUAUGUGGGAGACAUUUUUGAGUUUGGGCUGAUCAGAUGAUGCAAAACUAAAGCAUUACGUGACCUUUUAUAGCAAGUAGCUCCCAAUACCUACUUGACACGUGUUACUGUGACCCAUAAAUAUUAUGGGGUCUAUUUGUGCCCUACCGGGUUGAAAACUUGGACAAUUGGGCAAGGACCCGCCUGACUAUGGAGGACUACUGAGGUGUGAUCACAGCUUUAGGAUUUUUCUUCCUCUGCAGCCGUCUUGCCGUUGGCAUGAUUUUCUUAAUCUCAAAUAAAGGCAUAGUUAUAGAGUUGUUUAAUCUCUAAAUGGGAUUUUAUAUAUCUUCAGAUAGCCAUUAAUACAUUUGAUGAAGAAAGAAAGACAAGUGCAUACAACAUGUAUACGACUAGCUUUCAUGGAGUUCAUUUAUGAUCAGUUUUCCUGUACAUGUAAACCAAGAUCAUAUAUGUUUUUGUUCCACAACAAUUUUGGAAUCUUGUUUAUCCGUUUUUAUCAUUAUAAUGUCACAUAGGCUGCCAACUUGGGCGCUAAAUUAAAGAUCCAGUUGGGCAAGUUCGUUUCAGAAUUUCAAUGGUGGAUUCAGGAAUUGUUUUAUAAGAUAUGCAAAAUAGUAGAGGGAUGAAUAGUGUUUCAUUAAGAAAAGAGCCCUGUAAAAAUAUUGUUUAAAGGUGCCAUAGAAACUAUAAUCAAUAAAUAACUUUUUUUCCCCAUGGGUGGUGUUUCUUGUGGGGAUCAGUGACUGGUUUGAGUCAACGCCGUGUCUCUUUAGUCCAGAAAUCAACUAUUUUAUGCAUUGAAUACAUCAACAAAGAAAAUAUGAAAGCCAAAUGACACCUCCCCCGCAAAAACUAAACCCUGGUUGCUAACUUUCUAUGUUUCAGUUCCAUUCACACAAGAAUAUUAGUUCAAGUUUGAGAAAAAUGGCGACUUACCUAGUGAUAACUCGGUCUUGGUUUGCGAUUUGACUUUAACGUCAUGGGUUGAAGCCUCCUACAAUCAUCGUGUAUGCUAGUUCAAAGCUCGUGGAAGAAGUUAUACAGGGAGGGAGAAACCUCCACAGCAAGCUCCAAAAGAGAAUUAUCACAUUGAAAGCUCCAGUUGAACACUGGGUGAAAGCCAUAACAAGAUUGGUUUUCUAUCGCUCUUUUAAGUAAUGGAAGAUUAUUAUCUCUGCUUGUCACUACAACCGUGCAUGCUGCUAGAUCUUUCUAGACACUUCAAACAGUGAAACCAAGUAUGAUUCUUUUUCUCUUGAGUGGGUCCACUUGCAUGCCAAUGAACGAGUUGAAAAGUUGGACAAUUGGCCACAGCGCGCACUUACCUUCUGGAACCGAAGGUCAGUGAAGUGGGGUUCCUUUUGGCCCCUUGUGUUUCUGUUCCAACCUACUCCAGGAACCGAAGUUCAGUGAAGUGGGGCUACUUUUGGCCUCUUGUGUUUCUGUUCCAACCAAACAAAAAUGGGAGGGAAAAAUAGCAUUAUGCUUGUGCUAAAGAUCAACGCAUGAUAGCUGAAUAAGGGAGAAAAAGGCAUUGCUAUCUCAAUUUCAUAAACUUGAUAAGUAGUGACAUUAAUAGUCUUCCUCAUAGAUGGAUACAUGGUUUUAUUUUAUUUAUUUAUUUUUAUUUUUUUGUUUUAUGUCAAUGCUAAUGAAUGAAGUGCAUUAGCUUGUUUUGUGACUAGAACUACAAAUGUCCAAAUUGGAGCUUCUCCAAUAUAUUUCUCAGUGAGUUAUUGAUUAGAACUCUUGGAUUGAGUUCCAAGAUUUGAAUCAGACCCCUCUAGCAGCUUCAGGGGUACGUAGCAACCUAUAGCAUAUUAAUGAAGACUUAGGAUUUAGACUUAGGAAUACAAAUUAAUAUGUACCUCAUGCUCUGACUAGCUUCCCUGCGUAUGCACAAAAUGGAGAUGACUCCCAAAAAAAUAGCAGAAUCGCCUUAGUAUGUUUUUGUGGUUAAGAUGAUUCUCCACUUUAUAUAUCCACAUUGGUUCAUUAUGCAAAUUAAUCAACUAAGCUAUUUUUAUUUUUUCUUAAAUGUGAAAUAGGAGCUCCAAAUUAACCUAACCAUUGGCCUGAUUGAAUUGAUUUCACUUGCAUAAUGUUAUAGUAGAAGUCCGUAAUUUGAAUUUUAUUUUUGCAAAAGGUAACGUAAAUGAAGCAUUGUAAUUAAAUUUAUUUGUAAUUACAAACUAAUUUUAUUUUAUUAAGAAUUAAUUUAAUUACUCAUUUAAAAUAAAAAUCAGUUAUACUUUUACCAAGAUGAUAAUAUUCAUAUUUUUCUAGUUAACAUAUAUAAAAUAGUACACUUUUUCAUAUAAAAAAAUAAUUUAUGAUUUAUUAUAAUGUUACUAUUCACAUUUUACUAAAUUGAUGGUACAUGAUAGUGAGAGAAGGGGGUGUCACACUCAGCUAAAGUUCUUUUCAAAAUAUUGCAUGGUGUUUAAUUUUAUGUGUCGGCGCGCGUGUGAAUGGAACCUGCAAAAGUCCAAAUUGGCGUUUCUCCAUUUUCCACAUAGGAUGGUGACGUUAAUAGACAAAGAUACAAUAUCUGUAGACAUUGCUUAAAAAUCGAUGUGAAGUAUUAGAAAUUACAGGGCACUGUACUGGGGGAGCGGCUGCCCCGCCAAAGGAGGAAGAAUGUAGCAAUUUCUUCUGUUAGCCAGGCCUUAGGAUUUAUGCAUGGGAUGCCUAAUAACAAACAGAGAAAAUAUACUUUUGGGGAAGGUAUCCAACAACAGACACCAUCAUUCAGAUGGUGGGAAGGUAUCCAACAGAUGCCAUCAUUCAGAUGGUAACAUAUAUAUACAUUUAUUAGUGAGUUUUUUUAAUACCUAUAAAAAAAAAUAUACACUUUGAUAUUGUGGCUGAAUCCAUUACAUACUCAACUAACCUUGCUCAUUAGGGAUUUGACUUAACAAGGGCAACGUUGCAGUACAAGCUCAAAACUUUAUGCAGGUGACAUUACAUUUGGUAAAGAAGAGGAAAAUAACGAAAGCCAUCCAUAAAAGCAAAAUUCCACAUGGGAUGAAAUUCACAAGCUUCAUUUACGAUAGAGUCGCAUCCAGGCAAUUAAUUCCACAUUAGACCGCCUGUUGACAUGUGUACCAAUCUUUUUUCAAAAAAUAUUUAUAAAUAAUUGAUACUCACAAAAAUAAUUUAAUAUUUAUAAAGGAUAAAAAAAUAUUUUCAAAUCUAUAACAAUUUAUAAAAUAUUAAUAAAAAAUUAUCUCUUAAACUUAGUAUAGUUUUAUCAGAUUAAACUUUUAUUUUGAACAAAUAAUUUUAAUCUAAGUUUUAAAUUCUAAAAUUAUUUCCUUAAAAUAAAAUUUUAAAAUUCAACACUUCAAUUGAAAUUGUCUUUUUAAAAAAUAUCUUCUUAUUUUAAUCCUUAUAAACUAUAGUUGAUUGAAAAUACUAUUGAAGUUCUCUCUUAAAAAAAAGUCUUAUUUUAAUCUUCAUAAAUUGCCCUUGAUUUGAAAAUAAAUUUUCAGUUAUCAUAUUUUAAAUAAUAUCUAUAUUUAAAAUACUCUAUUUAAAAAAAAAUGAACUAAUUUUAAUUAUAUUAUAUUUUAUUUUUUUAUAUAUUUUUAAUGAUAAACCAAACAUAGAAAAUCAUUUUUCUAAAUAUUUUAAAAUUUCUAAGCAACCAAACAUAAUCUUCAAAAUAAAAGGAAAAUAAGGAGGGACAUUUGAGAAAUGGCGAUUAAAAAAAAGUGUACAAAAGCUCAAUUAAUUUUCUUCUAGUCUUUUAUAUAAAAAAGUAAAGGAAUUGAAAAGUAUUGAUAUGUAAAUUAAUAUUUGGAUUUUAAUAGUAUUUUAUUUGUCUUUCUCUAUCUCAUGUAAAAGAGAAUUUAAGAUAUUUCCUAAAGCAAAGCAUUAGUUAUCUGCAAUCAGUGGUGAUCAUGCCCCAUGUCAAUUUCGGACCCAUAUCUUAAAACUGUAUAAUUUGCAUUCAAACAUUACUGAUUUCUCAGAUGUUUCAUACUCCACAGAAGAGCAUUGUUUGUGAAAGCAUGCAUUUAUGUUGGAUUUUGGAUGAUGUGGGAACUGGGGCAAGGAUCAUAUGGAAGAGUGGUCGAUUUUGUUCUGUACUUUAACAUUUGAAAUAGGAGAAGCUCGGGCAUUUGUGGGGCUUAAUUGAUUUUGAAGCCUGAAAUUGCGUUUCUGUCAUUUUGUAAAAAAUAUGGCAGAUUCCAUGCUCUCAUAUGUUUGGUCUGUGGCCAUGUAUAGAUGCCCCUUAGUGACCAGUUUGUAACUGUCAAUCAUAGUGUUUUGACUCUGGCUCAACAACAUCAGCCAUUGACGGAUUUUCAUACUUGCAAAUCAAAUAGUCUUCUUCCUCCCUUAGGAAUUUCGGUUUAAAUGUUAUUAAGCAUACAUUUGGCUGACAAUUAUUAACCACUUCAUGAUAUGGUUUCUUACCCUUAAUCAAUGGUUUCUAAGUGAAUAUAUGCAGAAGGAAAUCUGAACUGUAGACAGCAGUAUUGAUAACUCUCAAUAUUCUUUAUAUAAGAGAAUAAACAACGUCAUAGUGAUCGUCGCCUACAAGAAAGGUACAUUUCCCAACAAGAUGUAGUUGUGACUGGUACAUGGACGCAAUUAACUCGUACAAAAGAAUAAGACCAGUGCACGGCAGCUCUUAUUUUACAUGCUAAUUAUGCUAACCAAAGUCACUCAGUUGGGAUGGGAGGGAGAUGGAGGUUUGUGCGGUGGCUUGUGGGGCGGAGUUGGUGGCUUCUUUUCAGGAGCUUGUGGCUUUUUCGGAGCUGAAGGAGGCUCAAUCUUAUGAGGCGGCUUGUACGAGUCUUCUUUACUCUCGACAGGAGGGUGGCCAGGGUUGUGACCAUAAUGUGGUGGCUUCUCUCCCUUAGGUGGCUUGCCAACUGGGGUUGGUGGCUUGUGUUCAGGAAGUGGUUUCUCUCCCUUGGGAGGUUUACCAAUUGGGGUUGGUGGCUUGUGUUCUGGGAGUGGUUUCUCUCCCUUGGGAGGUUUAGUGGGUGACUUGUGUUCUGGAGGUGGCUUCUCCACCGGAGGCUUGUGCUCCGGUGGUGGCUUCUCCACCGGAGGCUUGUGCUCCGGUGGUGGCUUCUUGAUUGGAGGGGGCUUGGGGUAAUCAGCAAGAGAUGGGAUGGUGAGAACCACCACUCCAAGGAACAACACUAGCAAGUAUGUGGGAGACAUUUCUGAGUUUGAGCUGAUCAGAUGAUGCAAAACUAGAAGAAUUACGGGACCUUUUAUAGCAAGUAUCUCCCAAUACCCACAUGACACGUGUUACUAUGACCAUAAAUAUUAUAGGGUCCAUUUGUGCCCUACCGGGUUGAAAACUUGGACGCUUGGCCGAGGACACACCUGACUAUGGAGGACUAUUGACGUGUGAUCACAGCUUUUGGAUUUUUCUUCCUGUGCAGCUGUCUAGCGGUUGGCAUUAUUUUCUUAAUCUUAAAUAAAGGCAUAGUUAUAGAGUUGUUUAAUCUCUAAAUGGGAUUUUAUAUAUCUUCAGAUAGCCAUUAAUAUAUUUGAUGAAGAAAGACAAGUGCAUACAACAUGUAUACGGCUUGCUUCAAUCGAGUACAUUUAUGAUCAGUUUUCCUGUGCAAGUAAACCAGUUUUUUGUUCCACAACUAUUUUGGAAUCUUGUUUAUCAGUUUCUAUCAUUAUAAUGUCACAUAGGCUGCAAACUUGGGCACCCAAAGAUCUAGGUGGGCAAAUUUGUUUCAGACUUUCAAUGGUGGAUUCAGUAAUUGUUAAAAGGUGUUUCUUCAUUAAGGAAAGAGUCCGGUAAAAAUAUUGUUAAAAGGUGUCAUAGAAACUAUAAUAAAUAAAUAACUUCUUUUCCCCAUGGGUGGUGUUUCUUCUGGGGAUCAGUGACUGGUUAGGGUCACCCAAAAUGAGUCCAGAUUAAAAUUGGUUCGAGUCAAAGCAGUCUCUUUUGUCCAGAAAUCAACUAUUUUGCGCAUUGAAUGAAUCGAUAAAGAAAAAAUGAAAGCCAAAUCACACCUCCCCUGCAAAACCUAAACCCCGGUUGCUAACUUUCUAUGUUUCAGUCCUAUUCAUAUAGGAAUAUUGGUUCAAGUUUGAGAAAAAUGGCAACUUACCUAGGGUUUACUUGGUUUUGGUUUGCGACUAUUUACGCAACCAACCAUGAGUUUGACUUUAACGUCAUGGGUUGAAGCCUCCUACAAUCAUGUAUGAUAGUUCAAAGCUCGUGGAAGAAAUUAUACAGGAAGGAAGAAACCUCCAAAGCUAGCUCCAAAAGAGAAUUAUCACAUCGAUAGCUCCAGAGAUUCCCAAGGGAACUGAAUCAAAGACAAGUUCCUCACUUUUUCUUCUUUUGAGGCCAAAUAUGAACCAAGGAUCACACGACCUCAUUCAACUUCAUAAGUUUGAUUUCAUGCAGUUGAACACUGGGUGAAGGCCAUGACAAGAAUUGAUUAAAAAAUUCUACCACUCUUUUAAGUAAUGGAAGAUUAUUAUCUCUGAUUGGCACCACAACAGCACAUGCUGCUAGAUCUUUCUAGACACUCCAUGCAAUGAAAGCACAAUGGAUCUUGUAAUGAUAGAAACUAAGCCAUGCUACAGUACUAGAUGAGGGGGUAAAACUAGUAGACAUCUUUCUAGACACUCCAUGCAAUGAAAGCACAAUGGAUCUUGUAAUGAUAGAAACUAAGCCAUGCUACAGUACUAGAUGAGGUGGUAAAACUAGUAGACAUGGCUGGCAGUUGAUUACUACUCAAAAAGUACUCUUUUAUAGCUUGAAACUAACUGUUUUAAACACUUUUGAGUAGUAGUUAAUACCUUUUAACUUAAUUGGCACAUUAAGGAACCUAGCAAGGGUUACUAAUCAACAUUUGGCAAGUUUUGAUGUUUUUGGUAGCUAUUUGAUCAUUGAAACAAGCCAAGAAUGAGGGGGAAUUUUGUGAAGUCCAUGGCAAUGCAAGUUAAAGCUCAAAUACAUGAAGAAUCCAAGCUUUGGAGCACUUCAUAGCCCUUUGCCAAGCCAAUCAAAGAUGCAAGGAAGAAAACCAAAGGAAGAAAUCCAACAAUCAGCAUUUUGGCAUGGCUAUGUGAAAUUUCGCACACCAUGCGAAACCACAAGAGGCAGCCAAAGAAUUUCGCAUGGUAUGCGAAAUCUUCUUGUGCACUGACUCUGUUAGAUUUUUAUCUUCAGAUAUUUUGUGUAAUUUCCUAGUUUCUCCUUGUAACCAACUUAGAUAUUUUCUUUUAUAUCUUUUUUUAUAUUUUUUAGGUAACAUCAUAUAUAAGAGGAGAGACAUAAGGAGGAUAUGGAUGUUUUUCAUAGAACACUUGUAAAUUUUUGGUAGUAAGAAAUAUACAAAGCUUUUUGCUCUGCCUUACCUUCUCAAGGGAUGAGUGGCUAGGUUUUCUUGGAGUGAGGGAAGCUAGGUGAAGGACCUGAAUGCAAAGGUGGGAGUUUUCCUUACUUUAAAUGAAAGUAGUUGUUAAACAUUAAUGGUUUUUAUUUUAAGGUUUAGCUUUAAAUCCCUGAAAAACACCUUGAAUGGCCAAUACUUGGUAAGCUUUUUAGAUUCUAUGGAUGCUUAUUGCUAGAUCCAUGGAUGUCUAUUAGUUAUCAUUUACGAGCCAUUGGAAGGUGAUUCAAGGUGAGGGUCUUUAGUGUUUGAAGCCAUUAAUGGGAAGCAAUUACCAUUUUUUCAUGAAUCCUUUGGAUCAAAUCUUAAUUGCUAAAUAUAAAACCGGUUUCGAGAGAUAACCACCAUCCUUUAUGUUAUUAUCCCCAACGCGAGGAGAAGAUCCGAAAUCUUCCUUUUUAUCUAAGGAACCCGAUCCUAGUGACCUAAAGCUCCAAGAUACCUUUUCUUUGUAGUUAACUUCAUUUAUUGUUUUUGCUUAACUUAAAAUCAAUCUUUGCAACCACAAUUCCAUUUUCUUUAAAAGCUAAUUUUUAUAAGGAAAAACACCAUUUUAUUUCCUUCACUAAGUCAACUGUACGAUGAAAACCCAUCCCUGUGGACGAUCCUAGAGCCACUAUACUAUGUUAGCUAUGCUACCCUAGUGUGAGGUGAUUUAGGUUUUAUAAAUUUUUUUGAUAACACCCAUCUGAGCCAGAAUCAAAUGGCACGACUGAACCAGGGACGAAUCAAAUGACGCCGCUACCAAGGAUGGUGCCAAAGUACAUUGACAUGACUUUUGGUGAACACUUGUGAUCUUCACCACAAGUUUGGUGAUUUUUCUUUUACUAAUUUUUUUUAUUUUAGCUUAUCUUUUAUUUAGUUUUUAGUUAACCUUAAAUUUUUCCUAGAAUUGUAUUUCUUUUGUUUUCUUUGUUUUUGUUUCAGUGAUCUUUAGUUGUGCAUGCCCUAUUGGAUAAGAGAUAUUGAGGGAAUACUUGUGAAGAUUGAAACUCCUCGAGAAACUGAGUUAGAAGUGUGCUUGAACAUCAUGGAUGUUCCACCUGAAGACCAGAAUAGCCAACAUGGUUAAGAGGAUAAUUUCAACACAUACCGAUCCAUGAGGAACCGCAUACAUCCACCUUGUAUGAGUGCACCGUCAGGCAUAAUGCCUCCCACUGAGCAGCUAGUAAUCUGACCUCACAUUGUGCCACUCCUACCUACUUUCCAUGGGAUGGAGAGUGAGAAUCCCUACUCGCAUAUUAAGGAAUUCGAGGAGGUUUGUAAUACAUUCCAAGAAGGAGGAGCUUCAAUUGACUUGAUGAGGCUCAAGCUAUUUCCUUUCACUUUGAAGGAUAAGGCCAAGAUUUGGCUUAAUUCUUUAAGGCCAAGAAGUAUCCAAACUUGGAUUGAUUUGUAAGCCGAGUUUCUUAAGAAGUUCUUCCCUACCCAUAGGACCAAUGGUUUGAAAAGGCAAAAUUUGAACUUCUCAGUUAAAGAGAAUGAGAAAUUCUAUGAGUGUUGGGAGAGCUACAUGGAAGCUAUUAACGUUUGUCCUCACCAUGGCUUUGACACAUGGCUCUUAGUGAGCUAUUUUUACAAUGGUAUGUCUUCUUCAAUGAAGCAACUCCUAGAAACUAUGUGUGGAGGAGACUUCAUGAGUAAGAAUCCGGAGGAAGCCAUGGACUUUUUGAGUUAUGUGGCUGAAGUUUCAAGAGGAUGGGAUGAACCAAAUGCUAGAGAGGUGGGAAGAAUGAAGUCUCAACCUAAUGCUAAGGGUGAGAUGUAUGUUUUGAAUGAAGACAUUGACAUGAAAGCAAAGGUUGCAGCUAUGGCAAGGAGAUUGGAAGAGCUAGAAAUGAAGAACAUACAAAAAGUGCAAGCCAUUUCUGAGACAUCAAUGAAAGCUAUGCCUUGUUCCAUUUGUCAAUCUUAUAAGCACCUAGUGGAGGAGUGUCCUACAAUUCCAGCAGUGAGAGAGAUGUUUGGUGAUCAAGCAAAUGUUAUUGAUCAAUUCAAGCCUAAUAACAAUGCUUCAUAUGGCAACACCUACAAUUCAAAUUGGAGGAACCAUUCAAAUUUCUCUUGGAAACGAAAGCCACCUCAAUACACACAACCUACUCAAGCACCUUAGCAAUCCUCGAAUCUUGAACAAGCUAUUGUGAACCUUAGCAAGGUUGUGGGAGACUUUGUGGGAGAUCAGAAGUCCAUCAAUGCUCAACUGAAUCGGAGAAUUGACAGUGUGGAGAGUACAUUGAACAAAAGGAUGGAUGAGAUGUAAAAUGAUCUGUCUCAAAAGAUAGACAAUGUCCAAUACGUAAUCUCAAGGCUUACCAACCUCAACACAGUGUAAGAGAAAGGAAAGUUUCCUUCUCAACCUCAUCAAAAUCCUAAGGGUAUCCAUGAAGUAGAGGCUCAAGAGGGAGAAUCUUCAAAGGUGAGGGAAGUCAAAGUAGUUAUCACCUUGAAGAGUGGUAAAGAGGUUGAUCAACCCACAUCCAAGCCAAAGCAUAAUGAAGAGAGUGUAGCAGAAAAAGAAAAGAGAGGAAAAUAAAGGAAUUAGAAUAGAGAAAAAUACAAAGAAAGAUGACCAUGAGUCUAGUGUGGAUGAAGAGCCCGAGAGGAUGGUGAUCAAGGAAGAUAUGAUGAAGAAACACAUGCCUCCACCUUUCCCCUAAGCUUUGCAUGACAAAAAAAGAACCAAUAAUACAUCAGAAAAUUUUGAAGUAUUGAGGCAAGUGAAGGUCAAUAUCCCUUUGCUAGACAUGAUCAAACAAGUGUCGACAUAUGAAAAAUUCUUGAAGGACUUGUGCACUGUAAAGAGAGGGUUGAAUGUGAACAAGAAAGCUUUAUUGACCGAGCAAGUGAGUUCCAUCAUACAGUGCAAGUCCUAGUGAAGUACAAAGAUCCGGGUUGCCGUACCAUCUCAGUGAGUAUUGGAAGGACUUGUGUGGAGAAAGCUUUGUUGGACUUGGGAGCAAGUGUGAAUUUGCUAUCCUACUCUGUCUAUAAGCAGUUGGGAUUUGGAGAGUUGAAGCCAAUAUCCAUCACUCUAUCUCUAGCGGAUAGAUCAAUGAAGAUUCCAAGAGGGAUGAUCGAAGAUGUCCUGGUUCAAGUUAACAAAUUCUACUAUCCAGUAGAUUUUGUUGUUCUUGAUAUGGAUCCGGUUGUCAAAUGAACUAAUUAUGUUCCUAUCAUACUUGGAAGACCCUUCCUAGCUACAUCAAAUGCAAUCAUCAAUUGUAGGAAUGGAGUCAUGCAACUCACAUUUGUCAACAUGACAUUAGAGCUCAACAUCUUCCAUUUGUACAAGAAGCAUAUCCAUCAGGAGGAAAAAGAAGGUCUAGAGGAAGUGUGAAUGAUUGACACUUUAGUGGAAGAGCAUUGUGAUCGAGAAUGCAAAAAGAUUUAGUUGAGAAUUUUGGGGAUCUUGAUGAAAGGUUACUUGAACCCUCAGAUUUGCUUGCUACCCUACUCCAUUGGAAGAGAAGAGAAGAAAUUCUACCCUUAUUCAAUGAGGAGGAGACGCAAAGAGCUGCAAAGGAGAAACCCCCAAAACUUAUUCUUAAGCCACUACCCACAGAGUUGAAGUAUGUAUACUUGGAAGAAGACAAGAAGUGCCCUAUUGUUAUAUCUUCAACUCUUACCAUUCAUCAGGAGGAUUGUCUACUUGAAGUCCUUAGAAGAUGUAAGAAGACAAUAAGGUGGCUAAUUUCUUAUUUGAAAGGGAUCAGCCCUUUAGUCUGCACCCAUCAUAUUUACAUGGAGGAUGAAGCUAAGCUAAUUCAUCAACCUCAGAGAAGGUUGAACCCUCACAUGCAAGAGGUGGUUCGAGCUGAAGUUCUGAAGCUACUUCAGACCAGUAUUAUUUACCCCAUAUCAAAUAGCCCAUGGGUGAGUCCUACUCAAGUUGCGCCAAAGAAGUCUGGGAUCAUGGUGGUGCAAAAUGAUAAGGGAGAAGAUGUCUCUACACGCCUCACUACAGGUUGGAGGGUGUGUAUCAAUUACAGGAGGUUGAAUGCAGUGAUAAGAAAGGACCAUUUCUCAUUGCCCUUUAUUGAUCAGGUGCUUGAGAGGGUCUCUGGGCUUUUUUUUUUAUUGUUUCUUGGAUGGCUACUCCGGGUACUUUCAGAUAGAAAUUGAUGUUGAAAACCAAGAUAAGACCAUUUUCACAUGCCCAUUUGGAACCUAUGCAUAAAGGAGAAUGCCUUUCGGCUUAUGCAAUGCACCCGCAACUUUCCAAAGAUGCAUGUUAAGCAUUUUCAGUGAUAUGGUGGAGCGUAUUAUGGAAGUCUUUAUGGAUGAUAUCACCAUUUAUGGAAGUGCAUUUGAUGAAUGCUUGGUCAACUUAGAAGCUGUUCUGAACCGAUACAUUGAGAAAGACUUAGUGCUUAACUGGGAGAAGUGCCAUUUCAUGGUACACCAAGGGAUUGUCCUUGGGCACAUUAUCUCCAAGCAAGGCAUUGAAGUUGACAAAGCAAAGGUUGAACUCAUUGUUAAGUUGCCAUCCUCAACAAAUGUCAAAGGAGUAAGGCAAUUCUUUGGCCAUGUCGGGUUCUAUAGGAGGUUUAUCAAGGAUUUCUCUAAGCUUGCAAGGCCUCUUUGUGAAAUAUUGGUGAAUGAUGUUAAAUUCAUAUGGGAUGAUGGAUUUGAAAGGAGUUUUGAAGAAUUGAAGCUAUUUUUGACAACCGUACCAAUAGUGAGGGCUCCCAACUGGCAACUGCCCUUUGAAGUAAUGUGUGAUGUCAAUGAUUUUGCUAUAGGAUUUUUUCUUGGGCAAAGAGAAAAUGGAAAACCUUAUGUGAUCUACUAUGCGAGGAAGGCAUUGAAUGAGGCACAAAGAAACUACACAACCACCGAGAAAGAAUUGUUAGCUGUAGUUUUUGCCUUGGAUAAGUUUCGCGCUUACUUGGUGGGGUCCUUCAUCAUGGUUUUUACUGAUCACUUUGCUUUGAAGUAUCUGUUGACUAAGCAAGAUGCUAAAGCAAGGCUGAUUAGAUGGAUUCUCUUACUUCAAGAGUUCAAUCUCCAUAUCAAAGAUAAGAAAGGAGUGGAGAAUGUGGUAGCAGACCACAUUUCAAGGCUAGCUAUCGCACAUAAUUCCCAUGCUUUGCCCAUUAAUGACGAUUUUCUAGAGGGGUCUCUCAUGUUGGUGGAAGUUGUCCCUUGGUACGCUCACAUUGCUAACUACCUGGUCACGGGAAAAGUUCCAAGUGAGUGGAAAGCACAAGAUAAGAAGCACUUCUUUGCAAAAAUUCAUGCCUACUAUUGGGAAGAGCCAUUUCUAUUCAAGUAUUGUAUGGAUCAGAUAAUAAGGAAGUGCGUUCCUGAAGAAGAGCAACAGGGGAUCCUUAGUCAUUACCAUGAAAAUGCAUGUGGAGGCCACUUUGCUUAUCAAAAGACAGCCAUGAGGGUGUUGCAAUCGGGUUUCUGUUGGCCAUCACUUUUCAAAGAUGCCCACACCAUGUGCAAGAGUUGUGAUCGAUGCCAGAGGCUUGGGAAGUUGACACGCAGGAACAUGAUGCCUUUGAACCCCACUUUAAUAGUUGAUAUUUUUUAUGUUUGGGGCACUAACUUCAUGGGACCUUUCCCUAUGUCUUUUGGCUACUCUUACAUCUUGGUAGGAGUAGAUUAUGUUUCUAAGUGGGUUGAGGCAGUCCCAUGCAAACACAAUGACCAUAGAGUGGUUCUCAAGUUUCUUAAAGAGAAUAUCUUCUCAAGAUUUGGGGUGCCCAAAGCCAUAAUUAGUGAUGGGGGUACUCAUUUUUGCAACAAGCCUUUUGAAACUCUCCUAGCCAAGUAUGGGGUGAAGCAUAAGGUAGCUACACCUUACCACCCUCAAACUCAUGGACAAGUUGAGUUAGCAAACAGGGAGAUUAAAAACAUAUUGAUGAAGGUGGUGAACACAAACAGAAAAGAUUGGUCAGUCAAGCUUCUUAAUUCACUAUGGGCAUAUAGAACAACUUACAAGACCAUUCUCGGGAUGUCUCCUUAUCGCCUAGUUUAUGGCAAAGCAUGCCAUCUCCCUGUGGAAUUGGAAUACAAAGCUUGGUGGGCAAUCAAGAAGCUCAACAUGGAUUUGAGCAGAGCUGGGUUGAAGAGGUUCUUAGACCUUAAUGAGAUGGAGAAAUUGAGAAAUGAUGCCUACAUCAAUUCAAAAAUUGCAAAAGAAAAAUUGAAGAGGUGGCAUGAUCAGUUGAUUUCCCGCAAGGAUUUUCAAAAUGGACAAAGAGUCUUACUUUAUGACUCUAAACUCCACAUCUUUCCGGGCAAGCUGAAAUCAAGGUGGAUAGGUCAUUUUACCAUUCACCAAGUGCAUUCAAAUGGAGUAGUGGAACUACUCAACUCCAACAAUAUCGAGAACUUCAAAGUGAAUGGCCACCGUCUCAAGCCCUUUGUGGAGUCUUUUUCUCACAACAAGGAGAAAUUCAUCCUCCUUGAUCCACAUCAAGCUUAACAAGACCAAUUUUCUUGAUGGACUUAGUCUUUCUAAAGACUAUCGAGUCCAUAACUUUUUGUUUUAUUUUUUAUUUGAGAUUUUUUCGGUAUUGUUACUUGUUUUGUUUUUUAUUUUUCGUUUUAAUUUUAUUUGGUUUGAUUUAACUUAGGUUUUUGAUGAUCAAUUACAGGGGGGAUUUCAAAUAGAGGAAAAACCAAGAUAAUUCGCACACCCUACGAAAAUUUCGCAAGGCAUGCGAAAUUUAUGGCUUAUUUUGCAUGGGGUGAAAAUUUUCGUACAUCUUACGAACCAAUUUCGAACACUUUGCGAAAAUAAACCAACCCUGCGAAAUCAUUUCGAUUACUCUACGAAAUUUUCGUAGAGCAUGCGAAAAAUUUAGCACACCAAACACCAUUUCGCAUACUAUGCAAAAACCUAAGGGGUCUGCGAAACCAUUUCGCACCUCCAAAUCCAUUUCGCACAUUGUGCGAAAACCAAGAGGCGCUGUGCGAAAAUGAAAAGUCGCCCUGUCAUCCCUUUUUAAACCCCUCGAGCCCUAAAAUCUCCAUUUCGCAAGCACCCCUGUCCUUGCGAAUCCCUCAUUUUCCUCUACUACCUUGCAACCUCGUCCCUUUCCAUUUGAUAUUGUGCCCCGCGCACAUCUCAUUUCAGAGACUCGCACUCCGCGCCCCCUCAAAGCAUGGACUCGAGACCCACCUUCCAUUUCCGACGUGGCACGGACCCAAGGAGCCCUUUCUGCCCCUUCACUAAGACACACACCAAGGCAGAAAGCCUCCUUUGCUCAAGUGCCUAGUGAUUCUCCAUCUUAGGCCUCAGAGGCCUCGGAGGCCCCGUGGAUUCCACCUUCCGAGGGUAGAGCAGCCAUUGGUCCUUCCUCUUCUACUCCUUAGCGUAGAUACGAGACGAGGAGACCACCUACUACACAAGGGGCGACUACUUCGAGCCUUGAGAAUUCAGUACGAUGCCUUCCUGCCAAGAGGGUCAAGACUUCAGGUCCAAGUGAGUCAUCCAGAGCUUCAUAGCCUAAGCCUCCUGUAGAUUCCAAGGUUCCUACUGACAUAUCACCGGAGUCUAUUAUCAGAAGCCCGAUGCUCAUAGCACCGCCCAUUGAGGGCAACUCAGAUUAUAGAGCGAGAUCUUUCCACUUGGAGCUAUAUUUUGAUCAGGAGGCCAUACGACAGCAGCCUGAGCUCCGAGACUCUUAUGGCUUACUGCAGAGGUACCAUCUUGAGGAACUUAUGACUCCUCGUGAGUUUUUUUAUCCCAGAGUAGCACUAAACUUUUACCAGUCCAUGACUACUCGUGGCGUCCCGAGUCCUACCACGAUUCACUUCACCAUUGAUAGACGUCAUGGUAUCCUCAAGGCCAGACAUAUUACAGAGGCUCUACAAAUUCCUUUCGAGCUAGAGGAUCCAUCUGUUUUUCGCUAAUGGUCCCCAGUAUCUCAGAGGGACAUGGUCCGUAUUUUAUCUAGGGGAACAUCUACAGAUUCGAUCUUUCUACGGAAGGAGCUUCGACCUGGGAUGCUCCUCUUAGAUGUGGUGCUAUGCUCCAACCUCUUUCCCUUACAACAUUCGGUACAUAGGUGAUGAGCUAUUUUGGACGCUUUAUUCCGUAUAUCAGAGGGCUUCUACUUUGGCCCGCACCACUUGAUCAUGGUCUCCCUCAUCCACUUUGAGGAGAAGGUUCAUAGGAAGAAGCUUCAGAGGGUGGACACCAUUCCAUUACUAUUCCUGAGGUUACUUUGCCAGGUCUUGGAGUACAUGGGCUUUCCUACUGAGCCUCGGCUCGAGCUUUGCCGCCUUUGUCGAGAGUGAUCCACUCUCGACAAAUGGAAUUAGUUGGCGGGCUAUUCUGCACCUCCAGGAGCCCCUCCCAUGGUAGCACCUCCAAUGUCCCCACAGGCAAAGUAGGGCGAGCUCCCGGCAAAGACUGUACCACCAAUGCCCACACUUGAGGCUAUUUCUGCUGCUCUGCCUAUGACUCCUACUGUUCCACCAGUUGGUCCUUUUACAUCCGAGCCUUCCAUCACCAUCUCGGCUUCGGAGUUUCGCGCCCUUGUGCAUACCUUUCAGACACUCACCACCACACAUACUCCUCUCUUCUAGCAAAUGGUUGAGAUGUGUGCCCAUCAGGACCGGAAGACUACUAUACUCUGCCAAAUUCAGCAGCACCUAAGACUUUUGCCUCAACCUCAACCUAACCAUCCCAUAUCAUCAGAGCCUCUAGCUCCAACUGAGGAUACUAUUCCACCUGAGAACACUACCACAGUAGAGGUCCGGUUUCCACCACCUUAAGAGGCCACCACAGCUACAUCAGAGGAUGUGUCAUCUCCACUUGAGGCUCCCACUACUUGAUCAUAGGACAUAUCUUUAUCUUAUUGUAUUUACAUAUUAUAUUACUAGAGAUUUGUCCUUGUUUUGAUACUUUAUAUUCUGGGAUUGGAUGUAUUGCCUGAUGAUAUCUCAAUUGUACUUUCUCAUAUUAAUAUAUAGACAUCAAUUUUUUUUAGUAUACUUAGCAUUUUUCUAUUUCCUCUACUCAUUACUCUUUUGUUUUUUUUUACUCAUGUGGUUUCUCUUAUACAACUCAGACUCCAUUUCACUCAGGAGGUACCACUUCCUCCCUUUAUUUUCAAUUGCUCUUGAAAUAUUGAGUGCAAUGUUGAUCUUGGUUGGGGGGAGAGUUGAGGAAGGAAGUUUUGUUAAUAAUGCUAGGUUAAUUUGUUAAUUUAGUUACUUUCUGCUUAAUUUUAAAAGUUUUCACUCUACUUUCCAUGGUUAUUAAGGAAAAAUUCUCAAAAUGAAAUGGGAGAAAUCGAAUUCUUGCAUUUUUACUUGAAUCUUAGAAUUUGUAUCAUGCUUAUUAAAGUUGAUGAAUUAUUGAAACUCCUAUUGAAUUCAACCUUAUUUUUUCCACUUUAAUCUUACCACACACGGUGCACAUUAGGUUCCAGUUAUAAGAUAAAAAACUAUCUCACCCCCUAAACUUAGAAAAAUUUACACUUGGUACCUUUGACAUCGUUUUAAUAGUGUUGGGACACCUUAUAAAAGGCCAAUGAGCCUUUAAAAAAAAAAAAAAAAAAAAAAAGAGAAAGAACAAAGUAUUGCACUUGCCUUGAAACCUGAGCAAGAUCCGAGGGGUAUACAGUGAAAGUCUUUAAAACCUGGUGCCCUAAGCCUUGAUUGGUUGGGAGUCACCGACCUCAAUGCUCGUUAUAAGGGUGAAUAGGUGGAGUUUAACAUAUUGUAGGUGCUUGGGUAUUGAAUUUCAAUCUCAAAAGUCCGGGAAAAAAUCUAAGGAGUUAGUGGUCAAAAGAUCCUUAAAGCUUGAUGCCCUAAACCUUGAUUGGUUGAGAGUCAUUGAUGGAUCCCCGCUACAUGGACAUUUUAGAAAACAAUACCUUUAGCAUUGCACGCCUACAAUGAAAAAAAAAUGUGAAAUAAAAGAGGUGCGUUCUUAGCCUAUUGGAGGUUGGUCAGUUUGCUAAAGUUUGAGAAAUCUAGGUUGGGGGGAGAGAAUAGUCCGACAUACUAUAAUAAAAAACUAAUAACCUUAACACUUAGAUUUUUGUGGAAGAGUAAGGAUUGGACCUUUAGGGGUGGAAAUUCUUUUGAUGCUUAAAUUUGCAUAAUGCCUACUCUUUAUAAAUUAUGAUUAGGCAAGAGAUUUGAUGACUCUUGUUCAAAGUUGGGUUUUUCCUCUUUGAUGUUCCAUGAGAGAGUAUAAUCCUCAUCAUGCCACUUGAAAUCUUUUUGGAGUGAUUAACAUGAUUUUGUAAAUUAUUUUACUGUCUAUUUUUCUUUAUCUCUCUUUUAUUGCUAAUGGACUAGCAAUAUGUCAGUUGGGGGGAGUGAUUACUACUCAAAAAGUACUCUUUUAUAGCUUGAAACUAACUGUUUUAAACACUUUUGAGUAGGUGUUAAUACAUUUUAACUCAAUUGGCACAUUAAGGAACCUAACAAGGGUUACUAAUAAGUUUUUGGCAAGUUUUGGUGUUUUUGGUAGCUAUUUGAUCAUUGAAACAAGCCAAGAAUGAGGGAGAAUUUUGUGAAGUCCAUAGCAAUGCAAGUUAAAGCUCAAAUACAUGAAGAAUCCAAGCUUUGAAGCACUUCAUAGCCCUUUGCGAAGCCAAUCAGAGAUGCAAGGAAGAAAACCAGAGGAAAAAAUCCAACAACCAGCAUUUUCGCAUGGCUGUGCGAAAUUUUGCACACCAUGCGAAACCACAAGAAGUAGCCAAAGAAUUUUGCACACCAUGCGAAAUUUCGCAUGGUAUACGAAAUCUUCCUAUGCACCAACUCCGUUAUAUUUUUAUCUUCAGAUAUUUUGUGUAAUUUCCUAGUUUCUCCUUGUAACCAACCUAGAUAUUUUCUUUUAUAUCUUUUUUUUAUAUUUUUUAGGUAACAUCAUAUAUAGGGGGAGAGACAUAAGGAGGAUAUGGAUGUUUUUCAUAAAACACUUUUAAUUUUCUGGUAGUAAGAAAUAUACAAAGUUUUUUGCUCUGCCUUACCUUCUCAUUUUGUUUUCACCUAUCUUUCUAGCCAAACAACCUCUGAGAAUGAUUUCUCAGGGGAUGAGUAGUUAGGUUUUACGUUUCUUGGAGUGAGAGAAGCUAGGUGAAAGACCCAAAUGCUAAGGUGGGAGUUGUCCUUGCUUUAAAUGAAAGUAGUUGUUAAAUAUUAAUGGUUUUUAUUUUAAGGUUUAGCUUUAAAUCCCUUAAAAACACCUUGAAUGGCCAAUACUUGGUAAGCUUUUCGGAUUCUAUGGAUGCUUAUUGCUAGAUCCAUGGAUGUCAUUAGUUAUCAUUUAUGAGCCAUUGGAAGGUGGUUCAAGAUGAGAGUCUUUAGUGUUUGAAGCCAUUAAUGGGAAACAAUUACCAUUUUUUCAUGAAUCCUUUGGAUAAAAUCUUAAUUGCUAAAUAUAAAACUGGUUCGGGAGAUAACCAUCCUUUAUGUUAUUAUGCCCAAUGCAAGGAGAAGAUUUCGAAUCUUCUCAUUUGUCUAAGGAACCCGAUCCUAGUGACCUAAAGCUCCUAGAGACCUUUUCUUUGUAGUUAACUUCAUUUAUUGUUUUUGCUUAACUUAAAAUCAAUCUUUGCAACCACAAUUCCAUUUUCUUUAAAAGCUAAUUUUUAUAAGGAAAAGCACCAUUUUAUUUCCUUCACUAAGUCAACUGUAUGAUGAAAACCCAUCCCUGUGGACGAUCUUAGAGCCACUAUACUAUGUUAUCUAUGCUAUCCUAGUGUGAGGUGAUUUAGGUUUUAUAAAUUUUGUUGAUAACACCCGUCUGAGCCAGAAUCAAAUGGAACCACUGAACCAGGGACAAAUCAACAGCCUAUAUGGGAGGGACACAAGUUUAAUUGAUUUGCAUUUCAGCGUUAUAGAUAAGUAUGUUUUGGAAGAUUUGUUCUGGAAAUACUGCACCAAGUACGAUUCUUUUUCUCUUGAGUGAGUCCAUUUGCAUGCCAAUUAACGAGUUGAAAAGUAGGAGCACCUACCUCGUGCUCAUGGAACCGAAUGUCAGUGAAGUGGGGCUCCUUUUAGCCUCUUGUGUUUCUGUUCCAACCAAGGCGGCGUAGGGAAAAACAACAAUAUGUCUGUGCUAAAUAUCAACGCAUGAUAGAUGUUUUUUUUUUUUUUUUUGGUAUGUCAAGGCUAACGAAUGAAAUGCAUUAGCUUGUUUUGUGACUAUAACUGCAAAUGUCCAAAUUGGAGUAUCUCCAUUUCUCACUUCGGAUGGUUAACUUUAUAAACAAGAUAUAGGAAACAUGUGAACAUCUUGAGGAACAAUUCAAAUUAUUCAUUAGAAGUCCUGGGUUAAGUUCCAAGAUUUAAAUCAGACCCUUCUAGCAGCUUCAAGGGUACUUAGCAACCUAUAACAUAUUAAUGAAGAUUUAGGAUUUAGACUCCGGAAUACAAAUAAAUAUGUAUCUCAUGCUUUGACUAGCUUCCCUACAUAUGCAUAAAAUGGAGAUGACCCAAAAAAAAUAGCAGAAUCUAGCUUCCCUACAUAUGCACAAAAUGGAGAUGACCCAAAAAAUAGCAUAAUCGCCUUAGUUUCUGUGGUUAAGGUGAUUCUCCGCUUAAUAUCCACAUUGACUCAUUAUGCAAAAUCAACUGAGCUAAUUUUAUUUAUUUAUUUAAUGUCAAAUAGGAACUCCUAAUUAACUGAUUACUGUCGAAAAGUGCUAUUUUGUAGACCUAAUUAUAAGGGUUUUAAGCACCUUUGAGUAGUAAUCAUAUUCAUUUAACCUAAUUAAUUCAUUAAGCUCCUUAGUAAUUAGUUCUAACCAUUUUUAGUGGCAAGUUUACAUGUUUUUCAUCAGCUUAUGAACCAAUUCAAGCAUGCCAAUUGAUGGAGGAGCUACUUGGGCGAGUUAAGCAAGGAUUUUGGACGUUUACAGGCUUGAAUUUCAAGUGGAAACACGAGCACAAGCAAUGGGAACACCAUUUCGCAAGGGGAGGCAAUUCACCUUGCCAAAUGACCAAUUUCGCAAGGGGAUUUUCCUCAUGGUGCAAAAUUUGGUCAUUUCGCACCAUGAAGAAACCACCUUGCAAAAUUUCGCAAGGUGGAUUUAGGCACCUUGCGAAAUGCCAAAUUUCACAAGGUGGCUUUUCACCUUGCGAAAUUUGGACCUUUCAUCUUCCCCCCUUGCGAAAUGCCUUUGAAAUCCCCUGUUUUGAGACGCUGUUGAUGAUAUUCCACUGCCGGUUCUCCAAGAUAUUUUGCUUGACUUUUAGCUUUAUAAAUACCUAUUUUACCCUUGUAAUCAACCAAUGAAAAGGUUGCUUUUGUAAUAGCUCUUGUAAUUUAGCUUUUUAUUGUCUUUAAAUAGAGGUGAAGAGCCUCAGACACGAUCAUCUUGUAACCUGUAACUUUAUAAGUUAUAAGAGCACUUUUGUUCAUACGCUUCUUUUCUCUUUUCUUUCUCAUUUUCUUAGUAGCCAAACAUCCUUGGAGGAUGAAAUCCCCAAGGAUGAGAGGCUAAAACCUUUUAGUUUCUUGAAGUAAUGGAUGCCAUGUGAAGCUCCCGUGUCAGGAUGGAGAUUUCCAAGCCAUAAAUGUAAGUAGCUGAGCGUCAUAAAUGUUUUCAUUCAAAGUAAAGCUUUUAAUCCCUCUGACUUGCUUUGAAUGGCCAAUACUUGAUAACCUUUUGGUCUCAAUGGAUUCUUAUUGUUAGAUCCACUGACGUUCAUUAGUUAUCUCCUACGAGCCAUUGUAUUGCAAGUCGAGGAGAUGACCUAUACCAAUAAAAGAGCAUUUAUGAGGUUCAACUACCCUUUUUGUAAGUUUUCAAGGACUAAAACUCAGUUGUUAAACUCAUACCGGUUCGAGAAGUAAGCAUCACCUUAGUUGCUUCCCCAACUCGAGGUGAAAAGUCCCAAAAUCUCCAUUUUUACACAGUGAGUUAAGCAUGGCUAUCCAAAGCUUUAAGAAACUUCUUUUUCCAUCUUUUAACCUAUUUUCAUGUUAGUUUAGUUUACAACACCUUCAUCUUUUUAUGUUUUCAUCUUAACCUAAUUUUUAUUAAGAAAAGUUCACUCCAUCCUCCGAACUUCACCAGUUAAAGUAAAAACCCUUCCCAGUGUUCGAUCCUAGAGCCACUAUGCUAUAGUAGCUUUGCUACUUUAGUGUAAGGACCUUAGGUAUAAAUUUUGUUGAUACCCUUACAUGCCAAGCUACCAAGAGUCGGGUUAUCAUUAACCUAACCAUUGGCCUGUGUAAAUUGAUUUCACAUGCACAAUGUUGUAGUAGAAGUCCAUAUUUUGAAUUUUAUUUUUGUAAAGGUAAGGAAAAUGAAGCAUUGUGUAAUUAUAAAAAUAACUUCAUUGGAAUUCACAAGGUUCACCCAAAAUGGAGCUACAUCUGUAUUCUAUCCUACAGUAGACUAUAUAGAUUGUACAAUAGUAAAUUGCAAAUACAAUUAAUAAGUCUUGUGCUUCCUUACUAAUAAUCCUUUGACAUGAACAUUGCAGCACUAAGGUCCUCUUGGGAAGACACCUUGCACCCAUGAGAGCACUAAGAGGAAGCAAGGCAGAGUCAUGGGUGCAAUGUCAUGACUUGUUGUUGCACCAAGAGAGGCUUGGUGAUGCCAUGGUGUUGCAGUAGCAAGAAUGUUGCCUUGGCAGGGACACGAUCUAGGGAUAGAUGCCAAGAAAGGCUUAGCACUCACAUGAGUUGCACAAAGAUGAAUGUAAUAGAGCAUCAGAGAGACGUCUUGGCAAGUAAAUGAAUGGAUCCAAGAGACAACAACAUGAGGAGUUUCAAAUGGAUAAGGAAUGACUCAAAGACAUUUGAAAGCUACAAGUUGGAUUCUAAUUACGAUUGCAAUUUGAGUUUGAGUAGGAGUUUAGAUUUUGAUUGUAAUUGUAGUAUGAGUUGGACUAGGAUUGCUUAUCCUUAGUCAAUAUAGGAGCGGUUCGUGUCACCCUAUGAAAAGAGUUUGAGUAGGGACUAGGAUUGCUUACUCCUAGUCAAAUAUGGAGUAGGUGGUGCCACACCUAUAAAAAAAAGGGACAACAUGAGAGAGAGAGAGAGAGAGAAAGAGAGAGUGAAUUCACUAAAGAUAUUGUGGGAGUUUUGCUUUGUUACGUCUUGUAUUAUUACUUAGAAUAGGAAUAAAAUACAAGUUGGGGCUAGAGCCCCAUAAUUAAUCUCGUGUGCCUUUGUGGUUAUUCUUUAUUUGUCAUCUCGUGUGGAUUGGAUUAGGUUGACUUAGAGGGCUUCUAAGCACCACCUUUGUGGGUUAUUAUUUAUUUUCCAUCUCUUGUGGAUUAGAUUAGGUUGACUUAGAGGGCUUCUGAGCACCACCUUUGUGGGUUAUUAUUUAUUUUCCAUCUAUUGUGGAUUAGAUUAGGUUGACUUAGAGGGCUUUUAAGCACCACAUUUGUGGGUUAUUCUUUAUUUUCCAUAUCGUGUGGGUUGGAUUAGGUUGACAAGGAGAAAAAUUAUGUGGGAAAUUUGUGUUGGGACACUUACCAUAACCAAGUAAAAUCUACCAAGUCCUUUGUAAUAUCUUCAACAAAUAUUUUAGACUAGUUCUUUCAGUUAGUGUAAAGGAGGAAGAAGUGGUAUUGAUUCUAGAAAUAGGGUGUGUGUAUUUGAACUACAAUCCUUAUGAUCCUUAGGUCUCUAAACCUUCGUGAUGGGCUCCCUGACAUUUCAUAGGUUGUGCUACACAUGCGUUUGAAAUUUAGAGUGCGUUUGACAGUGAUUCCGGGAAGUGUUUUUGGCCUUUCUUACACUUGAAAAUUUUUAUUUUUCAAGUAUUAGAAAUGCUACAAACACUUUUGAAAAUUACUGUCAAACACACUCUUAGGAGCGCACAUAUAUAGUAGAAAACUAGAAAUUGUGGUUUUUUUAGGAUUUACUGUAAUGUCAUUAGGAGGGUAGUAAGUUGAAAUUGAGUAUGAACAAAUAUUUCUUUCUUUGGGAUGUUCUUCUAGUAGGUGCUGAUGAAACUGUUCUUUCUACUGCCAAUGUCACAUAUCAGCCAGAAAUUGAAAAUUUCAGUCAAGGUGUCCUCUGUUUUAGUGGUGAGGAAAGCUAGAAAUUUUAAGGUGAAGUUUUGUUAAAAACCUUAAGUAGCUGGGAUAUCAGGCCUGUUUUGCUUGAAAAAAAAAGUUGCAAGAUAACUCAUAUGCCAAACAGGUUCUGAUAUUGUGAAUCUAUCGGCAGACAUCAGUAAUCUCAUCUUCUGAGAUGGAUGUUGGGGGUGCAUGUGGUGGUGGAGGGGCAAGGUUUCAUUUGGUUUAUUUUGUUGAUGGAUAUUGUCUAGCCACCUGCGCCAAGUUUGAGGGGUGGUGGGUUGUGAUGACCCUACAAUUACUAUUAAUUUCUUCAUCUUUUACCGAUUAAAGUGUCCGAACAGUCGAAGUUACCCUUAUGCAUGUCAACUUGAUCACUUACCUCUUCAAUGGAGUUUAUGCUGGUUCAUUUAGGAACUGAUUUUUAUUGUUAUGUAUUAUAUGCUGAUGUUUAGGUCUCUCCAUCAUCACUAUAUACAAAAAUUCUAGGUUGAUACUAUAGGUUGAGAUUUAUUUUUUAAAUAAAAAAUAAUAAAAAUAAAAAUUAUGGUGAUGUUUAGUUGUUUUAUGGAAAAUUUUAACAAGUAAAAGUUAUUUUUGGGCAAGUUUUCAAACAAAAAGAAAAGUAAAAGUUGUUUUGACAAAAACAUAUAGAAAAAAAAAUCAUAGAAAAUAAAUAAUUUCCCCAUAUUCUAACUUUUUUGAAUUUUUCUCAAUGGGCAAAGGAAUAUCAAAUCAAGUUUGAGUAGGAUUUCUUAAUUUUUAAAAUAACUUACAAUUAAAAAAUUUUGGUGUUUUCAUUUUUGGACAAUUUUUUAUUAAGCAAAUGGACUCUGAGUCAUGCAAGAGAUAUGGUUCAUUAACCGGUCGAACAAUUUUUUUAAAUUAAUUUAAAAGUCAAAUACAUAAUCAAUUUCACAAAAUUUAUAAACAAAAAUAGGUUUAGAGAAGAUCUACACAUAAUUUUACUUUUCUAAUUUUAUUUUAUUUUAUUUUUUGUUGGAAAAUAGUCUUCAAAUCAUGUAAGAUUUAAUAGGUUAAAUUUGUUAACAAUAAAUUUUAAAUUAUAAAAUAUAAUCUGGAACUCAAAAAUCAAUUCAAGUAAUGCUAAAAAAAAAUCAAAUUUGGUAUAGAAUGACUUUGUAAAUUUUUUUACAAAACAAAUGAAUUUUAAAUCAAGUGAGAUUUAAUGCAUUAGAUUUUUAUCAAAUAUAGUAAUUUUAAAAAUAAAUUUGGAACUCAACAAUAGACACAAUAAAUACCAAAAAAUAAUGAACCAAAAUUGGUUUGGAAUAACUCCACAACCUUUUUUUUUUUUUUUUGGUGCACACGAAUUUUCUUACUAGGUAUAUUGCUUUCAAAUUGAGAAAGAUUUACCAUUUAGAUUUUUUUUUAAUGAGUUUAAUGGUAUUUUAAAAUAAUUCAAAAUUUAAAAAAUUGACUAAUUAAUAUUAUAAAUUGAUAAACCAAGACUAUUUCAAAAUGCAUUGGGGGCUAAGGGGGUUGAAAAUAGGGACAAUGGGAUGGGUUUGGGACAUGACACUCAUAUCUCAUUUCCAUUCCAAUUACACAGUUAUCUCCCAUCCUUAUCCCAAACUUGUGUUGGAGCAAGUUGAUUUGUUCCCAUCUUUGUUGACGAAAUGACUAAUAACCUCAUCCCCUCCUUAUCUUAGAUGUACAUUUUGUCAAAUUUGAUCAGGUAUGAUUGAUCCAAGCCCUAACCCUAAUUGGUAAUGAGUGAAUACUACACCUAAUUGCAUUCUUCUUUCAUUGCAAAAUAAUGAGAUUAUAAUAAUCUAGCAAAUAAGAAAAAAUAGUAUGGAAGUUCAAAUUAACACCAUAACUAUCAAUAAUUUUAAGCUUAUAGAUGACUUAAAUGAUUAAAAACUAAUGCAAAAUCCUAAAAAAAAUAAAAAUCAUAUAAAGAAUUCACAAGAGAACAGAAUGAACAAAAACCAAAUAUGAACAUGGGUCAACAUUAGUUAUGGAUUUGGAUUCCUUUCAAGGCCAAUCUUUGAACCAAGACUUCAUCAAAUCAACUACUUCAAAGGCUUUUGUGUUCUUCUUGGGUUGUGCUCUCAAACAAAGACUUCGAGGUGAUGUUCUAGAUGAUUGAAUUACACAUAUUUAGGGUGGAGAGAUUGGAGAAGCUUGAAGAUGCCAACGAUGGGUACAAUUGAGUGGUCAAUAAGAACAAUGUAGCCUAUGACUAGUUUGAUGUCAUGGUACAAGAGUUUUAGGCAUUGAGGUUAAAGCAAGAGCAACAUGGAAUUGAUUUCGGAGUCUUUCAGUUAGUGUAAAGGAGGAAGAAGUGGUGUUGAUUCUAGAAAUAGGGUUUUAAGUGGUGCGUGAUUACUACUCAAAAAGUGCUAUUUGAUAGCCUUUAAUUAAUCCUUUUUAACACUUUUGAGUAGUAGUUUAGGCCUUUUAACUCAAUUGGCAUGUUAAGGAUCCUUUAAAGCAAUUUUGAUCACUUUGUGCAAGUUUUGGUGUUUUUGUUAGUAUUUUGAUCACCAAAGCAAGUCAAGAAUGAGGAGAACUAUGAGGAAUCAUGGGCAAAGCUUAGAAUUCAAUUGCCAAGAGUGAAUCCGGAUUGCAAGGAGAAAAAGCAAAGAGAAUCUGUCAUGAAGCCUAUUCUUGAUGACAGUCGUAGCAGCCACUUUUGGAGCACUUUCUGAAGUCCAAAUGAUGCAAGCUAUAUACCAUUUCAAAGAUCAGGAAGUCAACAAUCCAAUGCUUCAAACGGUGCGCGAUUCGGAGUUGAAACGAAGAAGUUGCAGCCAUUACAAGCCAGUCACUCUAAAGUGUUGCGGAAUCAGCCUUUUGUUGCGAGAAUUUCGCAGCACUUUUGUACAGUAAGGUGUUUCUCCUUCUGACGAUGCACGAACCAUGCCGCGAGAGGGAAGCUAGGAACUUCAAGAUGGAAGCCAACUUUGCAGCCUGGUGAAGAUAGCUUGGUCUUGCGAAAUAAUUUCGCAGCCCUCUUGGGUGUCUGCGAAAUUUCGCAGGCACCACUUUUUUCCUGCGAAAUGGCUCCGGAAGCCUCCCGAAGCUUGCUACCGACAUUGGGAGAUAUUUUCCAUUAGAUUUUUGUUGUCUAAAUUCCAAAAUACUCCUUGUAAACCACCAAUUACAUGAUUCCUUAGUUUUUAAGUUAGUAAAAAGACCAAAUAUCUAUGUAAUAAUUAGUUUUAUAUUAGUUUGCUAUAAAUACCUCUCGGGAGCAUGUUCUCAGAGAGGAGUUCCUUCUGUAACCAUUUUGGUAAGCAAGUAAAGUCUUUUCUUUCUACUGCCUUACCUUCUCACUUUGUAUUUUCAUUUUAUUUCUAAGUUAUGAAUUCUCUGAGGAGCUUUCCCCAGAGAAUGAGUAACUAAACCUCCAAUUCCUUGGAGCUAAGGUUGCCGGGGAAGGUUCCAAGUGCAAGAAUGCAAAGCUCUGUGGUUUUAGCUAGUAAUGAAGAGGAAGUGAAAUCCUUUAGUGAUUUCAAUGUUUUUAGUUAACUUAAAACACCUUGGAGUCACCUGGGCCAACACUUGGUAAGGCAAGUGAUUUCCAACCGUGGAAAUGCACUAGUUUACCCCUUGCGAGCCUCUGGUAGGUGACUUCAAGGUAGGAUUUUCUGGAAUUACCAACACUUGGUAAGCUUUUGGACUCCUAGGAGACAUCCAUUAGUUAUCUCUUGCGAGUUUGUGAAGGGGAAUCCAAGGUUAAAGAUCACCUUGAAUGGUAAGUGCUCGUGAGAGGCAUGAACCAUUGCAAGUUGUAUCAGUGAGAGAAUUAAAGUGAAAUCUAAUUGAAGGAGUCUCUGUACAUCACCGGUUAGAGAAUUGACUAUAAGUUGAAUCUCUAAUGCGAGGAAAUGAACCAUCUGACCGGAGCUAUGUCUUUUGCAUGAGGAACCACCCCAGUGAACCUAAAUCUCCAAGGAAUGCUUUUCUUCCUAAAUUAUUCCAAACUUCUGUUAAGUUAGUUAGUUUAAGUCUAAACCUUUACCAAUCAAACUUUGUGUUUUAUUUCUUAAGCUAACCGUGAAAUGAAACAAAACCAAUUCACUUGGAAUUGGUAUCCUUGAUUGCUUGCAAAUCAUUCCCAGUGAACGAUCCUUAGAGCCACUAUACUAUAGUAGCUUUGUAUUUGCUACCCUAGUGUAUGGUGUUAUAGGUAUAAAUUUUGUUGAUCACUUCCUCAAUCAAGGAACACCAGCUGAACACAAAUCAGCUGAGACACCAAUUGGGCAUGAGUCAAAUGGCGCCGUUGCCGGGGAAUGAGUGUCAAGAUCAUUGUGAUACCAUUUUUGAGCACUUGUGAUUUUCAUCACAAGUUGGUAAAGUUUCUUUCACUUUACUAAUUUUCAUUCUCUCUUUGUUUAUUUACAAUCUAAGUUUAUCUUUUUAAAAUUUAGUCUAGUUUAAUUUUGCUAUUGUAGCCUUGUUUCUCUUGUUGUCCUCUGUUCUUGUUGUCCUCUGUUUUCAUUUUAGUUGCAGCUGAAUACUAGUUGUGUAUGCCAAAGUGGAUACGAGACAUUGGAGGUAGGCUUAUUAAGUGUGAUACACCUCAGAGAGGAGAAUUGGAAGUAAUCUUGAAUAUCAUGGAGGCUGCACCUGAAGAUCAGCAUAGUCACCAAGGUCGUCAAGACAAUCUCAAUGAAUUCAGAUCAAUGAGGGACCGUAUGCAUCCACCUCGUAUGAGUGCACCAUCAUGUAUAGUGCCCCCUACAGAGCAACUAGUGAUCAGACCAUAUCUUGUUCCACUUCUACCAACUUUCCAUGGGAUGGAAAGUGAGAAUCCGUAUGCACACAUCAAGGAAUUUGAAGAUGUUUGUAAUACAUUCCAAGAGGGAGGAGCUUCAAUUGAUUUGAUGAGGCUUAAGUUAUUUCCUUUUAAUUUAAAGGAUAAGGCCAAAAUUUGGCUUAAUUCUUUAAGGCCAAGGAGUAUCCGCUCUUGGACUGAUUUACAAGCUGAAUUCCUCAAGAAAUUUUUUCCUACUCAUAGAACAAAUGGCUUGAAAAGGCAAAUUUCAAACUUCUCAGCUAAAGAGAAUGAGAAAUUCUAUGAGUGUUGGGAAAGAUACAUGGAAGCUAUAAAUGCUUGUCCUCACCAUGGCUUUGAUACUUGGCUACUGGUGAGUUAUUUUUAUGAUGGUAUGUCCUCCUCAAUGAAGCAACUCCUCGAGAAAAUGUGUGGAGAAGAUUUCAUGAGCAAAAAUCCAGAGGAAGCUAUGGAUUUCUUGAGCUAUGUAGCUGAUGUUUCAAGGGGAUGGGAUGAACCAACUAAAGGAGAAGUGGGAAAGAUGAAGUCUCAGUUGAAUGCUUACAAUGCAAAGGCUGGGAUGUAUACUUUAAAAGAGGAUGAUGACAUGAAAGCAAAGUUGGCAGCUAUGACAAGAAGAUUGGAGGAGCUGGAGCUGAAAAGAAUGCAUGAAGUGCAAGCUGUUGCUGAAGCACCAGUGCAAGUGAAGUUGUGUCCCAAUUGUCAAUCGUUUGAACAUUUGGUAGAGGAAUGCCCUGCAAUUUCAGCUGAAAGGGAAAUGUAUAGAGAUCAAGCAAAUGUUGUUGGACAAUUCAGGCCCAAUAACAAUGCUCCUUAUGGAAAUACCUACAAUUCAAGUUGGAGGAAUCAUCCAAAUUUUUCAUGGAAGGCCAGAGCAACUCAAUACCAACAGCCGGAUCCACCAUCUCAACAAUCUUCAAGUAUUGAACAAAUAAUAGCUAAUCUCAGCAAGGUAGUGGGAGAUUUUGUGGGAAAGCAAGAAGCCACCAAUGCUCGAGUGGAUCAAAGAAUGGACAGAGUGGAUCAAAGAAUGGACAGAAUGGAGAGUAUGUUGAACAAAAGAAUGGAUGGAAUGCAAAAUGAUAUGAAUCAAAAAUUUGAUAACAUCCAAUAUUCAAUUUCAAGGCUUACAAAUUUGAAUACACUGCAAGAAAAGGGAAGAUUUCCUUCUCAACCUAACCAAAAUCCCAAAGGUGUCCAUGAAGUGGAAAGCCAUGAGGGAGAAUCAUCACAGGUGAAAGAUGUGAAAGCUUUGAUCACUCUAAGGAGUGGUAAGAAAAUUGAGCAGCCAACACCCAAGCCACAUGUUGAGAAAGAAGAAGAGAUGAAGAAAGGGAAGGAAAUGGAAGAUAAAGGCAGUGAGAUCAGUGAAGAAAAGAAGGACUCUGAUGCAACAAUGAAAGUAAUUCCAGAGAAGGAGCUUCUGAAGGAAGAAAUGCUGAAGAAAUCAACUUUUCCACCUUUUCCUCAAGCAUUACAGGGGAAAAAGGGGGUUAGAAAUGCAGCUGAAAUCCUAGAAGUAUUGAGGCAAGUGAAAGUUAAUAUUCCACUGCUGGAUAUGAUCAAACAAGUUCCAACGUAUGCAAAAUUCCUAAAGGACUUGUGUACUAUCAAAAGAGGGUUGACUGUAAACAAGAAAGCCUUCUUGACUGAGCAAGUAAGUGCAAUCUUACAGUGUAAGUCUCCUUUGAAGUACAAAGACCCUGGAAGUCCUACCAUUUCAGUCAUGAUUGGAGGAAAGGUAGUGGAGAAAGCCUUGCUAGACUUGGGAGCAAGUGUGAAUUUGCUUCCAUAUUCUGUCUACAAGCAACUGGGACUUGGAGAGUUGAAGCCAACAGCAAUCACUUUGUCUCUGGCAGAUAGAUCAGUGAAAAUUCCAAGAGGGGUAAUUGAGGAUGUAUUGGUUCAAGUAGAUAAUUUCUACUAUCCUGUAGAUUUUGUUGUUCUUGAUACAGAUCCUACUGUAAAGGAAGCUAAUUUAGUUCCUAUCAUCCUUGGAAGGCCAUUUCUUGCAACUUCAAAUGCAAUCAUCAACUGUAGAAAUGGGCUUAUGCAACUCACUUUUGGUAACAUGACACUGGAUCUAAAUAUUUUCUAUAUGUCUAAAAAGCAAAUCACUCCAGAAGAAGAAGAGGGUCCAGAAGAGCUAUGUAUUAUUGAUACUUUGGUGGAGGAGCACUGCAAUCAACAUAUGCAAGAUAAGUUGAAUGAAAGUUUUGUGGAUAUUGAGGAAGGUUUUUCUGAAUCUCCUAAUGGGCUUGCUACUCUACAAAGUUGGAGAAAGAUAGAAGGAAUUCUACCUUUGUUCAAUGAAGAAGAGGAGGCAGCUGUUGAAAAAGAAAUUCCAAAACUCAAUCUGAAGCCUUUACCUAUGGAGCUGAAAUAUACAUAUCUUGAAGAAAAUAAUCAAUGUCCUGUCGUAAUAUCUUCAUCUCAAACCAAGUCUCAAGUGAAGGAUGCAAGCUUCAAAUGGGAUCCGGGCAAACUGAAUCAGGAAGGGCAAAAAGUUUUGAUGUAUGACACAAGACUCCAUAUCUUUCCUGGGAAGCUCAAGUCAAGGUGGAUUGGUCCAUUUGUUAUUCACCGAGUAUAUUCCAAUGGAGUGGUGGACUUAUUGAAUUCCAAUGGCAAGGACAGCUUUAGAGUCAAUGGAUAUCGUCUUAAGCCGUUCAUGGAGUCAUUCAAAUCAGAAAAGGAGGCAAUCAACCUCCUUGAACCUCAAAAAGCCUAAGUGAAAUGGGUUUGCUGGACGUGGUUUUACCACAGUCCAAAAAUUUUUGUAAAUUUUGUAAAUUUUCAAGUUGUUUCCAUGCUUUUAAUCUUAGUUUUUGAUUUUAAAUCAUGUUUUUAGGUGUGUUUUAAUCGUUUUAUAUGAUCCCAGGCGGAAGAAAUUUCAAGGGGAUUGAAAAGAAAAAAAUCGGGUCGAAAUUGGAGCCGAAACAGAGCAAAAACAGGGGAAAAACAGAGCUCUGCGAAAUUUCGCAGGGUGAAGGAAACUUCUGCGAAAUUGGCAUUUUGCUGCCAAACCAUUCCGCAGCACUGUAGAAGCCUCUGCGAGUGUAUUUCGCAAUUGCGAAAGUGGAUUUGGCACACGAGUGCCACUUCGCAGCACAGUGACAUCAAUUUCGCAGCUGCGAAACUCACUGCGAAGUUGCUGCGAAAAUGGCAAGUUGCUGCGAAAUUGGCGUUUUGUUGCGAAACGUAAUCUGACCCCUGGGCUUCCGUUUUUCCUAUUUAUACCUGUCAAAAGUGCUGCGAAAAAGGUUUCAAAAAUUAGAGCACCAUUCUCGCAGCCCUUUCAUCUUCUUCGCCAAGCCACGCCGUCCGUUUCUCCGGUCGUCUUCUCCGUUUAGCAGCGCCGGCCAAAGAUCGAUAGCCCAAAAAUGGCACGAACGCGAGGGGCAAAGUCUUCAUCCCCUUCGAACCGCAAAAGGAGUCUGCGAAAGGAGCCAAGUUCAGGCUCUGUUCCAGAACCUGCUCCAAAGCCUUCGCCGUCGAGACCACAACCUUCUCCAGUGAAGCCGGCGCCACCAAAGCCGCCGGCAAGGCGAUAUUUAACCAGGUCAGGUGGUCAGCCAUUGAAGAAGAAAGCCAGAGUUGAGAGCUCUGAACCAAUCGAUUUGACUGAGCAAUCCCCUGAGAAAUCACCAAAUCCUUCACCGGUACAAAUUCCAGUGCCAUCACCGGUUCCCUCGCCAAUUCCCUCACCAGAAGCAACUCCAAUUCCAUCGCCGGUACCAUCUCCGGCACCCCAAGAAAAAGCUCAGGAGCCUCAAGCGCCAAUUCCAGAGCCCCAAAUUGCAGCUGAAGCACCUCUGGAAGAAGUGAUCCGAAGGCCAAUGCUGCCUCAGCCCCCAAUCGAAGGAAACCUGGAUUGCCGAACUCGGGCAUUCCAUUCUGAGCUUUGCUUCGAUUUAACAGCAUUCAGAGUGAGGCCAGAGCUUGCCCAAUCCUUCCAACUGCUGAGGAGAUAUCAUAUGGAGCAUCUGCUAGCUCCAAGGGAUUUUUUCUAUCCCCGGGUAGUCACGGAUUUCUACCAAACCAUGACAACCAAAGAAGUAAGAAAUCCAACUCUGAUUCAUUUCAUAAUUGAUGGAAGGCAUGGUAUUUUGGGAGCAAGACAUAUUGCUGAAGCCCUGCAAAUUCCUUUUGAGCCAACUCAAUUCGACAAUUUUAAAGCUUGGACAAAUCCUACUGAGUUAGAGAUGGUUAGCACACUAACCAGAGGAGCUGCAAAUCGAUCGCAUUUGUUGAGGGGGGAGCUACCUCCAGUUAUGUUUUUGAUUGAUGCCUUUUUGAGGCAUAAUAUCUAUCCCCUGCAGCAUUGGACCCAAAGAAGGGGAAUUCUCCUAGAAGCCUUGUACAAAAUGUCUGAAGGAUUCUUCUUUGGGCCUCAUCAUCUGAUCAUGGCAGCCCUUCUAUACUUUGAGGAGAAGGUUCACAAGAAGAAGCUUCAAAGAGCAGAUUGCAUUCCACUCCUCUUCCCAAGGCUGCUAUGCCAAGUUUUGGAGCAUCUCGGAUACCCCUCUGAGCCUCAGCAGGAAAGAAAGAGAAUAUGCCGUGAGCCUUUUACCCUUGAUAAAUGGAAUAAUAUGACGGCCUACAAAAUUGAUCAGCCUGGGCAGCCUCAGCCAGCAGCAAGGAGAGUCUCCCCAAGACAUAUACCUGAAGGUAUAACACUUGCUACUCCUGCCAUCCCUCGAGCUCCACCAGCUGCACCUGCUCCAUCACAGCCAUCCACAUCAGCUGAGCCGAGGAUGGCCAUCCCUAUAUCCGAAUAUCGAGAGCUGUGCCGUGCAUUGGAGACUCUUACAGCUUCUCAGAGCAAUCUUGCUCAGGAGUUGGCAGCCAUUAAAGCAUGCCAGGAGCAGAUGUUAGCCUCUCAGACUCAACAAGCUGCCAUCCUAAGGCAGCUUCAAGUCCAUUUCGAUCUGCCACAAGCUGUAGAGCCCUCUAUUCCUACUCCACCAGAGCCACACUCUCAGCCUUCAGAGUCUCAUCCUCCAGAACCCGAAGCACCAGCUGAUCCACCUACUGAGGAGGCAGAUCCUUCUGCCUAGCACCAUCACCCCCCUCAUCAGACAUUAUAUAUAUAUUUGCUGUUUAUGUUUUUAUGCAUGUUUGUUUUGUUUUAGUUGAAAAGAAAUCCCAGUAUUUUGGUACUAUAUAUGGGAUUCCUUGUGUUACUUGUCUUUAGUAUUGUAAUCACAUGAACUCAAAGUAAUACAAGUUGACUAUUUCUUGUUAAAAGUUAGCAUUAAAGUUUCCUUAUUUCCUUUUCUCACAUAUUCUAUUCUUUUUGAAACAUGUGGUUUUCCCCAAUCAAUAUUCGAAUUUGAUAUCAGCAUGGAGGUACCACUUCCUCCCUUUUAUUACAGUCACUCAAAUCACAUUGAGGACAAUGCUCAGUUCGGUUGGGGGGUAUGAGGAAGGAAGUAUUCUAAACCUUUUUGGUAUUGCAAUUAUAUUGGUUAAUUAGUUGUAGAUUUUACUUUUUACUAGUGUUACUCUAUUCUCCAUGAAUUUUGAGGAAAAAUUUUCAAAUUAAACCAAGAGAAAUUGAACUGUUGUUUUUCACUUGACUUAGAGUAUGGAUUAUGCUUACUAAAGUGGUUCAAUUGUUGAAACUUCUACUGAAAUUGAAUUGAGUUCUUCCACUUUAAGCUAUCCACACACUGUGCACAUUAGUUUCCGAUUAUAAGAUGAAAAGCUAUUUCCCUCUUGACUUAGUAUAUUUUUGGGACUUGGUAUAUUUGACCUCAUUUGAUAAAAAUUGAAACACCCUGCAAAAGGCCAAUGAGCCUUUGAAAUAAAGAAAGUUGUUUGCUUGCCUUGAAACCCGAGCAAGGUCUGAGGGGUAUAUGGUGAAAAUCUUUAAAGCCUGGUGCCCUAAGCCUUAAUUGGUUGGGAGUCACCGACCUCAAUGCUCGUUACAAGGGUGAAUAGGUAGAGUUAGCAUAUGGUAGAUGCUUGGGUAUUAGAAAUUCAUUCUUAAAAGUCCGGGGAAAAAUCCGAGGAGUUAGUGGUUGAAAGAUCCUUAAAACUUGGUGCCCUAAACCUUAAUUGGUUGGGAGUCAUCGAUGGACCCCCAUUACAUGGACAAGUCAGAAAGAGUACCCCAUAAAGCUACCUUAAAAAAAAAAAAAAAAAAAAAAAAAAAAAAAAAGAUGAAAGUGUGUUCUUUUCUUAUUGAUUUUGGUCAGUUUGCUAAAGUGUUGAAAAGAGAUAGGUUGGGGGGUGAGAUUAGUAGCAUAUUAUUCUCGGAACCUAAGGAACCAAUACACAUAGAUUUUUGUGGAAGAUUGAAGUUUAGUUCUUAGAAAAUGAAAUGAUUUUAAAACUUCAGUUUGCAUAAUGCACUCCCUUGAUUGACAGUGUUUAGCAUAGGUGUUAUGACUCUUGUUGAGAUUUGGGUUUGUAUUUCUUUAAUGAUUCAUGUGAGAAAUAGAUCAUCAUGCCACUUGAGAAUUAUUUUCCUUUUAGCAUGAUGUUGUAAAUUUUAGAUUAGUUUGCUAUUUAUUUUUUAUUUUCUCUCCUAUAUUGCUAAGGGACUAGCAAUAUGUCGGUUGGGGGGAGUGAUUACUACUCAAAAAGUGCUAUUUGAUAGCCUUUAAUUAAUCCUUUUUAACACUUUUGAGUAGUAGUUUAGGCCUUUUAACUCAAUUGGCAUGUUAAGGAUCCUUUAAAGCAAUUUUGAUCACUUUGUGCAAGUUUUGGUGUUUUUGUUAGUAUUUUGAUCACCAAAGCAAGUCAAGAAUGAGGAGAACUAUGAGGAAUCAUGGGCAAAGCUUAGAAUUCAAUUGCCAAGAGUGAAUCCGGAUUGCAAGGAGAAAAAGCAAAGAGAAUCUGUCAUGAAGCCUAUUCUUGAUGACAGUCGUAGCAGCCACUUUUGGAGCACUUUCUGAAGUCCAAAUGAUGCAAGCUAUAUACCAUUUCAAAGCUCAGGAAGUCAACAAUCCAAUGCUUCAAACGGUGCGCGAUUCGGAGUUGAAACGAAGAAGUUGCAGCCAUUACAAGCCAGUCACUCUAAAGUGUUGCGGAAUCAGCCUUUUGUUGCGAGAAUUUCGCAGCACUUUUGUACAGUAAGGUGUUUCUCCUUCUGACGAUGCACGAACCAUGCCGCGAGAGGGAAGCUAGGAACUUCAAGAUGGAAGCCAACUUUGCAGCCUGGUGAAGAUAGCUUGGUCUUGCGAAAUAAUUUCGCAGCCCUCUUGGGUGUCUGCGAAAUUUCGCAGGCACCACUUUUUUCCUGCGAAAUGGCUCCGGAAGCCUCCCGAAGCUUGCUACCGACAUUGGGAGAUAUUUUCCAUUAGAUUUUUGUUGUCUAAAUUCCAAAAUACUCCUUGUAAACCACCAAUUACAUGAUUCCUUAGUUUUUAAGUUAGUAAAAAGACCAAAUAUCUAUGUAAUAAUUAGUUUUAUAUUAGUUUGCUAUAAAUACCUCUCGGGAGCAUGUUCUCAGAGAGGAGUUCCUUCUGUAACCAUUUUGGUAAGCAAGUAAAGUCUUUUCUUUCUACUGCCUUACCUUCUCACUUUGUAUUUUCAUUUUAUUUCUAAGUUAUGAAUUCUCUGAGGAGCUUUCCCCAGAGAAUGAGUAACUAAACCUCCAAUUCCUUGGAGCUAAGGUUGCCGGGGAAGGUUCCAAGUGCAAGAAUGCAAAGCUCUGUGGUUUUAGCUAGUAAUGAAGAGGAAGUGAAAUCCUUUAGUGAUUUCAAUGUUUUUAGUUAACUUAAAACACCUUGGAGUCACCUGGGCCAACACUUGGUAAGGCAAGUGAUUUCCAACCGUGGAAAUGCACUAGUUUACCCCUUGCGAGCCUCUGGUAGGUGACUUCAAGGUAGGAUUUUCUGGAAUUACCAACACUUGGUAAGCUUUUGGACUCCUAGGAGACAUCCAUUAGUUAUCUCUUGCGAGUUUGUGAAGGGGAAUCCAAGGUUAAAGAUCACCUUGAAUGGUAAGUGCUCGUGAGAGGCAUGAACCAUUGCAAGUUGUAUCAGUGAGAGAAUUAAAGUGAAAUCUAAUUGAAGGAGUCUCUGUACAUCACCGGUUAGAGAAUUGACUAUAAGUUGAAUCUCUAAUGCGAGGAAAUGAACCAUCUGACCGGAGCUAUGUCUUUUGCAUGAGGAACCACCCCAGUGAACCUAAAUCUCCAAGGAAUGCUUUUCUUCCUAAAUUAUUCCAAACUUCUGUUAAGUUAGUUAGUUUAAGUCUAAACCUUUACCAAUCAAACUUUGUGUUUUAUUCCUUAAGCUAACCGUGAAAUGAAACAAAACCAAUUCACUUGGAAUUGGUAUCCUUGAUUGCUUGCAAAUCAUUCCCAGUGAACGAUCCUUAGAGCCACUAUACUAUAGUAGCUUUGUAUUUGCUACCCUAGUGUAUGGUGUUAUAGGUAUAAAUUUUGUUGAUCACUUCCUCAAUCAAGGAACACCAGCUGAACACAAAUCAGCUGAGACACCAAUUGGGCAUGAGUCAGUGCGUUAGAGGAUCAAGAAGAAGAAAAAGAAGGAACUGUUGGAAUUAGUAUGAGUGUGAAGAGAAAAGUAUAUAAAUAAGGGGAAGUAAAAGCAAAGUUCAAAAAGCUAUAUUUUUUUAUUGUUGGUGUAUGGUUGCAUGAUUAUCCCUAUAAAUAAUAGGAGUUUUUUGGUAUUCUACUAGUAGUUGAAGCAUAAUUUCAUAAAUUAAUAUUUAGAGCGGGGUGGGGUGAGUUGUGACAAAAUUCAUACCCGUCCCAAACCUUGGUUCAGAUUUUUAAAAUAUUCUCAAACUUAUCAUAUACCCAACUUUUAUAUUUCAUACUUGUCCUAAUAGAGGCACGUUAGGCCGGGUUACUUGAGUAACCUACAUAAUUGUCAUCCCUAGUUGAAAUACACUUUUUGGCAGUGGCCACCAACUGAGCUAGAAGCUUGAUUGAUUGACCUACAAGAUUAGUUCUCAUCAUUUUAAAAAAAGUUCUGGCUUUGGUUGUGAGUGCAAUUGAAUCUAAACUGGCAUUUGCUUAAUGCAUCUACUUCAAUCCUAAACUUCUUACUUCUUAAGCCUCAAUUGUUGUUAGGAUUUUGGAAAACCCAUUUCCUUAAAUUGUAAAUUUAAGAUAAAAUAAAAUAAAAGUGAGACAUUUCUUGAUUGAAUAUUGUUAAAGGUCCCUUGGCAUUAAGACUUGGUUGAAGCCUUGGAAGAUUAGUGGAACUCUCAACAUGUGUUUGAAUCUUGAGGAGAGUGGAUGUAAGCCAAAAUUUUGUCAAACCAUUAUACAAAUUGAGUUUGAAUCCUCAUUUCUUGAUUUCUUAUUUAUUUGCUUUUUCUUAUUAUUACUUGAAUUGUCAUUUGCAUUCAUUAAUGUUAAAAUUGGUUAUAAUUAACCAACACUAAUUCUCUUUCCCCUUCCCUUUCUUGGGUGUAAACCUAGGUUGGAUUAACUAGAUAAAUCUAUUAAGAUGGUAAAAGAAUAAUUAUUCUUAACAUACAUAAGAUCAUCUUCAAUCAAAUGACUCAUUGGCUAAUAUGUUGAAUUUGCUUAUUACUUGCAACUCAAAAUUGUGUUCUAGUUGUGUCAAGUCCCCAGUGUAUGGACAUUAAAUUUGUAGUACGUGAUGAGUAAUUAGAUGGUCCAACUCCAAGAAAGUGAUUGAAAAGUAGUUCAAGAAAGGUGCAAAAGGGAAUUGUUUUGGUAUUUUCGUUUUUAUUCUUGAAGGUGGCAGAGCUAAAAUUUGAGAAAUCAAGCAAAACAUACUGAAAUUACAUUGAAAGAAAGAAGAUGGGAGUUAAUGUCUUGCAGUACAUGAUAAGGACUUCAUGCAUGUAGUGUGACCCAUGUCUUGGACUGAUGCCAACUCACGGUUACACUUAUACCCUUGGUUCUCUCUUUACUACCUUGGCUAACCUAGAUCAGGCUAUGAGAUAGGCUCCUCACCACACCAUUACUUGCCCAUUAAUUAGAGACAUUUUCAAGCAAUGAGGUAACAUGGUGACACCAAGAGGGUCUAUUCCUCGCCCGGAACAAGUCUAGACUUGGUCUCAAAAAAAUGGAGAAAAAUGAGGUGUCGUUAUGUAGAAAUACAACAACCAUGCCUUCCUCAUUACUUAGAUUCAGAAUGUGAAGGUGAAAUUGAGAAACAGAAACUCUUGAAACCAAAAUGAAAAUUGAUACUUUUACGAAGAAUUACAACAACAUUAGAGGAAGACUACAUUCUUCCUCUUUAUUCCUACAUUUCUACACUACUUCUACUCCACUCCAUAUUUCUACAUACAUCUUUAAUCAGUCUUCCCUCCUUUAUAUAGAGCCAUCUUCACACAAAUUUCGCAAGGUAGAAAAGAGGAAUGAAACUUGGAGCAAGGUUCGACUACUGGUUGUAGCUUGUCAAGGCUGGAAGUGAACUUUUCUUGGCUUUCUGGGCAUGGGUAGUAACUUGUGGGUUCCUGUUUGGCAUAAAAAUGGCUAGAACAUGUGGCACUAUCUUGUUGGAUGAUGUGUCAAGCAUGUGGCAGCCAUCUAGUGGCGAUUAUGUCAAUUUUGGGAUGGAGAGUUGGCAUCCAAUUGCAAAGAAAUAUGACGUCUACCAACAUGCAAUGUAAACCUAUGUAGAUCAUAUGAAGAUAGAGAGGAAAAAUAUAGAAAUGGAUAUAUACCUAGAACUAGCUUUUUAUUAAAUGAAACGGAGAGACAACAAUGAAGGAAAAUAAAAUUUUUUGGCUUAUAUCAAAGAGUUCACAUUGUGUUACCCUAGGUUUUCUUAAAACUUACUUUUAUGAUAACAAAAAAGAAAAAACCAUUAUUGUUUAAUCCUUUGUUUUAAACGCAUGUAAGGUGUAAUUAAGUUAGUUCAAUGCAUUAAUUUAAGAAACUUGACCUAUCAAAAGUACAAAAUUAGAUGAAAUCCAUUUCAAUGGUUAAAAUGAUCAAAAUCAAACUUUUUCUAAGUAUUUUUUAAAAGCAUCAAUAGUGAAAGACAAUUUUAUAUUUAGUCGGAGUUUGGACAAAACUGAAAAACACACAAAAUCCAAGCGACCAUCUCUAGCUUGGAUGGUCGCUUGAUCCCACCUAGAGAUGUGCAUGAGUAAAAGGAUUUGAAAAUGGAAAUUGACUAUGUAGUCGAUCAAUUAACUUUGCAACAUCAUAUGCAAUCCUAAUUGCUAGUCAUCUAAUCAAUUAGGUAGUCAAUCAACAGGCCAAAAAUAUGUUUAUAAUGACUAUUUUGUACAAAAACCACCUGUAUAGUUAAAUAUAAUGCAUUUCAUUUAUAAAUCUUCUAAUUCUUGAAUAACGAUCCUAUCAUCCUUUGAAAGUUUUUAUUACACUUUUUUUACUUUUGUUCUAAAACUUACACAUCACCCUUAAUUGUACCAUGAGAACCUAGCUAUUUUUUAUUUUUUUUUUUGUAAUUCAUCAAAGUUAGCUUUUGUAUUCAUUGUUGUAUUAUUUUUAGUAUAACUUAGAAAGCUAGUGUUUUCAAGUGAGUAAAAUUAACUUGUAAAUAUUGUAAAGAUUCAUCGACAUGUAUCUUAAACUAAGUGUACAAGUUAAAACAUUUGCUAGUAGAUUUUCUCAAAAUUUAGAAUAGAGCUUGAGACUAUUGAAAUAGGUGGGGUUGCACCAAACCACAUCACAUCGUUGUUUGCACCUUUUUUCACUCUCUUUUACUUAGUUGCUCUAUAUUUGUUGUCUAGUAAUAUCCUAUAGGCUUGAUGGGUUAGGGAGCAUCCCUUUGUGAAAAAAUUUUAUUCAAUCCUUAGUUGUAUCACGCAUAUAUAAAAUGCCUCAUUGUUUUAAUGGUAUUCAGUCGUGGCAUCACAGAUAUGGGCAUCUAAAUUUUAAAAGUUUGAAACUUUUAUCUAAAGAAAAUAUGGUGCUUUGCCUUUUUGUAAAGCAUGUUGAUGAAAUCCAUGAGAAUUGUGUACUUGGGAAGCAACACCGAGAUGACUUUUUUUUUUUUUUUAUAAUAUUGUUUGUCCAAAUUCCCUACAAAUUAGGCCACCAGAUGUUCAUAAUUCUCCCUUCUUGAAUUUGAAAACUCGGACAAUUGGACAAUGCGACACCUAAGUCCGGUUUCUAAAUGCUAAAGUGAAAGGGUAGGUAUGGACCAUUGAAAUGUGAUCACAACUUUUCUCUGUAGCCAUGUUGUCUCUUUUUUCUUUUGCAUGAUUUUCUUACCUUAACAGAAUCAUAGACUUGUUUAGUCUCUAAAUGGGAUUAAUUUCAUCCAGCUUUAAGCUACUAUAUUAUAUCUAGGUGGAGGACUUUUAAGAGUGCAACCGACAUAGAGCACAUGGAAGUGGGUAUAUGGGACAUGAAAUUUCUUCUUAUAAAGAUUGCAUGAUUUUUAUAUUAGAGUUGUUGAGGCGCUAUGUAUUUAGCUUGUUUUGCAGUUAAAUUAAUUGGAUAAGUAGACAUUGGCGUUUCUAAAUCUACUGUGAAGUGCUUCAUGUACGUGUGAAGUAUUAGAAAUUUCUUUCUUGGCAACUUGUUUUUCUUUGCGGUCUACUGAUAGGUUUGACUAAAAUUAUAUUCCCUGUCAUGCUAAUUAAUUUUCACGUGCAUGCUCAAAAGAAAAGUAUGACCUUAGUGCACCAAAAUCACUUUGAUUAAUUUGUGAUAGGUUUUUGUGCAUCAUGACAUUAGCCUUAUUCAUUUAGAUAAUGUUUAGUUUUUAGAAAGUAUUAAGAAAAGGAAAAUAAAUAUUAAGAAAAAUAUUCUUAUAUUUGAUUGUAUUAUGAAAAAUAUCAUAAAAAAAUCAAAUAUAAUUUAAAUUAAUUAAUAAUUUAUACAUUUUCAAAUUAUUUAAUCUUUAUAUUGAAGAUAUAAUAUAAAUGAAAUGAGUUUUAAGUAUUAUAUAAAAGUGAUUUAUUGAUCUUACAUAUAUAUAUUUCUUUUUUUUUUCCUUCUAUUUUUUCUCUUUAUUUUAUUUUCCUUAUGUUUUCCUCAACAUUUUCCGGAACCAAACAUAGCCUUAGGAAAUCCACAAUUACCUUCAACUGAGUAGAUUCUGUUGUUUUAGCAAUGUUAGGCUGCUAACUUGUGUUGGUACGAACCUAUUAAGCCUAAAGAUGUAAUUAGUUAGGAUAUUCUUUUCCCUCUAGUCUUGUAGCUCCACGUGUACAGUUGGUUAGGACCUCAUUGUAUAUAAUGCUUGCCCUGUUAUUGUAGAAGACAACAAAGAUAAAUAAUAUUAACAUUUUUCCUCUCAUCUCUCUCUGUUUCCCUCUGUUUUCAUCUCCUCUCUCAUCUUGGUAUCAGAGCCUCCAUGGCUUCUUUCAAAGAAACCUCCGAAUCACCUUCUGCUAGCAUUGUUAAUGUGCAAAACCCAUUAUCUCAAUCAAACAACCUUCCUUCACCAGUAGCCACACCCUCUUUUUCUUUCUCGUCUAUGAAUCAACCUCUCACAGUGAAGCUGGAUAAUGGGAACUACCUCAUAUGGAAGAAUUAGCUUCUAAAUGUCAUCAUUGCUAACGGACUCGAUGAUUUCAUUGACGGAUCUCGACCCUGCCCUCCUCGAUUUCUCGAUCUGCAACAACAAACCCUCAAUCCAGAGUACUCAGCUUGGCAGAGAUACAAUCGACUUCUGAUGAGUUGGCUGUACGCAUCCUUGUCCAAAGAUAUAAUGGCUCAGAUUGUUGGGUAUUCAACAGCUAUGGAGAUUUGGAAUGCCCUUAAUCAGAUUUACUCUGCCUCUUCUAUGGCGCGGUUUACUGAGCUUCGCACCAAGCUUCAAACGCUCAAGAAAGAUGGACUCUCAGUUGGUGAAUAUAUUCAAAGGCUCAAAUCCAUUUGCAAUAGUCUUGCAGCAAUAGGAGAACCAGUUUCUGAGAAAGACCAUCUUAUCUAUUUGUUCAAUGGAUUAGAUUGUGAGUAUUAUUCUUUUGUUACCUCCAUUCAAAAUCGAUCUGACCAACCAACUAUUGACAAAAUCCAUAGCCUAUUGCUUAGCUAUGACUUCCGGCUUGAACAACAAAACUCUGUUUCUCUCCAUUCUGCCCAAGUCCAUAUGGCUCAUCUGAACAAGAAACCUUAUAAAUCAACUCCUCAACCUACAUUCAAUCAUAUUCACAUUCAACCUAGAUACUCUUCUCCACCUUUUAAGCCAACCACUAGUCAAUAUCAACCCAACAUUUUGGGCAAACCACAACCACAACCAUGACAGCCUCAACCUCAAUGGAAACCACAUUUUUCAAUCUAAAAUCAAAAGCCUCAGCGCCAAAUUUGUGGUAAAUUUGGACACACUGCUCUUAUUUGCUUCCAUCACACAAAUUUGAACUAUUCACCCCAACCUUCUCCUAAAUCUUUCAAUACUGUUCUCACCACAAAUUCCCAGCUCCCUAAUCCUCCAAAAUUUUCUUACCCUACAAUGGCUCAUCCUGCUGCUACGCAUAACACGGUUCCCGAUACAAAUUGGUACAUGGACUCAGGUGCUACACAUCACUUUACUCUGGACAUCAACGUGCUUGACACUGUGACACCAUUUAGUGGUUCAGAACAGGUGACAGUUGGGAAUGGUAAGCAACUCUGUAUCUCACAUCUUGGUACUGCAAAACUACCAUCUUCGUAUUCUCCUCCUGUUCUACAUCAGGUAUAUCACACUCCAAAAAUUUCAAAUAAUCUUAUUAGUGUUAAAAAAUUGUGUUCUGAUAAUAAAGUUUUUGUUGAAUUUUAUGCCACUCAUUUUCUUGUCAAGGAUCAGGUUUCGAAGAGAGUUCUCCUUUAGGGUCAACUUGAUAAUGGCUUAUACAAAGUUCAGUCGUCAUGCUCUCCUUCUGCUGUUUCCUUUCCUCCUCAAGUUUUCAUAGCCAACAUCAAGUAUCCAAAUCUGUGGCACAAGAGACUAGGCCACCCAGCUUUAUCUGUUGUUAAUCAAAUCUUGGAUUCUUGUAACAUUGCUCGAACACAGAAAAUUUGUUUUAAUUUUUUAAAUUCUUGUCAAUUAGCAAAGAGCCACAGGCUUCCUUUUUCUCUGUCUCCAUCCAUUGCAGAAAAACCUUUUGAGUUAAUUCAUACAGACCUAUGGGGUCUUUCGCUCGUUCGCUCUAUUUCUGGUGCUCUUUAUUUUUUACUUUUCAUUGAUGAUCAUACUCGUUUUACUUGGUUUUAUUUGCUCAAAACAAAAGAUGAAGCAUAUCCUACUUUUCUCAAGUUUCAAGCUCUCAUUGAAAAUCAAUUUAAUACCAAGAUUAAGGCUGUCCAAUCUGAUUGGGGAGGUGAGUUUCGAUCUCUCUCCAUACCGUUUUCAAAUAUGGGCAUUGUCUAUUGUUUAUCGUGUCCAUACACCUCACAACAGAAUGGGCGAGUUGAGCGAAAAAAUCGCCAUGCGAUUGUCCUUUCUUGCUUGCUCUAUGCCCUUAUCUUAUUGGCCUUAUGCCUUUCAAACUGCCACUUACCUUAUUAAUCGUCUCUCUACCCCUGUGCUGCAUCAUCAAUCCUCUUACUUCGCACUCUAUCACAAACUCCCAACUUAUACUCAUCUUAAGGUCUUUGGUUCCUCUUGUUUUCCGUAUUUGCACCCUUAUAAUACCCAUAAACUCCAAUACAGGUCACUAGAGUGUGCUUUUCUUGGUUACAGUUCACACCACAAAGGUUAUCUAUGUCUUGACAUUCAUUCUAGCAGGGUGUAUAUUUCUCGCCAUGUGAUUUUUAAUGAAGAUUCUUUUCCAUUCAAGAAUUUGAAAUCUUCUCUCUCUCAGUCUAUUUCUUCUUCCUCUUCUUUAUAAGUUCCUCUGUUCAUUCUCUUGCCUCCCCUUUCCCCAUCUCCUCUUAUUUCUUCAUCUAUACCUCAUUCUUUUCCCUCUUCUUCUUCUACCUCUAGUACUUGUUCCCCUCUCGUUGCUCCUACCUCUCUUCCUUCCUCUUCACACUCUGUGUCUCCAUCUAUUCCACCUCCUUCUCCACCUUCUCCGAGUGUGGACCUGCUUGCACCUUGUGUGAAUACAAAUUUACAUACUUCUUCUCGCACUCACAAUAUUCAUCCUAUGGUGACUAGAUCUAAGGUUUGUAUCUAUAAACCUAAGUUGUUGUUGAGUGUCUCCAUAGGUUCUCUCACUAAGCCUACUUCCUUUCUUCAAGCUAUUAAAGAUCCUUCAUGGAAGCAAUCCAUGGAAUUCGAGUUUGCUACCCUUCAACACAACAAGACCUGGCAUUUGGUUCCUUCACCUUCCUCAGGCGAAGUAAUCGGUUGUAAAUGGGUCUAUAAGCUAAAGCUUCAGCCUGAUGGCUAAAUUGAGAGAUACAGCCUGCUUAGUAGCUAAGGGUAUCAUCAAAUUGAAGUAUGGACUACUUCGAAACAUUCAGCCUGAUNNNNNNNNNNNNNNNNNNNNNNNNNNNNNNNNNNNNNNNNNNNNNNNNNNNNNNNNNNNNNNNNNNNNNNNNNNNNNNNNNNNNNNNNNNNNNNNNNNNNAGCUUCAGCCUGAUGGCUAAAUUGAGAGAUACAAGGCCUGCUUAGUAGCUAAGGGUUAUCAUCAAAUUGAAGGUAUUGACUACUUCGAAACAUUCAGCCUGAUUGUCAAGCUUUCUACUAUCUGUAUUGUGCUCAGUCUUACUUUUUCCCAGAAUUGGUGUAUUAGACAGCUGGAUGUUCAUAAUGCCUUCUUACAUGGUGACUUAGCUAAAGACGUUUUCAUGGAACAACUGCCUGGAUUUGUUGAUCCUCUCUAUCCUACUCAUGUCUGCAAGUUGGAUAAGUCUCUCUACUGUCUUAAAUAGUCACCUCGGGCUUGGUAUACUAAGCUGAGUACUUCUCGCUACACUUGGGAUUUGUUACUUCUAAGAAUGACUCUUCCUUAUUUAUUUGUCAUUCGUCUCAUGGGUUACUUCUUGUUCUUGUCUAUGUGGAUGAUAUAAUCGUCAUUGGGAGCCACUCUCCUCAGGUUACUCACCUUAUCCAACAGUUGCAUCAUUAGCUUUCUUUAAAGGAUCUUGGUCCUUUACAUUAUUUUCUGGGCUUGGAGGUUCAUCACACCCCUACUGGUAUUCACCUCAGCCAAGCAAAGUAUAUCACUGAUCUCCUUACCCGGGCGGCUAUGUUGGAUGCCAAGCCAUGUCCCACUCCUAUGUCCUCCAACACAUAUCUCUCUUUUCAUGAUGGAGUGGCUCUUGAAAAUGGUUCAGAUUAUCGAAGUUUUGUUGGUGCCCUUUAGUAUUGUACCAUGACACGCCCAGAUAUAGCUUUUGCAAUAAAUAAAGUGUGUCAAUUCAUGCACCAUCCCUCUAAUGUUCACUGGCAGGCUAUAAAACGUAUUCUCCGGUACUUAAAGGGCACAUCUCAUUUUGGUCUCUUCCUACAGCCUUCCUAUGACUUCAACAUCACUUGCUAUACAAAUGCCGACUGGGCUUCCUGUCCUGAUGACAAGUGUAGCACCAGUGGCUACUGCCUCUUUCUUGCCUCUAAUCUGGUUUCUUGGUCAUCUUCCAAACAAAAAGUGGUCUCCCGCUCCAGCGCCGAAUCAGAGUACCGAGGGGUAGCAAAUGGGGCUGCUGAAAUUGCUUGGACUGAAUCUCUUCUUUGUGAACUUUCCAUUACUCCCCCUCCCCUCAUUCUCUGUGACAAUAUCAGUGCCACGUACUUAGCUGCCAAUCCUAUUUUGCAUGCCCGCACCAAACAUGUGGAAAUCGACUAUCACUUUGUCACGGAACGUGUUCUUCAAUGCUCUCUUUUUGUCCAGUUUACACCUUCUGAUGAUCAACUUGCUGAUUGCAUGACCAAGCCUCUCUCCACCCAACGUUUCAUCACUCUACGCUCCAAGCUCACUGUUCUCACUAGACCAAUGAGCUUGAGGGGGGAUGUUAAGCCUAAAGAUGUAAUUAGUUAGGAUAUUCUUUUCCCUCUAGUCUUGUAGCUCCACGUGUACAGUUGGUUAGGACCUCAUUGUAUAUAAUGCCUGCCCUGUUAUUGUAGAAGACAACAGAGAUAAAUAAUAUUAACAUUUUUCCUCUCAUCUCUCUCUCUGUUUCCCUCUGUUUUCAUCUCCUCUCUCAUCUGAACCAAAUGAUCCAUGUUAACCUUGGCUUGGUUUGAUUUGGCUCUAUCUUAGAGAGCUCAAGGAUCACGUCAACUCUGGUUUCUACUAUUCAGGUCCAUUCCCAUAUGAACUGGUUCAAAUUUGAGAAAAUGGUAACAGACCUUUAGUGAUGUUGGUUUGGAGCCAGUUGCCAAACCCGCCCUGAGCUUUACCACUAAUGUCAAGGGAGAAAGCCAUUUGAACAAAAACAAUAGCUUCAAGGGACUGAAUCGUGGAUGAAAUCUGAUCCACAUUUCUUCUCAUUUUGGAAACAAAUGAGAACUUAACUAAGAAGAUUCUACGGCCUCAUAGUGCUUUUCCUGAUCUAAGGUUGGUUCGUUUCCCAAACUGUGAGAUGCACGUGCCAGACUUCAGAACUCUCACGCUCAGGAGUGUAUCCACGUGGUGGACAUAAGAUGGUGGCUUAAGAUCUGGUGUCGGUGGCUUUACUUUACUAGGAGAGUAGUGUGUCUUCAUCUCAUUCACUGCCGGAGGGUGGCGUAAGCAGUGACGCUAAGGUGGGGCACAGUCAAUAUCAUUUGCAUUUGACCAUUAUAGUUUUCUCCCGGCUUUAAAGUAACCUUAUCGUGAUAAAGGAUUACUAGCACUAGUUCAGAUGAUAGUCAUGUUAAAUUCGGACCAUGUUUGUGUCACAUUAUCAGCAACCAUGUGUUUAUGGUUCAUGCUUUCUGCAACUAAAAUUGAUAUAUAACCAGGUGAACUUCAAUCUAAAUUCUGAAAGUACUCAUGUGAUAGAUGGUGCCCGUCUGCAGAGUCCAUCAAUUGAAAAAUGGAGUGAGUGUAUCUAUAAGAGGGAAGGCUUGGAAAAUGUUCAGUUUUCUGGGAAUUCAACAAGGAUCUAAAAUAGAUUGUUUUCUUUGCUGAUUUCAAUGGUUGAAAUUUGAGAAGAUUGUGUCCACAUAACACAACUAUUACUGGUCCUUCUGUUGCAAUUUAUCCUCUAAAGCUCUAGCAUGUCUUCCAAUUCCCACUUCCCUGUUACUCCAGGAAAGCUAUUUCUGUCAUUGUGAAGAAGAAAAGAGAAUGUACAUAUCGAUGCUUUUAAGUGACUGGAGCAUUUAUAUCAGGUGGUCUGCAGCCAUAUAUGCCACUUUGUGAAGAUUGGAACAGUCAAUCACUAGGCUAUAUAUUAGUGUGGCCCAGCCACUUUAAUCAAGGACAAGUCUUCAUACUUAAAGUCAAAUUCUGCCUUUAGUCUCAUUAUAAAUUUCUGUUUAAAUAUUAAGCAAACAUUUGUUUAAUGCGAUUAAGACAGUACUAACUCAAUACCUGUUCUAUUUUUGGAUGCAAAUGCUUGAUGGUUUCAUCAUUGGAUGGGAUAAAGGUGCAUUCAUGAUUAGGAAUACUAGUAGUUAUAUUUUAAUUCUCUUUUUUCUCAAUGAGACUUGUUGGCACAAUUUUGCUGUUGAGAAACCUACCUCUCCAUGGAAAAUAAGUUGUGAUUGAUAGUACUGGAUAUAUUCAAGAAAUCUAAAUAUAGAUAGCACAAAAUAUUAUCGACAUAAAUAGCAUUAACAGCGUACGUAUGUCUCAGUGCUCAUCAGCUAUAAGCAUGGGGCAAACACUUACUAUGAGCAACUUACGUCAAAAUUCCAGAAUAGGACAUAGAAGUGACAGAUAUAGAACAUUGCAUAUGAGUCACAAGAAAGGAAAUUACGGGUGCAUAGCAGCUCUUAUUUUACAUACUACUACUCAUACUGAUCAAAGUCACUCAGUUGGGAUGGGUGGGAGUAGGAGGUUUGUGGGGUGGCUUGUGCGGAGGAGUUGGCAGCUUCUUUCCAGGACCUGGUUGCUUCUCUGCUGGAGUUGAAGGAGGCUUAAUCUUCCGAGGUGGCUUGUAUGAGUCUUCAGCAUUCUCAGCUGGAGGGUGACCAGGGUUGUGACCAUAAUGUGGUGGCUUCUCUCCCUUAGGUGGUUUGCCAACUGGGGUUGGUGGCUUGUAUGAGUCUUCAGCAUUCUCAGCAGGAGGGUGACCAGGGUUGUGACCAUAAUGUGGUGGCUUCUCUCCCUUAGGUGGUUUGCCAACUGGGGUUGGUGGCUUGUGUUCUGGGAGUGGCUUCUCCCCCUUGGGAGGUUUUUCCAAUGGGGUUGGUUUGUGUUCAGGAGGUGGCUUCUCCACUGGAGGCUUGUGUUCAGGAGGUGGCUUCUCCACCGGAGGCUUGUGUUCAGGUGGUGGCUUCUCCACCGGAGGCUUAUGCUCUGGUGGUGGCUUCUCGAAUGGGGGAUGCUUAGGAUAAUCAGCAAGUGAGGGGGCGGUGAGAACCACCAGGCCAAGCAACACCACUAGCAAAUAUGUAGGAGACAUCUUUGGGUUUGGGCUCAGAUGGUGCAAAACUAGGAGAAUUGGCUAGCCUUUUAUAGCGGAUCGUACCCAAUAAUGAAAUGACACGUGUCAUUAUGACCCAUGUGUAAUGGGGUCGAUUUGGGUCCUACAGUGUUGAAAACUUCGACAUCCACUUUUGGCCUUUUGCUUUCUCUACAGCCGCCUUGCUUUUUCCCUCUUUCCUUUUGUUUUCCUCCUGCCCCAUUCUAUCAACUAAACACAAUUAUGUAGUUGUUUAAUUCUUAAAUGAGAUAUUAUCCGUCAAUCGUAUUAUAUUUUAUCAAGAGAGAACGGAGUGCAAUGUGGCUGUAAUUUUAUCGUUUAGUUUUAUCUCUUGGACCACUGCAUUUUUGUUAAGAGGUGCAAUAAUACACGUCUUUAUCUGCCAUUCAAUAUUUACAGUAAAGAGAGGGCACAAAACUCUUCACUUCGCACCAUAAUUAUUUUGUUUUCUGGACACCCCGGGGCCCUUUGGUUGGUUUGGGGGUCAGAAAGUGAACAUCAUAGGGGGUUUUUCCCUUAUGUGCAUUUGUAUCUGAUGGCUUUAACUCGCCUUGUUACUACAAAGAAACUGUCACAGAUAGGAACUUAUUCCAGGCUGAGUAUCUCCUCAUAGACCCUAUAAAAGAAGACAAGUCAUAAUGAACAUCUAACCUUUGUUCAAUUUGAUUCAAUGCCCCCAUUGUGUCCAUCUCACAAAUCUGAAUUAUUAUAUCCAUUGAAUACAUAAAUUAAUGAAGAAAAUAUGAAACCCAAGAUACAUCUCUGCACAACCUCAACCCUGGUUGCUAUGUUUCCCUUCUAUUCACAUGAUUUGAUGCUAAUUGCCAAACUUGCAACAAGCCCUGAGUUUGACACCUAGUAUCGAUGGGCGAAUUUAAAGUCUCCUCCAAACAUAUAUUCCACAGCUUGAAGCUCACAGAAGAUGUUACAGGCAGGGAAAAACCUUCAGAGUUCGCUACCAAAGAUAAUUAUUAAGGAGAUAUCACAAAGAGAAUUCCAAGGGGUCUGAAUCAAAGACAAAUUGGUCGUUCGUGGGGGUUCUUACUUUCUUUUGGGUAUAACUCACUGAGGGCACUGUCUUUGUUAUUUGCAUUUCACAUUUAGAGUUCUGUUCUGGAAACAUAUAAAAGGAGCAUCAUUUUGUUCUUGGGUAACCCAUAGUCGUGAGUGGGUCCAUUUGCAUGCUACUUAGUUGAAAAGUUGGACCAUUUGCUCCGACGCCUACCUCCCGGAUUCCAUGCUCGGAUAAAACAAGAAUAAAAAAAAUAUUUAUAAUUUACAAAUGGGGGAAAGAAAAAAAUGUCAACAACAAACCAGGAAAAAAGAGUAGUAAAAUUCAUGUCACAUGCUAGUGAGAGAAGGGGUUGUUACACUCACUCGAAGUUCUUUCCAAAAUAUCGCAUGGUAUUUUAUUUUAUGUGUCAGCGCAGUUGUGAAUGGAACGUGCAAAAGUCCAAAUUGGCGUUUUUCCUUUUCCCGUGUAGGAUGGCGACCUUUAAUAAAUAUUUAAAACAAAAAACGAAAAAAAGGAGGGAAAAGGGAUCAGAAAAGAUAAAACAAUGUGUACAAGAGCUCAAUUAGUUUGCAAAUUACUGUUUGGAUUUUGAUAGUAUUUUAUUUGUCCAUCUAUAUUUGAUGGAAAAGAGAAUUUAAGAUAUUUCUGAAACAAAAGCAUUAGUGUAAAACUAAAUUAAGGUAUAAUUAAGUUAGUUCAAUGCAUUAAUUUAAGAAACUUGAUCUAUCCAAAGUACAAAAUUAGAUGAAAUCCAUUUCAAUGGUUAAAAUGAUCAAAAUCAAACUUUUUCUAAGUAUUUUUUAAAAGCAUCAAUAUUAAAAGACAAUUUUAUAUUUAGUCGGAGUUUGGACAAAACCAAAAAGCACACAAAAUCCAAGCGACCAUCUCUAGCUUGGAUAGUCACUUGAUCCCACCUAGAGAUGUGCAUGAGUAAAAGGAUUUGAAAAUGGAAAUUGACUAAAUAUUUAGUUGAUCAAUUAAAUUUGCAAUGUCAUAUGCAAUCCUAAUAGCUAGUCAUCUAAUCAAUUAGGUAGUCAAUCAAGUGUUUGUAAUGACUAUUUUGUACAAAAAACCACAUGUAUAGUUAAAUAUAAUGCAUUUCAUUUAUAAAUCUUCUAAUUCUUGAAUAACGAUCCUAUCAUCCUUUGAAAAUUUUUAUUACACCUUUUUUACUUUUGUUCUAAAACUUACAUAUCACCCUUAAUUGUACCAUGAGAACCUAGCUAUUUUUUUUUUUUUUGUAAUUCAUCAAAGUUAGCUUUUGUAUUCAUUGUUGUAUUAUUUUUAGUAUAACUUAGAAAGCUAGUGUUUUCAAGUGAGUAAAAUUAACUUGUAAAUAUUGUAAAGAUUCAUUGAUAUGUAUCUUAAACUAAGUGUACAAAUUAAAACAUUUGCUAGUAGAUUUUCUCAAAAUUUAGAAUAGAGCUUGAGGCUAUUGAAAUAGGUGGGGUUACACCAAACCACAUCACAUCGUUGUUUGCACCUUUUUUCACUCUCUUUUACUUAGUUUCUCUAUAUUUGUUGUCUAGUAAUAUCCUAUAGGCUUGAUGGGUUAGGGAGCAUCCCUUUGUGAAAAAAUUUCAUUCAAUUCUUAGUUGUAUUACGCAUAUAUAAAAUGCCUCAUUGUUUUAAUGGUAUUCAGUCGUGGCAUCACAGAUAUGGGCAUCUAAAUUUUAAAAGUUUGAAACUUUUGUAAAGCAUGUUGAUAAAAUCCAUGAGAGUUGUGUACUUGGGAAGCAACAUCGAGGUGACUUUAUUUUUUUUUCCUUUUAUAAUGCCACACCUAAGUCCGGUUUCUAAAUGCUAAAGUGAAAGGGUAGGUAUGGACCAUUGAAAUGUGAUCACAACUUUUGGCCUUUUCCUUUCUCUGCAGCCAUGUUGUCUCUUUUUUCUUUUGCAUGAUUUUCUUACCAAAACAGAAUCAUAGACUUGUUUAGUCUCUAAGCUACUAUAUUAUAUCUCGGUGGACUUUUAAGAGUGCAACCGACAUAGAGCACAUGCAAGUGGGCAUAUGGGACAUGAAAUUUCUUCUUACAAAGAUUGCAUGAUUUUUAUAUUAGAGUUGUUCACGUGCAAUGUAUUUAGCUUGUUUUGCAGUUAAAUUAAUUGGAUAAGUAAACAUUGGCAUUUCUAAAUCGACUGUGAAGUGCUUCAUGUACGUGUAAAGUAUUAGAAAUUUCUUUCUUGGCAACUUGUUUUUUCCUUGCCAUCUACUGGUAGGUUUGACUAAAAUUAUAUUCCCUGUCAUGCUAAUUAAUUUUCAUGUGCAUGCUCAAAAGAAGAGUAUGACCUUAGUGCACCAAAAUCACUUUGAUUAAUUUGUGAUAGGUUUUUUUGCAUCAUUUAGAUAAUGUUUAGUUCUAAGAAAAAUUUAUAUAAAAAUGGUUUAUUUAUCUUACAUAUAUAUAUAUAUAUAUAUAUUUUUUUUUUUUUCAUUUUUUUUUCUUCUAUUUUAUUUAUUUAUUUUAUUUUCCUUAUGUUUUCCUCACAUUUUCCGGAACUAAACAUAGUCUUACGAAAUCAACAAUUGCCUUCAACUGAGUAGAUUCUGUUGUUUUAGCAAUGUUAGGCUGCUAACUUGUGGUGGUACGAACCAAAUGACCCAUGUUAAUCUUGGCUUGGUUUGAUUUGGCUCUAUCUCAGAGAGCUAAAGGAUCACGUCAACUCUGGUUUCUACUAUUCAGGUCCAUUCCCAGAUGAACUGGUUCAAAUUUGAGAAAAUGGUAACAGACCUUUAGUGAUGUUGGUUUGGAGCCAGUUGCCAAACCCGCCCUGAGCUUUACCACUAAUGUCAAGGGAGAAAGCCAUUUGAACAAAAACAAUAGCUUCAAGAGACUGAAUCGUGGAUGAAAUCUGAUCCACAUUUCUUCUCAUUUUGGGAAAAAAUGAGAACUUAACUACAAAGAUUCUACUGCCUCAUUCAUAGUGCUUUUCCUGAUCCAAGGUUGGUUCGUUUCCCAAAUUGUGAGGUGCACGUGCCACUCUCACGCUCAGGAGUGUAUCCACGUGGUGGACAUCAGAUGGUGGCUUAAUAUCUGGUGUCGGUGGCUUUACUUUACUAGGAGAGUAGUGUGUCUUCAUCUCAUUCACUGCCGGAGGGUGGCGUAAGCAGUGACGCUAAGGUGGGGCACAGUCAAUAUCAUUUGCAUUUGACCAUUAUAGUUUUCUCCCGGCUUGAAAGUAACCUUAUCGUGAUAAAGGAUUACUAGCACUAGUUCAGAUGACCGUCAUGUUAAUUCGGACCAUGUUUGUGUCACAUUAUCAGCAACCAUGUGUUUAUGGUUCAUGCUAUCUGCAACUAAACUUGAUAUAUAACCAGGUGAACUUCAAUCAAAAUUCUGGAAGUACUCUUGUGAUAGAUGGUGCCUGUCUGCAGAGUCCAUCAAUUGAAAAAUGGAGUGAGUGUAUCUAUAAGAGGGAAGGCUUGGCAAAUGUUCAGUUUUCUGGGAAUUCAACAAGGAUCUAAAAUAGAUUGUUUUCUUUGCCGACUUCAAUGGUUGAAAUUUGAGAAGAUUGUGUCCACAUAUCACAACUAUUACUGGUCCUUCUGUUGCAAUUUAUCCUGUAAGGCUCUAACAUGUCUUCCAAUUCCCACUUCCCUGUUACUCCAGGAAAGCUAUUUCUGUCAUUGUGAAGAAGAAAAGAGAAUGUACAUAUCGAUGCUUUUAAGUGACUGGAGCAUUCAUAUCAGGUGGUCUGCAGCCAUAUAUGCCACUUUGUGAAGGUUGGAACAGUCAAUCACUAGGCUAUAUAUUGGUGUGGCCCAGCCACUUCAAUCAAGGACAAGUCUUCAUACUUAAAGUCAAAUUCUGCCUUUAGUCUCAUUAUAAAUUGCUGUUUAAAUAUUAAGCAAACUUUUGUUUAAUGCGAUUAAGACAGUACUAACUCAAUACUUGUUCUAUUUUUGGAUGCAAAUGCUUGAUGGUUUCAUCAUUGGAUGGGAUAAAGGUGCAUUCAUGAUUAUGAAUACUUGUAGUUAUAUUUUCAUUCUCUUUUUUCUCAAUGAGACUUGUUGGCACAAUGUUGCUGUUCAGAAACCUACCUCUCCAUGGAAAAUAAGUUGCGAUUGAUAGUACUGGAUAUGUUCAAGAAAGCUAAAUAUAGAUAGCACAAAAUAUUAUCGAUAUAAAUAGCAUUAACAGCGUACGUAUGUCUCAAUGCUCAUCAGCUAUAAGCAUGGGACAAACACUUACUAUGAGCAACUUACGUCAAAAUUCCAGAAUAGGACAUAGAAGUGACAGAUCUAUAUAUAUAGAACACUGCAUAUGAGUCACAAGAAAGGAAAUUACGGGUGCAUAGCAGCUCUUAUUUUACAUACUACUACUCAUACUGAUCAAAGUCACUCAGUUGGGAUGGGUGGGAGUAGGAGGUUUGUGGGGUGGCUUGUGCGGAGGAGUUGGCAGCUUCUUUCCAGGACCUGGUUGCUUCUCUGCUGGAGUUGAAGGAGGCUUAAUCUUCCGAGGUGGCUUGUAUGAGUCUUCAGCAUUCUCAGCUGGAGGGUGACCAGGGUUGUGACCAUAAUGUGGUGGCUUCUCUCCCUUAGGUGGUUUGCCAACUGGGGUUGGUGGCUUGUAUGAGUCUUCAGCAUUCUCAGCAGGAGGGUGACCAGGGUUGUGACCAUAAUGUGGUGGCUUCUCUCCCUUAGGUGGUUUGCCAACUGGGGUUGGUGGCUUGUGUUCUGGGAGUGGCUUCUCCCCCUUGGGAGGUUUUUCCAAUGGGGUUGGUUUGUGUUCAGGAGGUGGCUUCUCCACUGGAGGCUUGUGUUCAGGAGGUGGCUUCUCCACCGGUGGCUUGUGUUCAGGAGGUGGCUUCUCCACCGGAGGCUUAUGCUCUGGUGGUGGCUUCUCCACCGGAGGCUUAUGCUCUGGUGGUGGCUUCUUGAAUGGGGGAUGCUGAGGGUAAUCAGCAAGUGAGGGGGCGGUGAGAACCACCAGGCCAAGCAACACCACUAGCAAAUAUGUAGGAGACAUCUUUGGGUUUGGGCUCAGAUGGUGCAAAACUAGGAGAAUUGGCUAGCCUUUUAUAGCGGAUCGUACUCAAUAAUGAAAUGACACGUGUCAUUAUGACCCAUGUGUAAUGGGGUCGAUUUGGGUCCUACAGUGUUGAAAACUUCGACAUCCAGUUUUGGCCUUUUGCUUUCUCUACAGCCGCCUUGCUUUUUCCCUCUUUCCUUUUGUUUUCCUCCUGCCCCAUUCUAUCAACUAAACACAAUUAUGUAGUUGUUUAAUUCUUAAAUGAGAUAUUAUCGGUCAAUCGUAUUAUAUUUUAUCAAGAGAGAACGGAGUGCAAUGCAGCUGUAAUUUUAUCGUUUACUUUUAUCUCUUGGACCACUGCAUUUUUGUUAAGAGGUGCAAUAAUACACGUCUUUAUCUGCCAUUCAAUGUUUACAGUAAAGAGAGGGCACAAAACUCUUCACUGCUCUGCAUGUGUCCCAAAAAUGCGAUUGGACAAAUUAUGAUUUGCAUGCUAAAAAGAGGCAAAUGAGGUUAAUUCGCACCAUAAUUAUUUGGUUUUCUGGACACCAUAAAAAGAUGUUAUACAGGCAGGGAAAAACCUUCAGAGUUAGCUACCAAAGAUAAUUAUCAAGCAGAUAUCACCAAGAGAAUUCCAUAGAGUCUGAAUCAAAGACAGAUUGCUCGCUCGUGGGGGUUCUUACUUUCUUUUGGGUAUAACUCACUGAGGUCACUGUCUUUUUUAUUUGCAUUUCACAGUUAGAGUUCUGCUCUGGAAGGUUUGUUCUGGAAACAUAUAAAAGGAGCAUCAUUUUGUUCUUGGGUAACCCAUAGUCGUGAGUGGGUCCAUUUGCAUGCUACUUAGUUGAAAAGUUGGACAAUUUGCUCCGACGCCUACCUCCUGGAUUCCAUGCUCGGUAAAACAAGAAUAAAAAAAAAUAUAUAAUUUACAAAUGGGGGAAAGAAAAAAUGUCGGAAAAAAUAGUAAAAUUCAUGUCACAUGCUAGUGAGAGAAGGGGUUGUUACACUCACUCGAAGUUCUUUUCAAAAUAUCGAAUGGUAUUUUACUUUAUGUGUCAGCGCAGUUGUGAAUGGAACGUGCAAAAGUCCAAAUUGGCGUUUUUAUUUUUCCCAUGUAGGAUGGUGACCUUUAAUAAAUAUUUAAAACAAAAGACGAAAAAAAAAAGGAGGGAAAAGGGAUCACAAAAGAUAAAAUAAUGUUUACAAAAGCUCAAUUAGUUUGCAAAUUACUGUUUGGAUUUUGAUAGUAUUUUAUUUGUCGUUCUAUAUUUGAUGUAAAAGAGAAUUUAAGAUAUUUCCGAAGCAAAAGCAUUAGUUUGCUCUGUGAUGUCCCACAUCGAAUAGGGGAGAAAGUUUCUGGCGCUAUAUAUGUAGAGGCUCCUCUUAACCAAGUAGAUGCGUUUUAAAACCAUGAGGGCCCCCUUAGGUCCAAAGCGGACAAUAUCUACAUGAUUGGGUGUAAGUCAUUACAAAUGGUAUCAGAGCCGAUCCCCGACCCCGGUGUGGGGGUUUGUUUGGCCCUGUAAGGGGUGUUUGUCUGUUUGACCCCACAAUCCCAUGGGACACAACGAGGACGUUGUGUCUGCAUGGGGGGGCGUUUGUGAUGUCCCACAUCGGAUAGGGGAGAAAGUUCCUAGUGCUAUAUAUGUAGAUGUUUCUCUUAACCAAGUAGAUGCAUUUUAAAAUUGUGAGGGCCUCUUUGGGCCCAAAGCGGACAAUAUCUACAUGGUUGAGUGUAAGUCAUUACAUGCUCCAUGUCAAUUUCAGCAUUUCUCAUAUGUUUCACACAUACACAGAAGAGCAUCGUUUUUUAAAGCAUGCAUUUAUGUUGGAUUAAUUUGGAUUUUGUGGGAACUGGGGCAAGGAUCACAUGGAAGAGAGGUUGACUUUUUUCAGUACUUCAAUGGUUGAAAUAUGUGAAGGCUUGAUUGAUACUAAAGCUUGAAAUUGCGACUCUGUCAUUUGUAAAAAAAUAUGACAGCUUCCAUGCUCUCGUUUGGUUGCAUUGUCCGGUCGAGAGGUGCAAAAAGCAUUCUCUCUCUUCUAAUAGUCUUUUCGUUUAAAUCAAGGGAUUUGCCUUCCCGGUCGAGGUCCAAUAGAGGGUAACGGUCACCUACUAAACAUUAAAUGCUCCAACAACUAGUGAACUGAUCGACCCCAGCUCGACUAGUUGAGGUUACUUUUUGGUUUUCUUGUCUCCCGAGGUUAGAAACCUAUAAAUAGAGAGCUUCACUUCAUUUAUGAGUAAGAGAACACCUAAAUUUAUUUGUUUACCUACUUGUUUUUGCCAUAAAAGCUCUCAUUUCUUUUCUUGGUGUAUUAAAUCUCCAUUUGCAUAUCCUUUAGUGCACCUUUGUGAUUCAUUCUAGCCUUGAGUUGUAUUUAAGCCUUUGUUGAGCUAGGUUGAGAGUUUCAUACUUGUUUAUUGAGUGUUAAAGCCUUCAAGUGAGUUAAAACUUGAAGAGAUUGUGUAAGAGCCCAUUGGAGUCGGAAUCCAAGUGUAAAGGUGAUUAAAAGCUUGGUUGAAGCUUCAAGUUAGUGGAACUCUCACUCGGUUAUGAGCUUGAGAAGAGUGGACAUAGACAAGGCAGUGUCGAACCACUAUAAAAUCUGAGUUUGAUUUCUCUAACCUUAUCUCUUUAUAUUUGCUUCUCUUGUGCUUAAAUUUUUUGUGUUUAAAAAGAAUUUUUAAAAACUCAAUUCACCCCCUUCUUGGGAGUUUUUCUCUUUUAAGAUCAGCUUUUAUUUUCUCAAUUGGUAUCAGAACUAUGCCUCUUGUUUAAGACUUAAUCGUCUAAGAGGAAAUGGCUAAUCCAUCAAGUUCAUCUCACAUUGAAAGUUUUGCAACCAAUAGACUUCUUUUUUUUUUUUUGCGGGAACUGAUUAUCCCUAUUGGAAAACUAAAAUGACUUGGUUUUUACAAUCAAUUGAUUUAGAUGUAUGAGAUGCCAUUGAAGAUGACCUAACUUUUCCUUCAAAACUAGUUGAUGGAGUCAUGGUUCCAAAACCUAAGCAAGAAUGGGAUGAGCGUGAUUGAAGAAAUUUUCAAUUAAAUGCUAAAGUCGUUUAUACUUUGCAAUGCUCUAUGGACAGAAAUGAAUAUAAUAGAAUAUGUCAAUGCAAAUCGGUUAAAGAAAUUUGGAGAUUGCUUGAAAUAACUCAUAAAGGAACAAAUCAAGUUAAAGAGUCAAAAAUCAAUUUACUUGUUCAUAGAUAUGAAUUGUUUUUUAUGAAAGAUAAUGAAACUAUUGUUAAGAUGAUCACUAGGUUCACCAACAUUGUUAAUGGUCUUAAAGCCUUGGGAAAGACCUACAAGGAAUCCGAAAACGUGAUGAAGAUCUUGAGGUCACUUCCAUCAAAGUGGCAUACCAAGGUCACCGCAAUUUAAGAAGCAAAAGACUUGAUCAAGCUACCUUUGGAGGAGUUCAUAGGGUCAUUGAUGACAUAUGAAAUCAAUUUGGCAAAGAAGUAACAAAAAGGUGAAGACAAAAAGAAGAAGAACAUAACUCUCAAAGCUACAACUAAGGAAGAAGAAGUUGAAGAAGAAAAACAAAUUGAAGAAGAUGAAGAUUUAGCCCUCAUCACAAGAAAGUUCAACAAAUUCAUGAGGGGUGAAAGGUUUAGAAGAAGAAGGUUCACUUCUAGAAGAGACUUUUCUAAAAAGGAAUCUUCAUCUAAUGGUGACAAAAAGAGAUGGGAAGAGAAAAGAGACUUGGUGUGUUUCAAGUGCAAGAAACCGGGACACAUUAAAUAUGAUUGUCCUCUCUACAAAAGUGAAGUCAAGAGGAAAAAGAAUAAGGCAAUGAUGGCCACUUAGAGUGAAAGUGAAGAUGAAUCAUCCGAAGAAGAAAAUGAGAAAGAAGUGGCAAACAUGUGUUUCAUGGCAAUAGAUGAACUUGAUGAGGUAAAAUCUAACCUUAGUGAUUAAGAUAUACAUGAUGCAUUUGAAGAAUUGUAUGAGGAUUUUUAAAAACUUAGUUUGAAAAAUAUUUCUCUUAAAAAGAAAGUUCAACAACUUGACAAAGAACUUAGAGAAGUAAAAGAAAAAUUUUCAAAUGUUAAAGUUUCUAAAACUCAUCUUGAAAAAGAAAAUGAGAUUCUAAGAAAGAAAAAUGAAUAGUUGAACUCCUCUCUUUCAAUCUUUUCUUCUAGACAAAAAUCUUUUGAAAUGAUUCUAACUAGCUAAAAAUGUGUUUUUGACAAACAAGGGUUAAGAUUUAAAUCUUCAAAAAAUCAAAAGUAUUUUAAAAACUAUUUUGUAAAGGAAUCCACAAGUGCAAGUCCUUCCACUACUUGCAACUUUUGUGGAAGAGAAUGGCACAUUAGUAGUACGCCCUUUAAGAAAUGGUUCUCAAAAGAAUUUAAAUGCAAAAACUAAAAAAGAUUUGGAUUGAGAAAUCCAAGGUCACUAACCCUCAAGGACCCAAAAAGAUAUAGGUACCUAAAUCAACUUGAGUUUUAUGUUGUAAGGUUCAAAGAAUGAUAAGUGGUUCUUAGAUAAUGGUUGCUCAAGACACAUGACCGGAGAUGAAUCCAAGUUUGCUUUUCUUAAAAAGAAAAAUGGAGGAUAUGUUACCUUUGGAGACAAUGCAAAAGAAAGGAUGAUUGGUCAAGGCAACAUUGGUAAUGGCACAUCCUCUCUCAUUGAAAGUGUUUUAUUAGUAGAUGGUUUCAAACAUAACCUUUUAAGCAUUAGUCAAUUUUGCGACAAAGGUUUUUAAGUGAUUUUUUAAGCAUCUCAUUGCAUCAUCAAGGAUAUUCAAAAUGAUAAAACCAUUUUCAUGGGCCAUAGAUGUGAUAAUGUUUAUGCUAUAAAUAUUUCAAAAUAUGAUGGCCAUGAUAGAUGUUUUUCAAGCAUGCAUGAUCAAAGUUGGUUGUGCCAUAGGAGAUUGAGACAUGCUAACAUAGACCUCAUUUCCCAACUCAACAAAGAUGAACUUGUUAGAGGCCUUCCCAAAAUAAUUUUUUAAAAAGAUAAAGUUUGUGAAGCUUGUCAAGUGGGAAAGUAAAUCAAAAACUCUUUUAAAAACAAAAACUUCAUUUCCACAUCUAGGCCACUUGAGUUGUUGCAUAUGGAUUUAUUUGGUCCCUCUAGGACACCAAGUCUUAGAGGAAAUUCUUAUGCAUAUGCUAUUGUGGACGACUUCUCUAGAUACACAUGAGUCUUGUUUUUUAGUCAAAAGAAUAAAGUUUUUUAUGAGUUUUCAAAGUUUUGCAAUAAGAUUCAAAAUGAAAAAGGUUUUUCAAUUACUUAUAUAAGAAGUGAUCAUGGGAGAGAAUUCGAAAAUAUUGAUUUUGAAGAGUAUUGCAAUGAGCAUGGAAUUGACCACAAUUUUUUGGCUCUUAGAACUCCUCAACAAAAUGGGGUAGUUGAAAGGAAAAAUAGAACUCUUCAAAAAAUGACAAGAACCAUACUAAAUGAAAACAACUUACCAAAAUAUUUUUAGGCCAAAACGGUUAACACUUCUUGUUAUGUUUUAAAUAGAGUAUUAUUGAGGCUCAUACUUAAGAAAACUCCCUAUGAGCUUUGGAAAAACAAAAAACCCAACAUUAGUUAUUCCAAAGUCUUUGGAUGCAAUAUUUUAUAAUAAACACCAAAGACAAUCUUGGAAAAUUUGAUGCAAAAUUGGAUGUUGGAAUUUUCCUUGGUUACUCAACUUCAAGUAAAGCUUUUCGAGUUUUAACAAAAGAACCAUGGUUGUAGAGGAGUCCAUCCAUGUUAUUUUUUAUGAAUCUCCAAGAAAGAGAGAGGAUUGAUGAUGAUUUAGGUUUGAAGACCUCUAUAGGAAGAUUGCAAAUCGAAGAUAGAAGACAACAAGAAGAAAAUGGAGAGAAUCCAAAGAAAGAAGGAUCACCAUUGGCACUACCCCCUCAUCAACAAGCGCAAGGUGAAUCAAGUCAAGAGCUUCCUAAAGAAUGGAAGUUUGUCAUCAAUCACCCACAAGAUCAAAUUAUAGGCAAUCCAUCUAGUGGGGUAAGAACUAGAUCCUCUCUUAGAAAUAUUUGCAAUAAUCUAGCUUUUAUCUCUCAAAUUGAGCCUAAAAAUAUAAAUGAUGUUUUAGAUGAUGAAAAUUGGAUAAUUGCAAUGCAAGAAGAGUUAAAUCCAUUUGAAAGAAGUGGAGUAUGGGAAUUAGUACCAAGACCUUCAAAUCAAAGUGUUAUUGGAACUAGAUGGAUCUUUAGAAAUAAAAUGGAUGAAAAUAGCAUAAUUGUUAGAAAUAAAGCAAGAUUGGUAGCCCAAGGUUUUAAUCAAGAAGAAAUGAUAGAUUAUGAAGAAACCUUUGCCCCCGUAGCUAGGUUGGAAGCCAUUAGGAUGCUACUUGCCUUUGCAUGUUUUAAAGACUUUGUUUUAUAUCAAAUGGAUGUGAAAAGUGCUUUUUUAAAUGGUUUUAUAAAUGAAGAAGUAUAUGUUGAACAACCACCCGGUUUUCAAAGUUUCAACUUUCCUAACCAUGUUUUUAAACUUAAAAAGACACUUUAUGGUUUGAAACAAGCACCUAGAUCAUGGUAUGAAAAAUUGAGUAAAUUUCUUUUGAAAAAAAUGUUUUAAAAUGGGAAAAAUUGACACAACUCUUUUUAUAAAAACCAAAGAAAAUGAUAUGCUCUUAGUUCAAAUAUAUAUUGAUGAUAUCAUUUUUGGUGCUACUAAUGUCUCUCUUUAUGAAGAAUUUUCUAAGUGCAUGCAUAGUGAGUUUGAAAUGAGCAUGAUAGGAGAACUCAACUUCUUCCUUGGACUUCAAAUCAAGCAACUAAAGGAAUGAACCUUCAUCAAUCAAGCAAAGUAUAUAAGAGAUCUUCUCAAAAGGUUCAACAUGGAAGAAGCCAAAACAAUGAAGACUCUAAUGAGCUCAUCCAUUAAGCUUGAUAAGGAUGAGAAAGGUAAAUCCAUUGACUCUAUUAUGUAUAGAGGCAUGAUAGGUUCUUUGCUCUAUUUGACCACUAGUAGACCUUACAUUAUGUAUAGUGUGUGUUUGUGUACUAGAUUUCAAUCUUGUCUUAAAAAAUCUCACUUAAGUGUCGUGAAAAGAAUCCUCAAAUAUUUGAAAGGGACAAUGGACAUAGGCUUAUGGUAUCCUAAGAGUGAUAACUUUGAAUUAAUUGGUUUUUUGGAUGCUGAUUUUGUCAGUUGUAGGGUUGAAAAAUAAAACACUAGUGGCACUUUUCAUUUCUUAAGACACUUACUUGUCUCAUGGCAUAAUAAGAAGCAAAAUUUGGUAGCUUUGUCAACAGCAGAAGCUAAAUACAUAGCAACUGGUUUAUGUUGUGCACAAAUCCUUUGGAUGAAAUAAACACUUAGUGAUUUUGAUUUAUCUUUUGAGCAUAUUCCUAUUAAAUGUGAUAAUAGUAGUGCCAUAAGUAUAUCAAAAAAUCUCGUGCAACACUCUAGGACUAAGCAUAUAGAGAUUAGACAUAAUUUUCUUAGAUAUCAUACACAAAAGGAUGAUAUAACACUUGAAUUUGUAAGCAUAAAAGACCAACUUGCCGAUAUCUUUACAAAACCUCUAAGAACAUUUUGUUGAUAUUAGAGGACAAUUAGGAGUGAUUUCUUUAUGAUCUAAUGUGAUGAAUUCUUGAUGAAUAUACUUUUUGAUUGCAUGAAUUUCAUGUCAUAUAUGCAUCAUAUAGAAAUAUACUUAGAUAAUGGUCAAAUUUCGACCAAAAAUCAAAAUUCCCAUGGCAUUAGGCAUAAAAAUUUUGGAAUUUCAACUGAAAAUGGUAGGAGGAGGAUCACAAAAUGAGAAAGUAUGCAAAAAUUGAAAAAUCAAAACGUUGACCAAGCGGUCAAUCGGACUAGACCGAUCGACUAGUUUGUCGAGAUUUAGGAUUUUUAAGAGACUCCAACGCUUCAAUUUUUGCACCGUUCUCCUCUAUUUCUUCACGGUUUCUCUGAUUUUGUCUUUUAGAGACUAAUUUGAGUGCGUUUUGGAUCAAUUGAAGCAUUUUGGAUUGGAUUUUAGGAAGAUUGAAAGUUAAGGUUUCGGAUUUGGGUCGCCUUCUCUUCCUCUCGCGUGUCACAAUCAGCUUUAGCAUUGUUCUCUUUCCAUUUUCACACACCUAGGGUUUCAGUUGUGAGCAUCUCUCUCUCUUUACCAACCACUACUCCCUUGCUUCUUCCAUAUGGCUCCUAGGCGAGAGUCCGCUACUUCUAGGGCACAAGGCAAGCACCCAACUGAGUCGUCUCAGUCAAAGGCACGUCGAAAAGUGAGAUUUGACAUUGCCUUGUUCAGUUCCAUGGAGGACUACCAACUAUACAAGCAACACUUUGCUUAGAGACGAGUAGUUCCCAAGAGAAAUAUUAAUUUUCCUCAACUUCAGCAUUUCGAAUUUAAGGGUCUAUUUACUAGGAUGGUUGGUUGUCUAUUGUCACAAUUUCGGAGCCGGUUUUCCUGACCUUAGUGCGAGUUUUUUACUCGAGGGCGACUUAUGGCAUGGGUGGCAUGAUCAUUUCUACUGUUGGAGGAGUUGAGAUCUGUCUGGACCCAGAGAGCAUCUGCCAUAUUUUCGAUAUUGCUCUGGUUGGACUCAAAGUAUACAAGUCCAAAAUGUGGCCCAUUGUGCCAGGAUUUGAGCUUAGAGAGGUCAUUCAGAGGAUUUGUGAACUUCCAGACGCCCAGGAGAUGGGCAAACCAUUGCCACACAGUUUGACGGUCAUCAACAGGGUGCUACACCAUAUAUUGUGCUCUAUCUUUCUACCACGAAGUGGACAUUGAGAUGAGGUCUCUUAUUAUGAGGCAUUCCUUAUUGACUCCAUUCUAACGGAGAGACGAAUUCAUCUACUAUGUCAUCAUUCACUAAGCCUCCUCACAGUGACAUACCACCUCAUCAGGCACCUCUUGCUCCUGACCAUGCUCCAUUGAUGGAUUUAUUUACUCAUAUUAGCUCUCUAGGCACUCGCAUGAAGGAGUUUGUUGUAGUUAGUGAUACAUGGUUCUACUCCAUAGAGGAUCGCAUGGAUCAGUAUCAGACUGGCUUCACGUCACAGUUUGAGUAUCUCCAAUAGAGGAUUGAGCAUAUUGAGGAUCACUUGAGCAUGAGAAGAUGAUGGCUUUUCUAUGCUCUGUGUUUCCACCUCCACCUCGUCAACCUUGAUUUCUUAGAGACCCAUUGUUUUCAUUUUGUAAUGUUGCCAAAAGGGGGAGAUAUUUAGGAUCUAGGACUCUAUAGGAGACUUACAUGCAUAUCAUUUUCAUAUCAUUGUUUGGAUCGUACAUAUUGGAUAGUGAUACUUUUUACUUAUAUAUGAUAUGCCUAUAUGUUUCAUGUCUUACAUUGUUUCUUAUUGCAAAUUAUCUCUAACAUGUCUUGAUUAUCUUUUUUUUAACUUCAUAAAUUUUGAUUGUUAACCCAUGAUUGGUUUGAGGGGAAGAUUCUUCUUCUCCUAGAUAACCAAGGUUUGUCAUCAUAAAAAAAUUGGAGAUUGUUAGCCCAAGGGUUCUCCUAAUCAUGUUUUGAUGAUAACAAACCAUGCUUAAGUUACUAAUUGGUUUGAAUUAUAAAGAAUUUCAAGUGUUAAUUUGAAAAUUCAUCAAAGAACCUAAUGGAUGCAAGAUCAAGAUUUUUGGAAGACCUUUAAUCAUAAGAAACAUAUGUAAGAUGAAUGCAUGGGUGCACUUAAGAUUUGCAUAUCAUUUCAUGCAUAUUUGGAAAACACGGUUUAUGCUUUAAAGUUACAUUUCCAUCAAAAUUUGAGAUCCAUCAAAUGAACCUUAGGAAAAAUGUUUUAAAAUUGGCAUAUAAUUUUACCUAAAGACCUUGCCUAAGUGUUAGAAGCAAAAGGACAAAAAAAAUAUAGGUUUUCUGGUCAAAAAUGGUGAACCAGUCAAGGCAUUGUCUAAAUCAGCUCAAUCGGCCAAGGUACCGGUCGAUCGGUUUCCCUUUCCCUGUCGAGAUCUAGUCAAGAGGUACAAAAAUCACAAUCUCUGUCUCUUUCUCUCUUUGUCUAUCUUCCAGUAGUCUUUCCUUCCCGGUCGAGGGAUUUGCCUUCCCGAUUGAGGUCCGAUUGAGAGUAAUAGUCACUUGCCAAAUAUUAAAUGCUCCAACAGUUAGUGAACUGGUCGACCCCCACCUUGCCCAGUUGAGGUUACUUUUUGGUUUUCUUGGCUCCCGAUGUUAGAAACCUAUAAAUAGAGAGUUCCACUUCAUUUAUGAGCAAGAGAACACUUGCAUUUAUUUGUUUACCUACUUGUUCUUGCCUUAAAAGCUCUCAUUUCUUUUCUUGGUGCAUUAAAUCUCCAUUUUGAUAUCCUUUAGUGCACCUUUGUGAUUCAUCUUAGCCUUGAGUUGUAUUUGAGCCCUUUUUUUAGCUAGGUUGAGAGUUUCAUACUUGUUAAUUGAGUGUUAAAGCCUUCAAGUGAGUUGAAACUUGUAGAGAUUAUGUGAGAGUCGAUUGGAGCCGAAAUCCAAGUGUAAAGGUGAUUAGAAGCUUGGUUGAAGCUUCAAGUUAGUGGAAUCCUCACUCAAUUAGGAGCUUGAGGAGAGUGGACGUAGCCAAGGAAGUGUCGAACCACUAUAAAAUUUGAGUUUGAUUUCUCUAACAUUGUCUCUUUAUAUUUGUUUAUCUUGUGCUUAAAUUUAUUGUGUUUAAAAAGAAUUUUUAAAUACCCAAUUCACCCCCCUCUUGGGUGUUUUUCUCUUUUAAAAUUAGCCUUUAUUUUCUCACAAACUAUUGUAGUAUAGUGGUUUUUAGGUGUCAUCCAUUAGGAUGAAUUGUUCUCGGUAAUUAAGGCGUGAAUGAGAGGAGAAUUAAUGAUUGUGAUUAAGUAAAAUUGAUUUGAAAAUUCAUGGUGAAAAAUCAAUUUAACAAUGGUUUCUAAUUGAGAAAAACAAUGAAAUGUGAAAUAAAAUAAAAUUAAUAGGAAAUGAAAUUCUCGAAGUUAGAAUUUUCUAAAAAACAAAUUCCAUGGUGAAUGGAUGUUGAGAUCUAAUUUUCAUCAAGUUAGAUUGAAAACCGAAAUUUUCAUAUAAACUGAUUUUUUAUUUAGUUUUAGGUCUAGAUUUAAUUUCCCUUAAAAUUAGGUUAUUUAAUCCAAGAAAUCAAUUCAAAUCAUAUAUUCAAUUCAUCUUAAAUUAUCUUCCAAUUAUUCACACAAUGCAACUAUUCAAUCUCAUCAAAUCUAGCUUUUAAGAAUUUAAUGAAUCUACCUAGUUUGCAUUGUAAUAGUCAUCCAUGACAAUUUGAAGAGAAAAAUAAUUCAAUUAAUCAAUCACUUGGAUCAAAUUACCUUUGCAAUUAAAGUUCAUUUCUCUAAUUCACCACAGAUUUUGUCUCUAGAUCCUCCUUUCUCAAAGAAAAAUGAGAUUUAGCCACACAUGAUUGGAGAUUUGGUCUCAUAAGGCAUGUUUAGCUAGUGAUAAAAUGAGAGAAAAUAAAGAAAAAUAGAGAAUUCGAUUAAGAAAGAAAAUCUAAAAAAUUCUACAAUUAGAAAUGUCCAAAAAGCUUUUUCAUGAGAAAAUCAAGUUUCUAUUUAUAGGCCAAGGUCAAGUGGACACUUGACAUCAUCUAAGAGGUCUUCCGGAAGCUUCUUCAUCAAGAAAUCUGGAGUUUAAUAAUAAAAUGGUCAUUUCACAAGAGCUCAAACAAUUUCGCAUGAUUAUGUGAAAUAAAAAAUGCAACAACAGCAAUUUACAUCUUCUUGGAGCAUUUCGCAUGACUGUGUGAAAUUUUCACAUGAUCAUGUGGAAUCGACUUGACAACUCUCAUUUAGCCUACAACAUAAUUCCACCUUUUGGUCCAUUUUUCAUAGUCAUGCGAAAUGGAAAUAUUUGAUUUUUAAGUUUUCUUUUGUCAUUUCUUUCAUUUCCUUCUCUUGAUUCCACUUCAACUACCUCCGAAUCCUGGUCCAAACCAAUUGCAUUACUUCUUUCAUUAUGCAUUUGGAUCAUCAUCAACAUUAUUUGUUCUCUUCAAUUUGAUUCAUCUCUUUUGUCACCAAUUUAUCAAAAUCAUACCUUGAAAUGACUCCAAAACUUCAUAAAACUUGUUAGUAACUCUUGCAAGGGCAACAACAUAUUAAUUAAGUGUUUUAGGCAUAGUUACUACUCAAAAGAUGCGAAACUCAUGAUAAUUAUUAUAUAAAAUAUGCUCUUUUUGAGUAGUAAUCAACUUUCUUGCAUAAGCAGACCUUUUAGGGUGGAGUACUAAAGACCAAUAUGCUUGUCCUUGUUGUAAUAAAGAAACUUGCUCUUAUUGAUUGCACCAUGGGAGAAAAUUUUGCUACAUGAGUUAUCAUCAAUUUCUUCCCACCAAUCAUAGAUUUAGACGUGACAAGAGGCCUCUUAAUGGCAAGGAGGAACUGACACUCACACUUAUACAAUUAUCGGGCAUUGAUGUGUUGCAACAAUUAGAAUAACUUACACCAAUUAUGUUGGGGAAGUCACAAAAGGCAAACAUGAAAACUAAAAGGAAAAAAGAAAAAUGUUACAUAUCACCACAACUGGAAAGAAAAAAGUAUUUACUUUCAUUUGCCAUAUUGGAAAGCACUUAUUUUACAUCAUAAUAAUUUAGACAUAAUGCAUAUUGAGAAAAAUGUGUGACAAUAUAAUUGAGACAUUGUUCAGUAUUGACGAAGAAACAAGGACAACCUAAAUAGUCAUCUCGAUUUACAAGCUCUAACUAUUAGAAAUGAGAUUCACCCAAUAGAAAGCAGGACCAAAUUUAUUUUGCUUGCAACAUGCUACUCACUCACCCCAAAUGAGAUUAAGGAAUUUUGCAAGUUUUUGAAAUCAAUAAAGGUCCCCAAUGGCUAUUCUUUCAAUAUCUCUCGUUAUGUGCAACUCAAUGAAAGGAAGAUAUAUGAGCUCAAAUUGUAUGAUUGUCAUGUCCUAAUGCAACAACUUCUCUCACUUGUAGUUCGUGGAGUUCUACAUAAGAAUGUUUGUGGAGUUAUCAUAGAAUUGCGUAAUUUUUUCAAGCAAUUGUGCUCAAAGGUGUUAGAAACAAAUCACUUACACCAACUUGAGAACAAUAUUAUUGUCAUACUAUGUAAAAUGGAGCAAAUAUUUCUUCCAUCAUUCUUUGAUAUUAUGGUGCAUUUACUUGUGCAUCUAGUAAGGCAAAGGUUGCAAGACUUGUGCAAUAUUGUUGGAUGUACCUAAUUGAACGAUAUUGUUAUAAUUUCAUAUGAAUCAUUUAAUUUUAUUUUAUAUUAUGUUCAGUUCAUUAACAUGUACAUUGGUCUACAUAUGGAUGAUGAUAGGUACCUAAGCACUUUAAAGUCAUAUGUGCGUAAUAGAACUUUUCUAGAAGGUUCUAUUGUAGAAAGGUACCUUGCAAAAGAAUGUACAACAUUUUAUUCUAGGUACUUGAAUGAUGUGGAAAUAAAGUAUAAUCACAAUGAUAGAAACUUUGUUGGUUUCAACACUAGAGGAGAUGAAAGGGGUUAUCUUUAAACAUAUUGGACAUGCAUUGGGAAAGCCCAUAUUUCAUUAACUUAGUUCAAAAGAGUGGUCACAAGCACAUUUAUAUGUGUUGACAAAUUGCGAAGAUGUCAUACCAUUCAUUGAGUAAAAAAUUUAUUUGAAUUUUAAUUAAAGCUCUAGUUUAUAUCCUUAAUCAAUGUUUUUUAAAUUCACAAGGAGCACAAGCAAACCAUCAAGGCUAGACCACAUAUACGUGUUUGAGACGUAGAUUUAAUUCAUAACAAGGAAUUUAUCAAGUGGUUUGAAAGACAUGUAAGUAUAUUCCUUAUUAUAAGGGAUUUAUUUCACAUUAUGUUUAUAUUGAAUCCAAACCUAUUAUUGAAUUGUAGGUUGAACAAUUACAUAAUGAAGGUCAUAUAUCUGAACACCUUCUCACAUUAUCAUGUGUUCCAAAUUCAUUAGUUACAUGCUUCAAAUGAUAUAUUGUCAAUGGAUUUAGAUCCCACAUUAAAGAACGUGAUAAAAAAGUUUUUAAAAAAAGACUCAGAAUAAUGGAAUUGUUGUAGUUGCAAAAACGUCAAGCUUUACAAGUGCAUGUGAUAUGAGUCCAAUUAUUAGUGAUGCUCUCUACUAUGGUGUUCUAACUAAAGUUGUUGAGUUACAUUAUCUUGGUGAAAAUAAGGUUGUUUUAUUCGAGUUUGAUUGGUGGGAUGUUACAAAUAUUGGAAAAUUGAUAAAAGAUGAUGAGUACAAUUACACAUUUGUUAACUUUGCAUGAAUUCUAACCACGAACGAACGAUUUGUACUUGCAUCUCCAGCAAAGUAAGUGUUCUAUGUGAAGAAUGCGAAUGAAUCAGAUUGGCAUACUAUCAUGGAGAUGCAACCUCAAGACCUCUAUAAGAUGAACGGGAUAGGAUCCAAUGGUGAUUUUGAACCAUUUCAACAAAGUGAACUACAUGAUCACUAAUAUAUCUCAGAUUUAGUUGAUGAAGAUAUAAUCAAGUGGAACAAAAGUGAUGUUUUAGGACUAAUCAUCCUAAAAAAUAUUGUAGUUUCUUAAAAAAAAAAUGAAAAUGAAGAAGAUAAUUGAACCUUUGUCAUACUUUAAAAAGCAACUAUGCAUUGUUCAUUUUGUAUGUUUUGGUUUUCUUCAUUUAAUUUCCUGAUUUUUGUGAUUCAAUGUCAUAUUAUUGAUCUUGAAAUAUUUUUCUAAUUUUUCAUUCUACGAUGGUUUCAACAAGGAUGACAUCAAGUCAAAAAAGGAAAUGUGGUCCCACACACAAUAUUGCAUUACAGGGAUUAAGGUCAGGGAAGAAGGUAAAAGUUGCAUUUAAUGAGUACAAUCAAUUGGUUAAACAGAAAAAUGGAAAACACUUAUCGAGCUACAUAGGGACACUUGUAUCUAACCAACACAAUGUACCUCUCCAAGCUAGUGAUUGGAAAAAUGUUCCAAAUGAUGCAAAAGAGAAAGUAUGGCCUUUGUUUUGGUAUGUUGUAUUUCUCACUAUAUGAUGUCAUUUCACUGUUAUUCUAUUUUGUGACUAACGUUUGAAUCAUAUGUAAGAAAAAUUUGAAGUAGAUAAAGACUGAAAAGAUUACAUGUUGGGUAUAGCCUCAAAUAAAUAUAGAAGCUAUAAAAAUAUGAUGAAUGCAAAAUACUAUGACCCUUGGCAUAAGGAUGCAUGAGGAGAGGUUAAUACAUAAAUCACCAUUUGUCUCUGAUGUUGAUUGGAAGUGGCUUGUCUCUGAUGCAUAAACCAAAUCCCCCACUGAAUGUUUGAUAUUUGAUAGCAGGAAAAACACACCCGCAGCUAUACACCUCCAUCAUUCAGAUAAUUAUAGUGGGGGAGAUGAUUCAUGGUUGCCCUUAUACCCUUUAUUUGCACCAUCUAUUGAGAUUCUUUAUCAUGGCCAGGUUUUACUGCAGCAAUAAGAUAUGGUGGCAACAAUUUUAUCUAUAGGUGCGGUUCCAGACCGCCUCCAUAGGUGCGGUUCCUGACUGCCUCCAUAGGUGCCUCUUCUUGUAAUGUUUGUUCUGGGAAUUACACUUGAAAGCCUUAUCGUGAUAAGGGAUUACAAACACUAGUUCAGAGGACAGCCAUGUUAAACUUCCACUAUGUUUGUGUCACAUUAUCAGCAGCCUAGUGUUUAUUGGUCAUGCUAUCUGCAACUAAUAUAACCCGGUGAACUUCAAUCUAAAUUCUGAAAGUACUCAUGUGACAGAUGGUGCCUUUCAGCAGAUAUCAUCAAUUUAAAAGUAGUGUGUGUGCCUAUAGGUGGGAAGGCCUUGGCAAAUGUUCAGUAUUCCGGUAAUUCAAGAAGGAUAUAUCUAAAAUAGAUUUUCUUCUUGCCCAUUUCAAUAGUUAAAAUUUGAGAAGAUUGUGUCCACAUCACACAAAUAUUAUUGGUCCUUCUGUUGCAAUUUACCUCUGAACAUGUCUUCCAAUUCCCACGGUCCUGUUACUCCAGGAAAACUAUUUCGGUCAUAUUGAAAAAAAAAAUAUUAAAGAAGGUACACAUGCUUUUAAGUGGACUGGGGCAUUCAUAUCAGGUGGUCUGUAUCCACAUAUGCCACUUCGUGAAAGGUGGAACAGCCUAAUCACUAGGCUAUUUAGUGUGGCCCAGCCACGUUAAUCAAGCACAAGUCUUCAUACUUAAAGUCAAAUGGUGUCUUUAGUCUCAUUACACAUCGCUAUUUGAAGAUUAACUCAUCACUAGUGUAAUGCGAUUAAGACAGUCCUAACUCAAUAUUUGUUCUAGUUUUGGAUGCAAAUGCUUGCUGGUUUCAUCAUUGGAUGGGAUAAAGGUGCAAUCAGGACUAUGAAUACGUGCAGUAAUACUUCAUUCUCUUUUUUCUCAAUGAGACUUCUUGGCACAAUUUUGCUGCUCAGCAACCUACCUUUCCAUGGAAAAUCAGUUGUGACUGAUAGUAAUGGAUAUAUUCUAGAAAGCUAAACAUAGAUAGCAUUCAAUAUUAUCGAUAUAACAUUAACAGCGUAUGUCUCAAUGCUCAUCAGCUACAAGCAAUGGACAAACACUUUGAGUAACUCACAGCAGUCAAAAUUCCUAAACAGGACAGACGUGACAGAUCUAUAUAUAGAACACUGCAUAUGAGUCACAGGAAAAGAUAAUACGGGUACAUAGAAGCUCUUAUUUUACAUAUUACUCAUACUGAUCAAAGUCGCUCAGUUGGGAUGGAUGGGAGAAGGAGGUUUGAGGGGUGGCUUGUGCGGGGAAGUUGGCAGCUUCUUUCCGGGAGCUGGUUGCUUCUUUGCUGGAGUUGAAGGAGGCUUAAUCUUCCGAGGUGGCUUGUAUGAGUCUUCAGCAUUCUCAGCAGGAGGGUGACCAGGGUUGUGACCAUAAUGUGGUGGCUUCUCUCCCUUAGGUGGUUUGCCAACUGGGGUUGGUGGCUUGUUUUCUGGGAGUGGCUUCUCUCCCUUGGGUGGUUUGCCAACUGGGGUUGGUGGCUUGUGUUCUGGGAGUGGCUUCUCCCCCUUGGGAGGUUUUUCGAAUGGGGUGGGUUUGUGUCCUGGUGGUGGCUUCUCUCCCUUGGGAGGUUUACCAAUUGGGGUCGGUGGCUUGUGUUCUGGGAGGGGCUUCUCUCCCUGGGGAGGUUUAGUGGGUGGCUUGUGUUCUGGAGGUGGCUUCUCCACCGGAGGCUUAUGCUCUGGUGGUGGCUUCUCGAAGGGGGGAUGCUCAGGGUAAUCACCAAGUGAGGGGGUGGUGAGAACCACCAUGCCAAGCAACAACACUAGCAAGUAUGUAGUAGACAUCUUUGGGUUUGGACUCAGACAGUGCAAAACUACGAGAAAUCGCUAGCCCUUUAUAGCGGCUCGGACCUAAUACUGACAUAAUAUAAAAUAAAUAUUAUAUUUUAUCAAGAGAGAACAGAGUGUAAUUUUAUCAUUAAUACCGAUCGAGGCCAAAGAAAGAAGACCCAUAAUCCAUUUCCCACAAGCAUACACAAUGCAGCUGUAAUUUUAUCAUUUACUUUUAUCCCUUGGACCACUGCAUUUUUGUUGAGAGACACAAUAACACAUUUUUAUCUGUCAUUCAACAUUUACAGUAAAGAGAGGGCACAAAACGCAAUUAGAUAAAUUAUGUUUUGCCUGCUAAAAAGAGGCAAAUAACUUUAUUUGCAACAUAAUUAUUUUGGUUUCUAGUGACCCCGGGGCCUUUCGGUUGGUUUGGGAUCGGAAAAUGAACAUCAUAGGGGGGGUUGUGCCCUUAUGGGCAUAUAUAUCUGAUAGCUUCAACUGGCCUUGUUCCUAGAAAGAAAUUGCCAAAGAUAUAAACUUAUUCCAGGCUGAAAGUAGAUGAGAGUCAUAAUGAACAUCAACCUUUGUUCAGUUUGAUUCAAUGCCCCCAUAGUGUUCAUUUCACAGAUCUGAAUGAUUAUAUCCGUUGAAUACAUAAAUUAAUGAAGACAAAUAUGAAACCCAAGAUACAUCUCUGCAUAACAACCCCAACCCUGGUUGCUAUGUUUCCCUUCUUCUAUUCACAUGAGGAUACUGGUUAUAAUUGUCAAACUUGCAACAAGCCCUUUGACACCUAACGUCAAUGGACGAAUUAAAAGUCUCCUUCAAACGUCUAUUUCACAGCAUGAAGCUUAUAAAGGAUGCUGACAACCUUCAGAGUUAGCGACAAAAGAUAAUUAUCAAGGAGAGAUAGUUCCAUGAGAAUUCCAAGGAGUCUGAAUCAAAGACAAAUUGCUCACUCAAGGGUUCUUAUUUUCUUUUAGGUACAAAUCUCUUGAGUGUUGUUAAAGAAACACGUCACUGUCAUUUUGAUUUGCAUUUAACAUUUCACUUUUGUUCUGGAAGGUUUGUUCCGGAAACAUAUCAAAUGAGCAUCAUUUUCUUCUUCGGUGACACAUGGUCGCGAGUACGUGGGUCCAUUUUCAUGCCACUUAGUUGAAAAGUUGGAAAGAAAAAACAUGCCAACAAGAAGAUAGUGAGAGAAGGGGCACUUCAAGCCUUUAACAUGAACAAACAGUAAAUAAAAGAUGUUUCUCCACUCAUAAAAGUGUGUUAGAUAGCAAUAUAACGAAUCACAUCCAAAAUCUUUACUAGGCUCAAACAUAAAGAAGACUCAUUUUUAAGAAAAGAUAAAAAUGGCAUUGUCUGAUAGUAUCCAAUACACGAGAUGGCACUUAAUUUGUACAAGAUCUGUCAAUGCUGACGCACAUUUUCUGAUUAAAAAAAAACUGAUCAGUCAAAAGCAAUGAAGAGAAGUGAUGACAAUGAAUGAUGCUUCCAAUAUUUUCACCCCUUAUAGUGUUCUUCAUGAUUCAGAUAUAUAAUUGGAAAUAGAACAACCCUAUGCCAUACAUUCGUCUAAGUAUGGUGUCUAAUUUUUUGUGUCAGCGGUUGCGAAUGGAGCGUGCAAAAGUCCAAAUUGGCGUCUCUCCAUUUCCACAUAGGAAGGUGACCUUUAUUGACAAAUACCCAAUAUUUGUAGACAUUCCUUAAAUAUCAUAACUUCUUGUUGAUUUGAAAAUCAUUUUUCAACUACCAUGUUUUAAUAAAUAUUUUUUAAAAUGUAUUUUUAUCAAAGUCCACCAUGAUGGAUAAUAUUCACCAUGCAAUAAUUAAUAAAGUACAAACUAAGCGAAAUGAAAAGCAUUUUCUUUGCUUUGAGUUGAUUUUGGUUGCAUUGAGUUGAUUUUGGUUUCAUGGUUUUUUCAACUCUUAUUUUGAUUGGAAGAUGUCAAGAAAAGAAAACAUAAAGAAAAAUUAAAAGGGAAAAAAGAAGAAAAAUAAAAAAAAAUAGAUUUAAAAGUUAAUAAAUUAUUUUUUAUAUUUAUUUUAAUUCAUUUCACUUAUUUUUCUUUUACUAUAUAAAAUUUAAAUAAUUUAAAUUUUAUAAUUAAUUUAAUUACAUUUCAUUUUCUUCUAUAUUUAAAUAUUGGAAAAAUAUUUUACUUAAUAUUUUUUUCUUUAAUUUCUUUGGCAUUUUGGGAACCAAACUUAGCCUUUAAAAUAAAAAACAAAAAAAAAAUGAAAAUAAGGAGGGAAAAGUGAGAAAAGAUAAAAACAAUAUGUAAAGGAUUUGAAAAGUAUUAGUUUGUAAUUACUAUUUGGAUUUCAAUAGUAUUUUAUUUGUCUUUCUAUAUUUCAUGUAAGAGAGAAUUUAAGAUAUUCCCCAAGGCAAAGCAUUAGUUACCUGCAAUCAGUGGUGAUAAGGCUCCAAGCCAAUUUUGGGCCCCAUAUCUUAAGACAGUACAAUUUCCAUUUCAACAUUUCUGAUUUCUCAGAUGUUUCACAUACCACAGAAGAACAUUGUUUGUGAAAAUAUGCAUUUAUGUUGGAUUUUGUAUGCUGUGGGGACUGGGGCAAGGAUCAUAUGGAAGAGUGGUUGACUUUUUCUGUACUUUAACGGUUGAAAUAGGAUAAGCACGGGCAUUUGUGAGGCUUAAUUGAUUUUGAAGCCUGAAAUUGCGUUUCUGUCAUUUUGUCAAAAAAAUGGCAGAUUCCAUACUCAUAUGUUUGGCCUGUGGCCAUGUACAGAUGCCAUUUAGUGACCAGUUUGUAACUGUCAAUCGUUGCGUUUUGACUCUGCCUCAACAACAUCUGCCAUUGACGGGUUUUCAUACUUGCAAAUCAAAUAGUCUUUCGUCCCAUCAGGAAUUUCGGUUUAAAUAUUAUUAAGCAUACGUUUGGCUGACAAUCAUUAUCCAGUUCAUGAUUUGGUUUCUUACCCUUAAUCAAUGGUUUCUAAGUGAAUAUAUGUAGAAGGAAAUCCGAAGUGUAGACAGUAGUAUCGAUAACUCUCAAUAUUCUCUAUAUAAUAGAAUAAACAGCGUCAUAGUGAUCGUCGCCUACAAGCAAGGUACAAAUACCAAAACGAGUGACUCACAUAGACAUCUCCCAACAAGAUGUAGUAGUGACUGACACAUGGACACAAUUAACUCGUAGAAAAGGAUAAGACCAUUGCACAGCAGCUCUUAUUUUACAUACUACUUAUGCUAACCAAAGUCAAUUAGUUGGGAUGGGUGGGAGAUGGAGGUUUGUGCGGUGGCUUGUGGGGCGGAGUUGAUGGCUUCUUUCCAGGAGCUUCUGGCUUUUUCAUCGGAGCUGAAGGAGGCUCAAUCUUAUGAGGCGGCUUGUAUGAGUCUUCUUUACUCUCGACAGGAGGGUGGCCAGGGUUGUGAUCAUAAUGUGGUGGCUUCUCUCCCUUAGGUGGCUUGCCAACUGGGGUUGGUGGCUUGUGUUCAGGAAGUGGUUUCUCUCCCAUGGGAGGUUUAGCAAUUGGGGUUGGUGGCUUGUGUUCUGGGAGUGGCUUCUCUCCCUUGGGAGGUUUAGUAGGUGACUUGUGUUCUGGAGGUGGCUUCUCCACCGGAGGCUUGUGCUCCGGUGGUGGCUUCUUGGUUGGAGGGGGCUUGGGGUAAUCAGCAAGAGAUGGGGUGGUGAGAACCACCAGUCCAAGGAACAACACUAGCAAGUAUGUGGGAGACAUUUUUGAGUUUGGGCUGAUCAGAUGAUGCAAAACUAAAGCAUUACGUGACCUUUUAUAGCAUGUAGCUCCCAAUACCCACUAAGUAUUGUGGGGUCCAUUUGUGCCCUACGGGGUUGAAAACUUAGACAAUUGGGCAAGGACCCACCUGACUAUGGAGGACUAGUGAGGUGUGAUCAUAGCUUUAGGAUUUUUCUUCCUCUGCAGCCGUCGUGCCGUUGGCAUGAUUUUCUUAAUCUUAAAUAAAGGCAUAGUUAUAGAGUUGUUUAAUCUCUAAAUGGGAUUUUAUAUAUAUCUUCAGAUAGCCAUUAAUAUAUUUGAUGAAGAAAGAAAGACAAGUGCAUACAACAUGUAUACGACUAGCUUUCAUGGAGUUCAUUUAUGAUCAGUUUUCCUGUACAUGUAAACCAGGAUCAUAUAUAUGUUUCUGUUCCACAACUAUUUUGGAAUCUUGUUUAUCAGUUUUUAUCAUUAUAAUGUCACAUAGGCUGCCAACUUGGGCGCUAAAAGAACCAGUUGGGCUAGUUCGUUUCAGAAUUUCAAUGUGGAUUCAGGAAUUGUUUUGUAAGAUAUGCGAAAUAGUAGAGGGAUGAAUAGUGUUUCAUUAAUAAAAGUGUCCUGUAAAUUAGAAGGUGUCAUAGAAACUAUAAUCAAUAAAUAACUUUUUUUCCCCACGGGUGGUGUUUCUUGUGGGGAUCAGUGACUGGUUUAGGUUCACCCAAAAUGAGUUCAGACUAAAAUUGGUUUGAGUCAAUGCCGUGUCUCUUUUUUCCAGAAAUCAACUAUUUUAUGCAUUGAAUAAAUCAUACAAAGAAAAUAUGAACGCCCGCAAAACCUAAACCCUGGUUGCUAACUUUCUAUGUUUCAGUUCUAUUCACGCAAGAAUAUUAGUUUAAGUUUGGGAAAAAUGGCAACUUACCUAGUGAUUACUUGGUUUUGGUUUGCGACUAUUUACGCAACCAACCAUGAGUUUGACUUUAACGUCAUGGGUUGAAGCCUCCUACAGGAAGGGAGAAAGCUCCACAGCUAGCUCCAAAAGAGAAUUAUCACAUUGAUAGCUCCAGAGAUUCCCAAGGGGACUGAAUCAAAGACAAGUUCCUCACUUUUUCUUCUUUUGAGGCCAAAUAUGAACCAAGGAUCACACAACCUCAUUCAACUUCAUAAGUUUGAUUUCAUGCAGUUGAACACUGGGUGAAGGCCAUGACAAGAAUUGAUUCAAAAAUUCUAUCACUCUUUUAAGUAAUGGAAGAUUAUUAUCUCUGAUUGGCAUCACAACAGCACAUGCUCCUAGAUCUUUCUAGACACUCCAUGCAAUGAAAGCACAAUGGAUCUUGUAACGAUAGAAACUAAGCCAUGCUACAGUACUAGAUGAUGAGGUAAAACUAGUAGACACGGGUGGCAGCCUAUAUGGGAGGGACACAAGUCUAAUUGAUUUGCAUUUCAGCAUUAUAGAUAGGUAUGUUUUGGAAGAUUUGUUCUGGAAAUACCGCACCAAGUAGGAUUCUUUUUCUCUUUAGUGGGUCCACUUGCAUGCCAAUUAACGAGUUGAAAAGUAUGAGCACCUACCUCGUGCUCGUGGAACCGAAGGUCAGUGAAGUGGGGCUCCUUUUGGCCUCGUGUAAACUUGAUUCAGAAGUGAAGUUAAUAGUCUUCCAUUCAGAUGGAUACAUGGGAAUUUUUCUCUUUUAUUUAUUUAUUUAUUUUUUUUUUGUGUGUGUAUGUCAAAGGAUAAUGAAUGAAGCGCGUUAGCUUGUUUUCUGACUGGAACCGCAGAUGUCCAAAUUGGAGUUCCUUCAUUUCUUACUUAGGAUUGUUACAUGUAUAAACAAGGUAUAAGAAAUAUGCCAACGUGUCUUGAGGAGUUAUUGAUUAGAAAUAACAAGUCACCCGACUGUAGAGUUCCAAGAUUUGAAUCUUCAGACCCUAUAGCAGCCUCUGGGGUACGUGGCAUCCUAUAGCAUAUUAAUGAAGGCUUUUUCGAUUUAGACUUCACAAUACCAAUUAAUAUGUAUGCACAAAAUGGAGAUGACCCCAAAAAAAACAGAAUCGCCAUAGUUUAUGAGGUUAAGGUGAUUCUCCACUUAAUAUCUACAUUAGCUAAUUAUGUAAAUCAAAUGAACUUCUAUUUUUCCUUUUUUUUUUUGGUUUAUGUCAAAUAGUAGCCCAUAAUUAACCCAACCAUUAGCCUGUUUGAAUUGAUUUCACAUGCACAAUGUUGUAGUAGUUCAUAUUUUGAAUUUUAUUUUUACAAAGGUAGUUAAGGAAAAUGAAGUAUAAUAAUUAUAAAAGCAGACUAUAUACACUACAAUAAUUGUUAGAAUGGUAUCUCAAAUUCUAAUUUAAAAUAUUAUUUUUUGUAAAAGAAAUAUUAUAUAGAAUAUUUCCUAAUUUUAUAAAUGAUUAUAAUUAGAUCUUUAUAAAAUAAGGAAAGUUGGUAAGAAUAUCUUUAUAAAUAUUUUAGGUCAUGAGAGAAAGAAAUGGGAUAAAAAUGUGAUGAAGAGGUGAAAUAAGAGAGUUGAUUAGGAUAUAGAUGUGAAGAAGAAAGGGAUUCAAUAUAUAUAUAUCUUUCAAUUACCACAUUAAAACCCUGUGAACCUUUUAUAUGGUUUACUUUAUUUUUAUAUUCCUCCUUUAAUAUAUUUACAUUAAUGCUUCCAUUGGCACAACAAUAACGAAUUACAAAUACAAGCAACAAGUCCCAUGUUUUAUUACCAAAAGCAGGUAAAAUCCACCUAAUAUAUUACAAUAUAUUCAUCCAAUAUUUUAGACCAAUUCUUCACCAUAAAUAUCAUAAUGUGGCUUUUGUUCUUUCUUAAAUUUAAAUUGAAUUGUCUUAUAUCAAUUUGUUUGUGAUUUUUUCAUUAACUUCACUUUCAUUUGGUUAUCUUUGGUUUUUGAAAAGUAUUAAGGAAUUAAUUAACAAAAUAAUGUUAAGAAAAAUAAUUUUCUCUCUUUUGAUUUUGAUUUUGUAGUAGAAAAAUAUAAUUAAAAUUAUUUAAAAAGUAUGUAAUUUUAAAUUAUUUAAUAUUUAGAUAAAAAAAAUAAGUCUAAUGAGUUUAAAAUAACAUAUAAAAAUAAUUUAUUUAUUUUAAAUUUAUUUUUUAUUUUCCAUUAUGUUCUCUUUCUCUUUUACUUUUUCAUAUUUUUUCUUACGAAGAAUCAAACACAACCUCAUAUUAUAUGUCAAGUGUUUGUCUAUAUUUGAGCAAUGUUAGAUACGGCCAUGGAUUCAUCAAACUAAACUGAUUUUAAUAGAUACUUCACAAAUUGAUUUAUACACUAAAUCAUUGGAUAGCAAUGAUGCAUUGGAAUUAAACGUAGGAUGAAGCUCGAAGAACACUGUUUGUGUAACAACAUAUUUAUGAAAUUAUGCAAAGGAUGAGCUUCGGGGUAGUAGUACAAGGUCAUUAAUGGAGAGCCGUGUUAAACCUUGAUUGUGAUUGGAUUCCGUUAUCAGCAACAGCAACCUUGUUUGUAACCUUGAAAGUCAUUCUGUCCACAUCGAAACUCCAAUUUGACGUUUGUAAUUACCAUUCCUGGAGUGUUCCUUGAUUGAAAUUUAAAUAAUAAUUGCGGCCCACAAGGAAUAUUUUCGAUUCUGUGGGAAUUUGACAAGGUUUGUUAGAGAAGACUGGUGACAUGUUGACUUCAAUGGUUCAAAUAGGAGACGUAUGUGGAUUUGGGGGGUUUAAUUGAAACUGAGUCCCUAUGGCUUUUUAAUAUUUGCAUUGAGCAGUCUCCAUGUGACUUCCUAAUUCCCACCAACCCUCCUGUCCAUGCUGUGAAACUAAAUUGUAAUUUAUCAGCCUUUGUCAAUGGUUUCUAAAUUAAAGAUAUAGACCAUGCAUGUACUUUAAUAAAAGCAAAUCUAAAGUGUAGAUAGCAGCAAUGGUGACACCCAAUAUUCUCCAUAAAAUAGAAUUAGAAUAAGCAGUGUUACAUUGUUCAUGAUCACCUACAAGCAUACAAGAACUUCCAUGAAUAACUCAUAGCAAUUGCCAACAGGGCGUCGUAGAGACUCAUACAUAGAACACUAUCCACCCAGAGGAAAGGACAAGACCAGUGCGCUGCAGCUCUUAUUUUUCACAUGUAUACCACCACUCGUAAUAACCAAAUUCACUCAGUUGGGAUAGGUGGGAGAUGGUGGUUUGUGGGGUGGCUUGUGGGGAGGAGUUGGAGGAGGCUUUAUUUUCUGAGGCGGCUUGUAUGAGUGUGCAGGAGGAUGCCCGGGAGUGUGACCAUAAUGUGGUGGCUUCUCUCCCGUAGGUGGUUUGCCAAAUGGGCUUGGUGGCUUCUCUCCCUUAGGAGGUUUACCAAUUGGGGUUGGUGGCUUGUGUUCUGGGAGUGGUUUCUCUCCCUUGGUAGGUUUGCCAAUUGGGGUUGGCGGCUUAUGUUCUGGGAGUGGCUUCUCUCCCUUGGGAGGUUUGCUAAUUGGGGUUGGCGGCUUAUGUUCUGGGGGCGGCUUCUCUCCCUUGGGAGGUUUGCCAAUUGGAGUUGGCGGCUUAUGUUCUGGGAGUGGCUUUUCUCCCUUGGGAGGCUUGCCAAUUGGGGUUGGCGGCUUAUGUUCUGGGGGUGGCUUCUCUCCUUUAGGAGGUUUGCCAAUUGGAGUCGGCGGCUUAUGUUCUGGAAGUGGCUUUUUUCCCUUGGGAGGUUUGCCAAUUGGGGUUGGCGGCUUAUGUUCUGGGGGUGGCUUCUCUCCCUUGGGAGGUUUGCCAAUUGGAGUCGGCGGCUUAUGUUCUGGGAGUGGCUUCUCUCCCUUGGGAGGUUUUGUUGGUGGCUUGUGUUCUGGAGAUGGCUUCUCCCCUGGAGGCUUGUGCUCCGGAGGUGGCUUCUGAAAUGGCGGGGGCUUGGGGUAAUGAGCAAGAGAUGGAGUACUG